rnacentral:lncRNA from 1 species
AACUUUUGACAAGAGUUUCAGGAACGAGAUCAAGUUUCUAUCAGAAAUACGACAUCGAAACAUAGUGAAGCUUCACGGGUUUUGUCUACACCGACGAUCCAUGUUUUUGAUCUAUGAAUACAUGGAAAAAGGGAGUUUGUUCUGCAACCUAAGGGAUGAAGUGAAUGCUGUGGAAAUGGAUUGGACGAGAAGAGUAGAGAUCAUCAAAGGCAUAGCACAUGCUUUGUCUUACUUGCACCAUGAUUGCUGCCCUCCGAUAGUUCAUCGAGACAUAUCAAGUAACAAUGUUCUUUUAAACUCAAGUUUUGAGGCAUUUGUGGCCGACUUUGGAACAGCUAGAAUGUUGGAUCUUGAUUCAUCCAAUCAGACCAUUAUUGUCGGAACUUGUGGCUACGUAGCUCCAGGUGGCGUUUUCUUUUUUACUUGAUUUACUGACCUUUUCUCUGAACAUAUAAUUGAAUUUCUUCUUACUAAUUUGUGUAUGUAGAACUUGCUUAUACAAUGAUUGUCACCGAAAAAUGCGAUGUUUAUAGUUUUGGAGUGGUAGCACUGGAAACAUUAAUGGGAAAGCAUCCUGAAGAAGUGUUAUCAUGGUUGUCAUCACCAACUUCUUUGGUGAACAUGAAGCUGGUUGAUGUGUUAGACAACCGUUUACCACUUCCAACAAGCCAACUAGUUACACAAAAUCUUGUUCAUGUUGCUACACUAGCAUUCGCUUGCUUAAAUCCACAAACGAAGUCCCGACCAACAAUGAAGGAAGUGUGUGAAGAGUUCCUUUCUCGCCAUACAUCCUUGGGAAUUCCUCUUCGGAUGAUCUCUUUGUUACAACUCAUGAACCGUGAAAUGCAUAUUGGAGGCAAAACUAAAACUUGUGAUGUUUAAAGUCCAUGCGCUUGUUGAUUAGAUAUUGUUUAUCAUGCUCUGAUAAUUUGUUUGUGAACCAUCUCUGGUUUUAUAUAUAUGAUGGAAUGAAUUGCAAUGUUUAAUAAAACUGUUUAUCCGGUUGCUUUAGAAGACAUAAAUUCUGGAAUUUGAUCAAAAUAUUAAGACAUCAUCGCUGGCUGCUUCCUUGAAUUUUGUGCUUCUUUCAAACCAACUCAGAUAAAUAACAUAUAAGUAAAUUAAGGGUGAAUCAAAGCAACAAAAUGCAAUCAAUACAUACAUCAAGAAUUCACCUCAACUAUCUAUAAUUCAUGAAACAAUCUCUCAACUUAUAAAAUGUAAGUGAGAUUCCACAGACCUGAUAUCCAAACUCAAAAGCAAUAAAAGGCGUCAUCAAAACCCUGGCAAGUGAAGACGACAUUCUUUUCAAGCAAGGUAGCGAUACAACUUCCUGUCACCUUUAUCCCUCUACAGGAACUCACAUUAGUAUACAUUUUUAUUUAACAUAUUAUAUAAAUUACACCUUAUAAAUAGAAAAAACAAAUGAAACUCUGACUAUUACAUAUAUAUAAUAAUAUACUGCAUAUUUCCUAAAAAAGGAUAAUAUACCGCACAUGUUACAACGCAUUUUCAAAAAAAGAAAAAGAAAUGUGACCAUGAUAUAUAAUUUAUAGGACAAACAAAGGUACUCAUAUUUUAUAGUUCAUCAUUUUUAAUGUUUGGGACUGUAGUCGGCCAUCACGAUUUGGUCGGCAACAAGUGAAUAUAUUAUGGAUAAACUAUUAUAGAGUUUACAAAAUUACAACUUUUUAGUCUGUAAAUUAUAAAAAGUUAUAAAAUAGCCAUUUAAUUAUUAUUAAAUUACACUUUAUAAAUGAUAAACAAAUAAAACUCCAAAUAUUACAUAUUUAAUAAUGUAAGCACAUUGUAAUAGGCUAAUUUUGGCCUGGCCCAAUAUUAACUAAAUUAAAAAAGAAACCAAAUAUAAAAAUUAAUAAUUGUCCAAUAACAGUUCAGAGUUACAAUGGCCCAAUUAACCCAAGAUCAAACAGCAGCCCAAAACCCCUAGCCCAAUUACAACUAGCCCAAAACCAAUAGCAAAAGAAAGACCAGAAAACCCUAGCAGAGACCAACAGCCGUCGUCGUUCCCCAUGCGCGCAACGCCUCCACGCUCCUUUAGCUGGCUGUACCUGCAAAACAAACGAAACCAACAAGGACAGCAAGGAAAGGCAAUAACAAAAAAAGAUCUAGCAAAUGAAAAAGGAGAAUAACAGAAAAUGAGAUUUUUCUUUCUUGUAAUUUUAUUUUUUGUUUUUAUCAGCUAUAUAAGGCCGAAUAAUCUGUAAAAAAGGGGGAGGAAAUUAAAAAAAGCAGUAAAAAAUCAAUCACAAUUUUCGAAAGUGAUCUAAAUUUCUUUUUUUCAUUUAAUUUAUUUGUUAUUUUCCUUAGUUUUUUUUCGUUGAUGGUUGCUUACUGUUUCAGAAAAGAAACACAAAAAAGGGAGAGGGUUUACCUUAGUGUCGGCGCCGAUUGGAUCUUUAUUCACUUCGUCGCAAUCGAAGCUCAAGCGAGGGUUGUAAAGCUAAAGGCAGCAAAUUUUAUUUCCCUGGCAUCGCAGUAGAUUAAAGCUGAAGGUAGCAAAUCUUAUUUCCCUAGCGUCGCAGUAGAUUAAAGCUGAAGGCAGCGAAUCUCAUUUCCUUGGCGUUGCAGUGGAACAGAUUAAAGCUGAAGGCAGCAAAUCUUAUUUCCCUGGUGUCGCAGUAGAUUAAAGCUGAAGGUAGCGAAUCUCAUUUCCUUGGCAUUGCGGUGGAACGGAUUAAAGCUGAAGGCAACAAAUCUUAUUUCCCUAGCGUCGCAGUAGAUUAAAGCUGAAGGCAGCGAAUCUCAUUUCCUUAGUGUUGCAGUGGAACAGAUUAAAGCCGAAGGUAGCAAAUCUUAUUUCCCUAGCGUCACAGUAGAUUAAAGCUGAAGGCAGCGAAUCUUAUUUCCCUCGCGUCGCAGUAGAUUAAAGCUAAAGGCAGCGAAUCUCAUUUCCUUGGCGUUGCAGUGGAACAGAUUAAAGCUGAAGGUAGCGAAUCUUAUUUCCCUUGCGUCGCAGUAGAUUAAAGCUGAAGGCAGUGAAUCUCAAUUCCUUGGCGUUGCAGUGGAACAGAUUAAAGCUGAAGACAGCGAAUCUUAUUUCCUUGGCAUUGCAGUGGAACAGAUUAAAGUUGAAGGCAGCUAAUCUUAUUUCUUUGGUGUUGCAGUAGAUUAAAGUUGAAGGCAGAGAAUCUUAUUUCCUUGGCGUUGCAGUGGAACAGAUUAAAGCUGAAGGCAGCGAAUCUUAUUUCCCUAGCAUCACAGUGAGAUGGUUUGAAGUUAUCAUGGUAGAUCUUAUCUCCCUGAAGUUGCAAUGGAGCAGAUUAAAGCCACAAAACUUAUCCCCCCGACGUUGCAGUGAGGCAGGUUGAAGAGACAAAUCUUAUCUUUCUGAAGUUACAGUGAAGCAGAUUGAAGCCACCAGUCUUAUUUCCUUGAAGUUGCAGUGGAGCAGACUAAAACCACAAAUCUCGUCCCCUUUGAAAUCGCAACAGGGUAGAUUGAAGCUAUGAGCCGUAUAUAAAGUUACAGUAGAGUGGAUUGAAGCAACAAGAUGCAGUGGGCUGGAAUUAGGCUACUUGAAGAAGAGAAGCACUAAGAGAGGUGAAGACUCGGCAUGACUAGGCAAAAUUGUCCCUUUUUAAGUCUUUGCUCCAUUUUUGUUACACGACAACGAGCAAAGAGGCGCAACUGUAAUAGGCCAAUUUUGGCCUGGCCCAAUAUUAACCAAAUUAAAAAAGAAACCAAAUAUAAAAAUUAAUAAUUGUCCAAUAGCAGCCCAAAACCCCUAGCCCAAAACCAAUAGCAAAAGAAAGACCAGAAAACCCUAGCAGCAGACCAGCAGCCGCCGUCGUUCCCUACGCGCGCAACGCCUCCACGCGCCUCUAGCUGGCUGUACCUGCAAAACAAACGAAACCAACAAGGAUAGCAAGGAAAGGCAAUAACAAAAAAAGAGCUAGCAAAUGAAAAAUGAGAAUAACAGAAAAUGAGAUUUUUCUUUCUUGUAAUUUUAUUUUUUGUUUUUAUCGGGUAUAUAAGGCUGAAUAAUCUGUAAAAAAAAGGAUAGGAAUUUUAAAAAAGCAGUAAAAAAUCAAUCACAAUUUUUGAAAGUGAUCUAUAUUUCCUUUUUUUUCAUUUAAUUUCUUUGCUAUUCUCCUUAGUUUUUUUUUCGUUGAUGCUUGCUUACUGUUUAAGAAAAGAAACACAAAAAAGGGCGAGGGUUUACCUUAGUGUCAGCGUCGAUUGGAUCCUUGUUCGCUUCGUCGUAAUUGAAGCUCAAGCGAGGGUUGUAAGGUCAAAGAUCGGCGGAGCUUUCAGCGGCGUGGGAAUGGGUUCAAAAACCCUAGUAGAGGAAAAAGGGGAUAAUAGUUUUUUUUUUAAAGAAUGACAGAAAGUAGUUUUUUUUUUUUAAAAUUGUUGAUUUUAUAUUAGGUAUGAAAUAGCGUCAUUUAAGGCCUGUUUCAGUGGCCUCAAAACGGUGCCGUAUAAGGCCAUGACCCGCGCGGUGACCCGACCUGAAGGAAGGAUCCACGUGUUUUUUAUUGAUGGGUAAUUUGCACCUCUGGUCCCGCCGCAUUUUUAUUUAUUUUAAUUUAGUUGUUUUCAUUUUUUCAACUGAUACUGUAAAUUUUAUUCGGUUUCUGAUUCGGUCCUGAUGAAAUGGCGCGUUUCAGAGGGCGAGAAUAUUUCCCCAUCCAGUCCCUCUGAGUUAUUUGUGCCUUUCAAUUGGGCCCUUCAUUUUGUUUUAUUUUCGUUUUUUCCUUUUAAUUCAGUUUUGAGUUUAAUUUAAUCCAUACUUAUUUAAUUUAAUGUACUUGAUUUUUAUUCUGUUUAAAAUCCAUUUUUCUAUUAUUUUUAGAUAUAUUUCUUUUUAAAUCUAACUUUCUUUUUAUGUUUAAGUUUAAUAUAUUUUUAAGUUUAUUAUCAAUAUUAUAAUAUAUUAUUAUUCUAAAUUUAUCAUUAACAUUAUUUUAGGUGUAUCAUGUAUUUUUUAUUUAAAUUUAUCAUGUAUUAUCUUAUGCAUUCUUGUUGCAAUUUCAAUAUAAUUUAUACAUUUUUUUACGGUUUUAUUUUAUAAUACAUUUUUAAUUUCACUUAUAUAUUUCUUUGCUUUAAAGAUUAAUACAAUAAUACUCUUACAUAAUAUUUUUUAUUCAUAUAUAUAAUUUGUAUUAAACUAUUUUUAUUAUACAUAUAUAUAUACACAAAAUAUAUCAUCGAUUUCAUAUUAUUAUAUAUCUUAUCUAUUUCAUAUAUUUUAUUUCUUUCAAAACCCUACUCUAUUAUAUACUUGGUUUAUAUCAACUUUUUAUACAUACUAUUAUACAUAUAUUAUUAUAUGAAAUUUUUCAAUCCAUAUGUAAUAUUUAUUUAAAUUAAUAUAUAUAUUUUAUGCGUUUUGGAUUUCUUCUUAUACAAUAUUCACUUUAAAAUUCAUUUAGAUAUUAUUAUUCCAUAUAGUAUUCAUAUUUAAUUCUAUUUUUAAACUAUUUCAAGUCUUCACAUUAAUUACUUCUUUUUUAAUUUUUAUAUAUGUAAUUUUGUGUAUAUACAUUGAAAAUUUCAAAUUUCUUUUCUCUUUUUUUUUAGCUAUUUUAAAAUAGUUACAUUUUAUUUGUGAUAGGCUUUUAGGUCAUUAACUUUUAAAUAUUGGUGUUAAUAUUUACAUGUGAUGUGAGAUUAUUGUUAUUAUGUACAUUGUAUUGCUUGUUUAUAUUGAUAGAUUAUUCGUGUUCAUUUGUACGUAUUUUGGCUUACUAAUUAUUCUUUCGAGUUAUACAUUGUCAUCCCAUUGUGUUUUAUUUGUCAAAAAUUUCAUUUCAUUUAAACAUUGAAAUCAUUUUAUUCAAAAGUUUCCAAAAUAAUGCAAUACUCGAUCUUUGGAACUUCGAGAAAUCGUACCCUAACUUACGGGGUUUUGAUUUCCUCGUCGAACUAAAACGACCAAACAUUUUAGUUUUCAAAUACACAAAGUUUCAAUAAAAAUUUUUAAAGGUUAUCUUAUACUCGGGAAAUCCAACAUUGCUUCCUAACUUACGGGAUACGAUAUUUGGUUGCCCCGGGGUGAGAAGGCCUUUUAUACAUUCGUUCAAAUCUAUCCAAGAAUUAUUUUAAAAUAUGGCAUUAAUAAAAAGGGGAAAUCGUUUUUAAUCUCUUCGAAUUUUCAACAUUCGACUUUAAGACAUUAAAUAAUCAAUUUGGUACCAAUUUUGGGCGUUACGAGGGUGCUGAUCCUUCCUUGUAAGUAACUAACUCCCGAACCCAUUUUUACUGAAACUCGUAAACCAAAAUCAUUUUUAAGGUGAUCCGAUCACACCUCAAUAAAAGAUCGGUGGCGACUCCAAUUUUCAUUUUUUUAAGUCGACACUAUUUUUUAUUUUCAAAAAGUGGUUUCGACAGCUUGGCGACUCCGCUGGGGACUGGUUUUGAGAGUCAAGCCACAAAUUGAUUAAUUUUUGUCUUUUUGUCGAAAAAUCAAAUUUUGUUCUCAAUUCACAAUUUCCCUUUUUGCAUUUCAUCCAUUAUUUUCAUGGUUAAUCAUAGUGCGUUUGCUUGGUUGAUCCAAUUUUGUUAAUGUAUAUCUGCAUUUUGCAUUACAUAAGUUGGUCAAUUUUACCCUUCUUAAGUGGGAGUGAGAAGCUAUUCCUUCGUGAGGUCUUCACCUUCGUGCAGGAUAGUGGAUCACUUUCGAGAUACAUCCGUACCUAUGUCUUCGUGAGAUUUUCAUCUCCGUGCAGCCAUAGGGAAAUGUAUUCCCCUGAACUGAACUCAGCCCAUAUGAGGCUAUAAUGGGUGAGGAUCAAGGAAUCUGCUGGUUCAGGUACCUUUACUUUAGAACCAAACCACAUAUAGUGAACCAUAAGAGCCUACCCUAGGUAAGACCACGCCAAACCGCUAGUGGUCACUCGAAUAGGUGCUCUAUUUAUUUCUUGCUUGCUUUUUCUUGGCACUAACUUGUUUCGUUUUGUUCUGGUUAUGAUUGCAUUGCAUUUUCAUCAUAGAAAAGAGGUGUUGAUUCACGUUCAAUUGCUAAAUAGAGAGCUUGUCAUGGAAAAUGAAUUUUUUGAUAAAGUGGAAAAUAAUACGACUGGCCGAAUAUGUUCCGAGAAAACACAACAAGAGAAGGAUGAUAGCCUAACGGAGGAGUACACGACUUUUUUUCGUUUCCCAAGGAUUCAAGUUGACAAAGAUUAUUCGAGAGUCGACAGCAUCCCAACAUUUUUUAAAUAAGCUAACAAGCAUCACGAGGACGAGUGAGUGAUGAGUCGCGGCCCAAAUCAAGCAAAAAAGAGCUAGUAUAGACAAUCAUUGGAAAAUUCACUAGAUUUAUCUUAACAUCCGGAUGAAGAAAAGGAUCAAUGUCUUCACCUGGAGUGUGAGGGAAAAGCCGUAUAUAUAUCCGCUUUAUGUAAAGAGAUUUGUUUUCUAGUAAAGUUAUUCUAAUAGAAUUGAAUCAGAAUCAACGUCUCUUUUUUGCAUUCAUUGCAUGCAUUUGCAUUACAUUACAUCAUAUACAUUAAAGUCCACCAAAAGAUCCUAAUUGAUUAAAAUUAUUUCAGUUGAUCUGAAAAUCAACAAAAACCUACCAACCAAACAUCAUUACUGUACCUGAGUAAAAGGAAUGGACCAAAUGUUGGAGAGAUUAGAGCAAAGGCAAAUACAGAUGCAAGAGCAAUUAACCAAAUUUUAACAAGAUAUGAGGGAUCAGAUGUUAGAGUUCCAAAGAAGUAUGAUAAGCCUGUUAACCCAGUUAUUGGAUAAAGGGUUAGAAAAAGGAAAAAAUCGGGUGGUCCACUUUAGGGAUGAUAGUGAAGACCCUGCUUCUUCUCCAGGCUUUACACCAACAAGCAUCCAGACACAACCAAAUGGGUAUCCACAAAAAGUGUCUGUUAACAUUAGACCCCAAUACUAGACCGGUACCUCGACACUAAUGAAUUACCCGACAGGCUCAAAUUCCAAUAUGAGAGACAAUCUAACCAAUCCUGUGGUCCAUGAUGAUCUAGCUAAAACAAAACAGGUGAAAGUGGAGUUCCCAAAGCAAUUUGAAGAUCGUUACAAACAGAAAAGGCAAGAGUGGAGUUUCCAACUCAAUACUUUAAAGGCUCCGGGGAAUAGGAAGAAUGAAGUGAAUAACGCAAGCAUGUAUAAUAGGGGAUACACAAAACCAAUUACUGUAGGCCAGCCAAAAAUAGUAACCGCUAGCCAUCAGGGCCUUUCAAGGCAAGAAUCUUACACGAGGACAAAUACAGAAAACGCCUAUACUAAUUAUGUAUAGAGAGCUAUAUCAAAACAUGUUUGAAGCACAUAUAGUAUCGCCUUUCUACUUGAAACCAAUGCAGCCCCCAUUUCCUAAAGGGUACGACACAAAUGCCCAGUGCGAAUACCAUGUAGGAAUCAUGGGGCAUUCGAUAGAAAACUGCACCGCUUUCAAAAAGCUAGUUGAAAGGCUCAUCAAUAUGGGUAUUGUCAAGUUCAAUGACUCAUCUAAUCCGCUACCCAAUCAUAUUGAUAAUAGGGUAAACACGAUGAGUUAAGAUAUUAGGAGAAGAAUCAAGAUAGACAUUGUAGAAGUAAAAACUCUAUUGAGUUGGGUCUAGAAGGAGAUGGCAAGAAGGGGAUUAGUCAUUUCGGAUUUAGGAGGAGGCCACGGAAAGACAAUGAACUAUUGUGAGUUCUAUUAUGAGAAGGGGCAUGAGAUCCAAGAGUGCAUGGAAUUCAGGGCUUUGGUUCAAGGCAUGAUGGACAAUAAAGAGAUGGAGUUCUGUGAGAAAAUUAUAGAAGAGAGAAGCCUAUGCACAAUGUUGGGAAGUGUUCACAUCAAUGUCGUAUAUGAGGACACAACUGAAAAGGGGACCUUGUUAGAUAUCCGUCCUUAUAAACCUGGGAGUGUUUUAAAUAAUUGGACUGCGAAAGAAAUUCCUGUAGUUUUAGAGCUUACUCAGAGUAAUGUUCAGAACACACUUGUUACUUUUAGCCUAGAAGUGAUAAGAAUCCCUUUGUGAAAUAGGCUCAUGUCUGAACGUCAUUAUUUUAAUAAAAUACAUUUUUACAUUUUGAGAAAAUAUUCUUUUACUCUUUUCAUAUGAAUAAUUAUUCUUUCAUUCUUUUAGAGAUUUUCUUCCAAUUCAUUCUUUCAUUUCAUUCAUAAUCGUAUUGUACAAAUAAUAAUUCUUAAAUUCACACAUUCUUUGAAUAUUCUUUGUACCUACAAUAGGUCCUUGGAUAUCAACGACAUGAGUGACACUGCUAUAGGCUCAGAAUUUCCUUUUAAACAAGACAUGUGUUUAGAGGGAUCUCAUAACUUUGAAAAUGACGUAGAUUGUAGCCUAUCUCCGAACUUGUUGAGGAUGGUAGAGUAGGAAGAGAAACAAAUUUUACCCUAUGAGGAGACAAUGGAGAUUGUGACCUUGGUGGAGGGAAAAGUAGUAAAAAGUAGAACAUGCAUAACCGAAGAAACGAAGCAAGACCUUGCUGAGUUACUUCAAGAGUUCAAAGAUGUCUUCGCAUGGUCAUACCAGGAUAUGCUCGGGUUAAGCACUGACAUUGUAAUCUGAACAACAGCACGAUGUCAGAAAUUUGCAAUAUGUUCAAGACUAACAUCAUGAACGAUGCAGUGGAGAAAACCUCUACCGGAGCAACGCCUUUCUCUUUGGCUUCUCACCAUUUUGCCCAUUGAAAUCGAGUUUUCAUCUCUUCAAGUUUUUGUUAAAUUUUAUCCCUAUUGAAGAGGAAGAUCCAAAGUUUUUCGUCAUAGUCAGAUGUACCAAAAAAAAUUUCGCCCCAGAAAGCUCUAUGAGAGAAACCUGAUAUCAAAGAAGAUCCUUUGCAUGCAAAAGAAUUUCAUAAGAAAGUGAAUGUUAAGAUGGGAAGGAUCUUGUGUAGAAGAUUUUAUCUAGAAAAACAUUGAUUCUGAUCGAAAAGGAUAACAAUGACUUGCCUAAUCCUAUGAGUUCAGAUCCAAUCAAAAAAUAUUUUAAAAAACUUAAAAAAUAAAAAAAUAAAAAAUAUUUCAAGAAUAAAAUGAAAAUAAAAAUGAUAAAAAAAAGAAAAAAAGGAAAAAAGGAAAAGGAAAAGGAAAGGCCAAAGCGAAAACCCGCAAAGCGCGCUUUGAUAUCAAAGGGGAUUUGAGUUGAAAACCCAAAAAGGGUGGCUCAAAUUUUAAGAUAAGUGAGGCAUGGAUGUCACCGGGCUAAUAUCCCCGAAGGCUUCUGUACAGCCCAAAUUUUGCCCGGGCCCAACAAGUAGAGACCAAAAUACCAUCAGACCCAAUUAAAUUAAACCACCCCAAACUAAACCUAACCCAAACAAACCCAAAAAUAAACUCAAUAAGAAUAGUCCAUUUUACAAAAAUAAAAACCAAUACAAACCCUAAGCCCAAAUUAAAAUACCAUCCCACUACCAAACUAAAACCCUAGCAGCCCUUACUGCCCAUGUGCGCUGUUCAGCCACCUCGCACGCCCUUUGCCUACCGCCGCUACUUGCCUAUCGCCUUAUCCGCAUGCUCUGACAUCUCUGCCAUCUACAAUACACAAGAAGAAGAAAACAAAAAGGACAAAACAAUAGACAAACAAAUCGAAAGAAAACAAAGAAAAUGGAAAAAUAGUUUUGUAUUUUGGUUAUAAAGCCAAAAUGAGAGGCUUGUUAAGCUUCUUCUUCCUUUUACGAACACAAGAGAAAUAAAAAAAGUAAUAUUUCAAUGUGAUAUAUAUUUUUUUGUUGUUUUAGAUCUAGUGCUUUAUUUUUAUUUCUUUUUAUCUACGAAAAUAAAAAAAGAAAAAUGAAGAAAAAAUGCACCUGGAUUCACACCCGAGCCCCAUCACCGGAAACCUUUUCCCUUGGCGCUGAAAUCGGGCCGAGAGGGGUGUAGGGGGUCUCUAUUUUUGGUUUUUUUCUUAAAAAAGGGCCCUGGCCUUCGAAUGGGAUUCAAAUUCGGGGUUAAAACGCCCUUUUACGCCACGUCGGCCACUGGCCAUGGUGGCGCUAUGGCGGAGGCGCGCCGGAACCCUAGGCCAGAUCAUGGCCAGAGAAGGCAAUGGAGGCACAGAGGGAGAGAGUUUUCUGAUUUUUUUGUAAAAAUGGGAGAGAAGAAGUGAUUUUUUUUUUAGGUAUUUUGGUUUAUAUAAGGUACCAAAAUGGUACCGUUUUGGGAAGGGCCAUUAAUGACCAAAAUGGCGCCGUUUUGGGCUAACCGACCCGAUCCGACUCGCUCCGGAAGAAGGAUCCGCGUGUUUUAGCCUUAAGGGGUUAUUUGCACGAGAAGUCCCUCCGCUUUUGCAGCGAAGUGUAAUUCGAUCCUUUUUUAUUAUUUUCUGAUUUGGGCCGCAAACUUUGCUUCUGCUUCAAUUUGGUCCAUAGACCAUGCGCAGAUGUUGUCCCCUGCAACGGCGCCAUUCAAAUGGCAUGGGAAUAUUUCCCUUUCGACCCUGUAUCUUUGGGUACGUUUAGUUCAGGCCCCAAUUGUCUUUUUAUUUAAAUUCUGUCAUUUAAUUUUGUUUUAAUUUCAAUCUGGUCCUGAGUCCAUUUAAUUUAUUUGUUUAUUAUUAUUAGUAUUUUUUUAAACAAAAACUCUUUUAUUAUUAUCUGUUUUAAGUUUUUAUUUAUUUAUUAUUUAUUGUAAACUAUUAUAUAUAUAUACAUAUAUAUCUUUUAAAUUUUCGUAUGUAUGUAUAUAUUAUUUGAAACUAUUUGUACUUAUUUUUUAUAUAUAAUAUUAUUUAUUUUAAAAUGUUCUAUAUUUAUUUAUUUUAAGUUUUCUGGUAUAUUUUUUAUUCGAAACUUUUAUUAUUUAUUGUUCUUAUAAAUCAUUCAUGUUAAAUUAUUAUUUACUUUAGAUUGUUAUAUAUAUUGUCUUGUUUUAUAUUCCUUUGGUUAUUAAUGUUGGUAUUAAAAUUAGAUAUAUUGUGUGCUCAUUUCCAUUGUGUGUACUAUAAUUUGCUUAUUCGUAUCCUCAUAUAUUUUUCAUGCAUUAAUGUAUCAUUUUAUUCAUAAAUUGUUAUGCCAUGUUCCAUUAUCGCUCAAUUUCAUUUCAUCACUUCAAAAGUUGCGCUCGAUUUGUAUACCUCAAUAAUAAACCGAUCUAUUUUAUCACGAACAAAACAAAUACACCUCGUUCAAGUGUUGCACUCGUCAUCAUUCAAAUCCAAGAAGAGUUUUAAAAUAAGGCAAUAUUUUGUGUUUGGAAAUUCGAGAAAACGUGCCCUAACGUGUUGGGUUUCGAUUCCUCGCUCGACCAAAUAGCCAAAUAUCCUUUUAGAAUUUCAAAGUAAGGCAAUAUUUUGCAUUUGGGAAAUUUGAGAAGACGUGCCCUAACGUGCUGGGUUUUGAUUUCUCGUUUAACCUAAAUAGCAAAAUAUCCUUUUAAACCAUGGCUCUUGAAUAAGCAAGAUUUCAUGUUCAGAUUCGAGAGAAAUCGUACCCUAACUUACGGGGUUUCGAUUUUCCUCGACGAGUCUAAAGGACCAAUCAUUUUAAAUCAAAGCACAAGUUAAAUAAAAACUUAUCCUCGGGAGUUCAAAAAUGUCGUGUCCUAACUCAUUGGAUGUAACAUUUUGUUAUAUCAAGGUAAGGAUUUCUAAAAACGCAAAGGUAAUAUUCUGCAUGUGGAAUUUUGAGAAAUCAAGCCCUAACUUACUGGGUUCCGAUUUUUUUGACCCAAGUGACCGAAUAUCCUUUUAAAAUUGAAAAAAAUGAGGUUUUAAUAAAAAAAAUAAAAGAAAGCUUACUCUCAAAAAUACGAGGUGUUGUGUCCUAACUAACUGGAUGUGACAUCUUGUUACUUCGAGAUAAGGAGGCAUUUUCUAUUUUGAUUUAUUCGAGUAAUUUUAAAAUAACACAAUAAAAAGGGAUAGUAUUUUUAAAUUCUUUUCGAGUUUUUAAUUUUUGACACCAAGACAUUAAGUAAUCAACUAGGUACCAAUUUUGGGCGUUACGAGUGUGCUAAUCCUUCCUCGUACGUAAUUGACUCCCGAAUCCAUUUUCUAAAUUUCGUAGACUAAAAUUGUUGUUUUAAUAAACUCAAAUUAUUUACUAAAGACAACCACAUUUUGAGGUGGUCCGAUCACACCUCAUCAAAAAAAGAUUGGUGGCGACUCCCACUUUCGUUUUAGUUUCAAAAUCCAAGUCGACCCCCUGUUUAUCAAAAAAAUGGUGUCAACAGCUUCUAUUGGGUAUCACUUCAUUUGUGAGGUUAUUAAUUACUUCACCAAAUGGGUAGAGACUGCUUCAUGCGCUAAUGUCACCAGGUUAGCAGUUAGCAAGUUUUUGAAAAAGGAGAUUAUAUGUCGAUAUGGAAUGUCUGAAAGAAUCAUAUCUGACAAUGCGCUGAAUUUGAACAACAGCACCAUAAUGGAAGUUUGCAGUCAAUUUAAGAUCAGACACAAUAAUUCGUCACCAUAUCGCCCAAAAAUGAAUGGUGUAGUGGAGGCGACCAAUAAAAAAUAUCAAGAAAGUUGUGAGGAAAAUGUCUGAGACUUACAAAGAUUGGCAUUACCAUUCACCCUUUUGGCUUAUCGAACGUCUAUCAUAACUUCCACCAGGGCAACGCCUUUCUCUCUGGUUUAUCGGAUGGAGGCAGUUUUACCCAUUAAAGUUGAAAUUCCUUCUCUCCGGGUAUUGGUUGAGCUAAGGUUGGAUGAAGCAAAAUGGAUCCAAUCUCGAUAUGAUAAAUUGAACCUAAUUGGAGAAAAAAGGCUAAAAGCUAUUCACCACGGUCAGAUGUAGUAGAAACGAAUGAUGCGAGCCUAUAACAAAAAGGUUCGUCUUAGAGAAUUCCAUGAAGGGGACCUGGUGUUGGGAAAAUAUUUUUUUCUCUACAAAAGAUUUUAGAGGGAAAUGGAUGCCAAAUUGGGAAGGACCUUAUGUUGUAAAGAAGGCCUUUUCUGGAGGAGCAUUAAUUUUGAGUGAGAUGGAUGGUAAAAACCUGCCUAAUCCUGUAAACUCAGAUUCAGUCAAGAAAUACUUCACCUCUAAUUAGAAAACCCUAGCAGCAGACCAACAACCCUCGCUAUUCUCUACGCGCCUCCAGCUGGGUGUACUUGCAAAACAAACGAAACCAACAAGGACAGCAAGGAAAGGCAAUAACAAAAAAGGAGCAAGCAAAUGAAAAAAGAGAAUAAAAGAAAAUGAUAUUUUUCUUUCUUAUAAUUUUAUUUUUUGUUUUUCUCGGCUAUAUAAGGCCAAAUAAUCUGUAAAAAAAGGGGGGAGAAAUUAAAAAAAAGCAGUAAACAAAAUCAAUCACAGUUUUCGAAGGUGAUCUGAAUUUUUUAUUUAAUUUCUUUGUUGUUUUCCUUAGUUUUUUCGUGGAUGCUUGCUUACUGUUUAAGAAAAGAAACACAAAAAAAGGCGAGGGUUUACCUUAUUGUCGGUGCCGAUUGGAUCUUUGUUCACUUCAUCGCAAUAGACUCUCAAGCGAGGGUUGUAAGGCCGAAGAUCGAAGGAGCUGUCGGUGGCAUGGGAAUGGGUUCAAAAACCCUAGCAGAGGAAAAAUGGGAUAAUAAUUUUUUUAAAGAAUGAUAGAAAGUAAUUUUUUUUAAAUUGUUGAUUUUAUAUUAGGUAUGAAACGACGUCAUUUAAAGCAUGUUUCAGUGGCCUCAAAAUGGUGUCGUAUAAGGCCAUGACCCGCGCGGUGACCCGACCUAAGGGAAGGUUCCGCGUGUUUUUUAUUGAUGGGUAAUUUGCAUCUCUGGUCUCGCCGCAUUUUUAUUUAUUUUAAUUCAGUUUUUUUCAUUUUUUCAAUUGAUACUGUAAAUUUUAUUCGAUUUCUGAUUCGGUCCUGAUGAAACGACGCAUUUCAGAGGGCGAGAAUAUUUCUCCAUUCAAUCCCUCUGAGUUAUUCGCGCCUUUCAAUUGGACCUUUCAUUUUGUUCUAUUUUCAUUUUUUCCCUUUAAUUUUGUUUUGAGUUUAAUUUAAUCCAUACUUAUUUCAUUUAAUGUACUUGAUUUUUAUUCUGUUUAAAAUCCAUUUUUCUGUUAUUUUUAGCUAUAUUUAUUUUUAAAUCUAACUUUCUUUUUAGGACAUUCUAUAUUCAUUCAUACACCUCUAAUUAGGAUAUUUUGAUUUAUUCAGAUCAUAACAUCCUACUCAUUAGGCAUAAAUAGGCCUAUGCAAUGAUUCUACAAGUCAUGUUCCCUAGAGAACAGAUUAGUGAAACCACAAAUCCCAUACCACUGAAGUCGCAGUAGAAUGGUUUGAAGAAGAUGGCGAAUCUAAUAUCCCUGAAGUUACGGUGGAGUAAAUUAAAGCCCAUAAUCUCAUUUCUUUGGCGUUGCAGUGGAAUAGAUUAAAGCUAAAGGCAACGAAUCUUAUUUCCCUGACGUCGCAGUAGAUUAAAGCUGAAGGCACCAAAUCUCAUUUCCAUGAUGUUGCAGUGGAACAGAUUAAAGCUAAAGCCAGCGAAUCUUAUUUCCUUGGGAUCGUAGUAGAUUAAACCUGAAGGUAGUGAAUCUCAUUUCCUUGGCUUGUAGUGGAAUAAAUUAAAGCUGAAGGUAGCAAAUCUUAUUUCCCUAGCGUCGUAGUAGAUUAAAGCUGAAGGCAGCGAAUCUCAUUUUCUUGGCAUUGUAGUGGAACAGAUUAAAGUUGAAGGCAGCGAAUCUUAUUUCCCUAGUGUCGCAAUAGAUUAAAGCUGAAGGCAGCGAAUCUUAUUUCCUUGGCGUUGUAGUGGAACAAAUUAAAGCUGAAGGCAGUUAAUCUUAUUUUCCUGGCGUCGCAGUAGAUUAAAGCUAAAGGCAACGAAUCUCAUUUCCUUGGCGUUACAGUGGAACAGAUUAAAGUUGGAGCCAACGAAUCUUAUUUCUCUAGCGUCACAGUAGAUUAAAGCUGAAGGCAGCGAAUCUUAUUUCCCUAGCAUCGCAGUGGGAUGGUUUAAAGUUAUCAUGGCAGAUCUUAUCUCUAUUAAGUUUCAGUGGAGCAGAUUAAAGCCACAAACCUUAUCCCUCUGAAGUUGCAGUGGGGCAGGUUGAAGAGACAAAUCUUAUUUUCCUAGCAUCGCAGUGGAAUGGUUUGAAGAAGAUGACGAAUCUUAUAACCCUAAAGUUGCAGUGGAGUAGAUUAAAGCCGAUAAUCUUAUUUCUUUUGCGUUGUAGUGGAACAGAUUAAAGCUAAAGGCAUCAAAUCUUAUUUCCCUGGCGUCGCAGUAGAUUAAAGCUAAAGGCAGCGAAUCUUAUUCCCUUGGUGUUGUAGUGGAAUAGAUUAAAGCUGAAGGCAGCAAAUCUUAUUUUCCUGGCGACGCAGUAGAUUAAAGCUGAAGGCAACGAAUCUCCUUUUCUUGGUGUUGCAGUGAAACAGAUUAAUGUUGAGGGCAGCAAAUCUUAUUUCCUUGGCGUCGCAGUAGAUUAAAGUUGAAGGCAGCGAAUCUCAUUUCCUUGGCGUUGUAGUGGAAUAGAUUAAAGCUAAAGGCAGCGAAUCUGAUUUCUCUGGCGUCGCAGUAGAUUAAAGCUGAAGGGAGCGAAUCUUAUUUCCCUAGCGUCGCAGUAGAUUAAAUCAGAAGGAAACGAGUAGGAUGGUUUGAAGUUAUCAUGGUAGAUUUUAUCUCCUUGAAGUCGUAGUAGAACAGAUUAAAGCCACAAACCUUAUCCCUCUGAAGUUGCAGUGGGGCAGGUUGAAGAGACAAAUAUUAUUUUCCUGAAGUUACAGUGGAAUGGUUUGAAGAAGAUGAUGAAUCUUGUAUCCCUAAAGUUACAGUGGAGUAGAUUAAAGCCAAUAAUCUCAUUUCUUUAGCUUUGUAGUGGAAUAGAUUAAAGCUGAAGGCAACAAAUCUUAUUUCCUUGGCAUCGGAGUAGAUGAAAGCUGAAGGCAACAAAUCUUAUUUUCCUAGCGUCACAGUAGAUUAAAGCUAAAGGCAGCGAAUCUCAUUUCCCUCGCGUUGCAGUGGAACAGAUUCAAGUUGAAGGUAGUAAAUCUUAUUUCCCUAGCGUCGCAGUAGGUUAAAGCUGAAGGCAGUGAAUCUCAUUUCCAUGGCGUUGCAGUGGAACAGAUUAAAGCUGAAGGUAGCGAAUCUUAUUUCUCUGGGGUCACAGUAGAUUAAAGCUGAAUGAAUCUCAUUUCCUUGGCGUUGCAGUGGAACAGAUUAAAGUUGAAGGUAACGAAUCUUAUUUCCUAGGGUCGAAGUAGAUUAAAGCAGAAGGAAGCGAAUCUUAUUUCUUUGGCGUUGCAGUGGAACAGAUUAAAUCUCAAGGCAACGAAUAUUAUUUCCCUGGCGUCGCAGUAGAUUAAAGCUAAAGGCAGCAAAUCUUAUUUCCCUGCCGUUGUAGUAAAUUAAAGCUAAAGGCAGCGAAUCUCAUUUCUUUGGCAUUAGCGUCGCAGUAGAUUAAAGCUGAAGGCAGCGAAUCUUAUUUCCCUGGCGUGGCAGUAGAUUAAAUCAGAAGGACACGAGUCUUAUUCCCUCAGCAUUGCAGUGGAACAGAUUAAAGCUGAAGCCAGCGGAUUUUAUUUCCCUGGCAUCGCUGUAGAUUAAACCUGAAGGUCGCGAAUCUUAUUUCCUUUUCGUUACAGUGGAACAGAUUAAAGCUGAAGCAGUGAAUCUUAUUUCCCUGGCGUCGUAGUAGAUUAAAACUGAAGGCAGUGAAUCUUAUUUCGAUUGUGUUGUAGUGGAACAGAUUAAAGCUGAAGGUAGUAAAUCUUAUUUCCCUAGCGUCACAGCAGAUUAAAGCUGAAGGCAGCAAAUCUCUUUUCCCUGGCAUUGCAGUGGAACAGAUUAAAGCUGAAUGUAGUAAAUCUUAUUUCCCUGGCAUCGUAGUAGAUUAAAGCUGAAGGCGGUGAAUCUUAUUUCCUUAGCGUUGCAGUGGAACAGAUUAAAGCUAAAGGCAGCGAAUCUUAUUUACCUGGAGUCGUAGUAGAUUAAACUUGAAGGCAGCGAAUCGCAUUUCCCUGGUGUUGCAGUAGAUUAAAGCUGAAGGAAGUGAAUCUUAUUCCUUUGGCAUCACAGUUGAACAAAUUAAAGCUGAAGGCAGCGAACCUCAUUUCCCUAACGUCGUAAUAGAUUAAAGCUGAAGGCAUCGAAUCUUAUUUCCUAAGCGUUGCAGUGGAACAGAUUAAACCUGAAGCCAGUGAAUCUUAUUUCCCUGGCGUCGUAGUAGGUUAAAGCUGAAUGCAGCGAAUCUCAUUUUCUUGGCAUUGCAGUGGAACAGAUUAACACUAAAGGGUGAAUAUUAUAUCCCUGGCGUCGUAGUAAGCUAAAGUUGAAGGCAGAGAAUCUUAUUUCCUUGGCGUUGCAGUGGAACAUAUUAAAAUUGAAGGCAGUAAAUCUUAUUUCCUUGGCGUUGCAGUGGAAAAGAUUAAAAAUGAAGGUAGCGAACUUUAUUUCCAUGUCGUCGUAGUAAAUUAAAGCUGAAGGUAGCAAAUCUUAUUUCCUUAGCAUUGCAGUGGAACAGGUUAAAGCUGAAGGCAGCGAAUCUCAUCUCCUUGCCGUUGUAGUGGAACAGAUUAAAGCUGAAGGCAAGAAAUCUUAUUUCCCUGGCACCGCAAUAGACUAAAGGUAAAGGCGGUGAAUCUUAUUUCCUUGGCGUUUCAGUAGAACAGAUUAAAGCUGAAGGCAGCGAAUCUUAUUUCCCUGCCGUUGCAGUAGAACAGAGUAAAGCAGAAGGCAACAAAUCUUAUUUCCCUGACGUCGCAGUAGACUAAAGCUAAAGCCAACGACUCUUAUUUCCCCUGCGUUGCAGUGGAACAGAUUAAAGCUGAAAGCAACGAAUUCCAUUUCCUUGGCAUUGCAGUAGAACAAAUUAAAGCUGAAUGCAGCAAAUCUUAUUUCCUUGGCAUCGCAUUAGAUGAAAGCUGAAGGUAGCAAAUCCAUUUCCUUGGCGUUGCAGUUGAACUGAUUAAAGUUGAAGGCAGCAAAUCUUAUUUCGCUGGCGUCAGAGUAGAUUAAACCUUAAGGCAGUGAAUCUUAUUUCCUUAGCGUUGCAGUAGAACAUAUUAAAGCUGAAGGCAAUAAAUCUUAUUUCCUUGGCAUUGUAGUAGAACAGAUUAAAGCUGAAGGCAGCGAAUCUUAUUUCCCUGUCAUCACAGUAGAUUCAAGCUGAAGGUAGCGAAUCUUAUUUCGUUGGCGUUGCAGUGGAACAGAUUAUAGCUGACGGCAGCGAAUCCCAUUUUCUUGGCAUUGCAGUGGAUCAAAUUAAAAUUGAAGGUAGCAAAUCUUAUUUCCUUGGCAUCGCAUUAGAUUAAAGCUGAAGGUAACAAAUCUCAUUUCUUUGGUGUUGCAGAGGAACAGAUUAAAGCUGAAGGCAGCGAAUCUUAUUUCCCUGUCGUCACAGUUGAUUAAAGUUGAAGGUAGCAAAUUUUAUUUCCUUGGAGUUGUAGUAGAACAGAUUAAAGCAGGAGGCACCAAAUCUUAUUUCCCUGACGUCGCAAUAGACUAAAGCUAAAACCAGCGAAUCUUAUUUCCUUAGCAUUGCAGUAGAACAGAUUAAAGCUGACGACAGCGAAUUACAUUUCCUUGGCAUUACAGUGGAACAAAUUAAAGCUGAAAGAAGCAAAUCUUAUUUCCUCGGCGUCGUAUUAGAUUAAAGCUGAAGGCAGCGAAUCUCAUUUCCUUGGCAUAGUAGUGGAAAAGCAGAAGGCAGCAAAUCUUAUUUCUCUAGCGUCGUAGUAGAUUAAAGCUGAAGGCAACAAAUCUCAUUUCCCUGGCGUUGCAGUGGAACAAAUUAAAGCUGAAGCAGUGAAUCUUAUUUCCCUGGUGUCGUAGUAGAUUAAAACUGAAGGCAGUGAAUCUUAUUUCGAUUGCGUUUUAGUGGAACAGAUUAAAGCUGAAGGUAGUAAAUCUUAUUUCCCUAGCGUAACAGCAGAUUAAAGCUAAAGGCAACAAAUCUCUUUUCCCUGGCAUUGCAGUGGAACAGAUUAAAGCUGAAUGUAGUAAAUCUUAUUUCCCCGGCAUCGUAGUAGAUUAAAGCUGAAGGCGGGGAAUCUUAUUUCCUUAGCGUUGCAGUGGAACAGAUUAAAGCUAAAGGCAGCGAAUCUUAUUUACCUGGAGUCGUAGUAGAUUAAACUUGAAGGCAGCGAAUCUCAUUUCCCUGGUGUUGCAGUAGAUUAAAGCUGAAGGAAGCGAAUCUUAUUCCUUUGGCAUCACAGUGGAACAAAUUAAAGCUGAAGGCAGCGAAUCUCAUUUCCCUAACGUCGUAAUAGAUUAAAGCUGAAGGCAUCGAAUCUUAUUUCCUAAGCGUUGCAGUGGAACAGAUUAAACUUGAAGCCAGUGAAUCUUAUUUCCCUGGCGUCGCAGUAGGUUAAAGCUGAAUGCAGCGAAUCUCAUUUUCUUGGAAUUGCAGUGGAACAGAUUAACGCUAAAGGCAGUGAAUCUUAUAUCCCUGGUGUCGCAGUAAGCUAAAGUUGAAGGCAGAGAAUCUUAUUUCCUUGGCGUUGCAGUGGAACAUAUUAAAGUUGAAGGCAGUAAAUCUUAUUUCCUUAGCGUUGCAGUGGAACAGAUUAAAACUGAAGGUAGCGAACUUUGUUUCCAUGUCGUCGCUAUAAAUUAAAGCUGAAGGUAGCAAAUCUUAUUUCCUUAGCAUUGCAGUGGAACAGGUUAAAGCUGAAGGCAGCGAAUCUCAUCUCCUUGCCGUUGUAGUGGAACAGAUUAAAACUGAAGGCAAGGAAUCUUAUUUCCCUGGCACCGCAAUAGACUAAAGGUAAAGGCGGUGAAUCUUAUUUCCUUGGCGUUUCAGUAGAACAGAUUAAAGCUGAAGGCAGCGAAUCUUAUUUCCCUGUCGUUGCAGUAGAAUAGAGUAAAGCAGAAGGCAACAAAUCUUAUUUCCCUGACGUCGCAGUAGACUAAAGCUAAAGCCAAUGACUCUUAUUUCCCCGGCGUUGCAGUGGAACAGAUUAAAGCUGAAAGCAGCGAAUUCUAUUUCCUUGGCAUUGCAGUGGAACAAAUUAAAGCUGAAGGCAGCAAAUCUUAUUUCCUUGGCAUCGCAUUAGAUGAAAGCUGAAGGCAGCAAAUCUCAUUUCCUUGGCGUUGCAGUUGAACUGAUUAAAGUUGAAGGCAGCAAAUCUUAUUUCGCUGGCGUCAGAGUAGAUUAAACCUUAAGGCAGUGAAUCUUAUUUCCUUAGCAUUGCAGUGGAACAUAUUAAAGCAGAAGGCAAUAAAUCUUAUUUCCUUGGCAUUGUAGUAGAACAGAUUAAAGCCGAAGGCAGCGAAUCUUAUUUCUCUGUCAUCGCAGUAGAUUCAAGCUGAAGGUAGCGAAUCUUAUUUCGUUGGCGUUGCAGUGGAACAGAUUAUAGCUGACGGCAGUGAAUCCCAUUUUUUUGGCAUUGUAGUGGAUCAAAUUAAAAUUGAAGGUAGCAAAUCUUAUUUUCUUGGCGUCGCAUUAGAUUAAAGCUGAAGGUAGCAAAUCUUAUUUCCCUGUCGUUGCAGUUGAUUAAAGUUGAAACAGCAAAUUUUAUUUCCUUGGAGUUGUAGUAGAACAGAUUAAAGCAGAAUGCACCAAAUCUUAUUUCCCUGACGUCGCAAUAGACUAAAGCUAAAGCCAGCGAAUCUUAUUUCCUUAGCAUUGCAGUAGAGCAGAUUAAAGCUGACGAUAGCGAAUUAAUUUCCUUGACAUUACAGUGGAACAAAUUAAAGCUGAAAGAAGCAAAUCUUAUUUCCUUGGCGUCGUAUUAGAUUAAAGCUGAAGGCAGCGAAUCUCAUUUCCUUGGCGUAGUAGUGGAAAAGCAGAAGGCAGCACAUCUUAUUUCUCUAGCGUCGUAGUAGAUUAAAGCUGAAAGCAACAAAUCUCAUUUCCUUGGCGUUGCAGUGGAACAGAUUAAAGUUGAAGCCAAUAAAUCUUAUUUCCCUGGCAUCGCAGUAGAUUAAAGCUGAAGGCAGCAAAUCUCAUUUCCUUAGUGUUGCAGUGGAACAGAUUAAAGCUAAAGGUAGCGAAUCUUAUUUCUCUGCUGGCGCAGUAAAUUAAAGCUGAAGGCAGUGAAUCUUUUUUCCUUGGCGUUGUAGUGGAACAGAUUAAAGUUAAAGGCAGCAAAUCUUAUUUCCCUGGCGUCGCAGUAGAUUAAAGAUGAAGGCAGCGAGUCUUAUUUCCUUAGCGUUGUAGUGGAACAGAUUAAAGCAGAAGGCAGUGAAUCUUAUUUCCCUGGCGUCGCAGUAGAUUAAAGCUGAAGCUAGAGAAUCUCAUUUUUUUGUAGUCGCAGUGGAACAGAUUAAAACUGACGGUAACAAAUCUUAUUUCCCUAGCGUCGCAGUAGAUUAAAGCAGGAGGCAACAAAUUUCAUUUCCCUAGCAUUGUAGUGGAACAGAUUAAAGCUAAAGGCAGUAAAUAUUAUUUCCCUAGCGUCGCAGUAGAUUAAAGCUGAAGGCAACGAAUCUCAUCUCCUUGGUAUUGCAGCAGAACAGAUUAAAACUGAAGGCAGCAAACCUUAUUUCCCUGGCGUCGCAGUAGACUAAAGAUAAAGCCAGUGAAUCUUAUUUCCCUGGCGUUGCAGUGGAAUAGAUUAAAGCUGAUGACAGCGAAUCUCCUUUCCUUGGCGUUGUAGUGGAACAAAUUAAAGCUGAAGGCAACAAAUCUUAUUUCCUUAACAUCACAUUAGAUUAAAGCUAAAGGUAGCAAAUCUCAUUUCCUUAGCGUUGCAGUGGAACAGAUUAAAGUAGGAGGCAGAAAAUCUUAUUUCUCUAGCGUCGCAUUAGAUUAAAGCUAAAGGCAGCAAAUCUCAUUUCCUUGGCAUUGCAGUGGAACAAAUUAAAGUUAAAGGCAGUAAAUUUUAUUUCCCUGGCAUCGCAGUAGAUUAAAGCUGCACGUAGCAAAUCUCAUUUCCUUGGCGUUGCAGUGGAAUAGAUUAAAGUUGAAGGCAGCGAAUCUUAUUUCCCUGGUAUCGCAGUAGAUUAAAGCUGAAGGCAGUGAAUCUUAUUUCAUUUCCGUUGCAGUGGAACAGAUUAAAGUUGAAGGUAGCGAAUUUUAUUUCCCUAGCGUUGCAGUAGAUUAAAGCUAAAGGCAGCGAAUCUCAUUUCCAUUGCAUUGCAGUGGAAGAAAUUAAAGCUGAAGGCAGCAAAUCUUUUUUCCUUAGCGUCGCUCUAGAUUAAAUUUAAAGGCAUCGAAUCUCAUUUCCCUGGCGUUGCACUGGAACAUAUUAAAGCUGAAGGAAGUAAUCUUAUUUUCCUGACGUCACAGUAGAUUAAAGCUGAAGGCAGCGAAUCUCAUUUUCUUGGCGUUCCAGUGGAACAGAUUAAAGCUAAAGGAAGCGAAUCUUAUUUACCUGGCGUCGCAGUAGAUUAAAGUUGAAAGCGGUGAAUCUUAUUUCUCUGGCUUCACAGUAGAUUAAAGCUGAAGGCAGUGAAUCUCAUUUCGUUGGCAUUGUAGUGGAACAGAUUAAAGCUGAAGGAAGCGAAUCUUAUUUCAUUGACGUCGCAGUAGAUUAAAGCUAAAGGAAACGAAUCUUAUUUUCUUAAUUUUGCAGUAGAACAAAUUAAAGCUGAAACCAACAAAUAUUAUUUCUCUGUCGUCGUAGUAGAUUAAAACUAAAGGCAGCGAAUCACAUUUCCUUGGCAUUGUAGUGGAACAGAUUAACACUGAAGGCAGCGAAUCUUAUUUCCCUAGCAUUGCAGUAGACUAAAGCUGAAGGCGGCGAAUGUUAUUUCCUUGGCGUUGCAGUGGAACAGAUUAAAGCUGAAGGCAGUGAAUCUUAUUUCCCUUGCAUCGUAGUAAAUUAAAGUUGAAGGCGGUGAAUCUUACUUUCUGGGCAAUACAGCGGAACAGUUUAAAGCUGAAGGCAGCGAAUCUUAUUUCCUUGGCGUCGCAAUAGAUUAAAGCUGAAGACAGCAAAUCUUAUUUCUUUGGCGUUGCAGUGGGAUGGUUUGAAGUUAUCAUGGUAGAUCUUAUCUCCCUGAAUUUGUAGUGGAGCAGAUUAAAGCCACAAACCUUAUCCCCCUGAAGUUGCAGUAGAGCAGAUUAAAGCCACAACCCUUAUCCCCAUGAAGUUGCAGUGAGGCAGGUUGAAGUGACAAAUCUUAUCUUCCUGAAGUUACAGUGGAGCAGAUUGAAACCACCGUCUUAUUUCCCUGAAGUUGCAGUGGAGCAGACUAAAACCACAAAUCUCUUCCCCUUUGAAAUCGCGACAGAGUAGAUUGACGCUACGAGUCGUAUCUGAAGUUGCAGUGGAGUGGAUCGAAGCAACAAGAUGCAGUGGGCUAGAAUUAGGCUACUUGAUGAAGAGAAGUACCAAGUAAGGUGAAGACUCGGCAAGACUAGGAAAAAUUAGCCUUUUUGAGUCUUUGCUCCAUUUUCGUUACACGACAAUGAGCAAAGAGGAGCAACUGUAAUAGGCCAAUUUUGGCCUGGCCCAAAAUUAACCAAAUUAAAAAAGAAACCAAAUAUAAAAAUUAAUAAUUGACCAAUAACAGUCCAGAGUUACAGUGGUCCAAUUAACCCAAGAUUAAAUAGCAGUCCAAAACCUCUAGCUCAAUUACAACUAGCCCAAAACCAAUAGCCAAAGAAAUACCAGAAAACCCUACCAGUAGACCAACAGCUGCCGCCAUUCCCCACGCGCACAACGCCCUCACGUGCCUCCAGCUGGCUGUACCUGCAAAACAAAUGAAACCAACAAGGGCAACAAGGAAAGGCAAUAACAAAAAAAGAGCUAGCAAAUGAAAAAGGAGAAUAAUAGAAAAUAAGAUAUUUCUUUCUUGUAAUUUUAUUUUUUUUAUUUUUAUCGGCUAUAUAAGGCCGAAUAAUCUGUAAAAAAGGGGGAGAAAAUUAAAAAAAGCAAUAAAAAAUCGAUCACAGUUUUUAAAAGUGAUCUAAAUUUCUUUUUUUCCAUUUAACUUCUUUGCUAUUUUCCUUAGUUUUUUUCGUUGAUGCUUGUUUACUGUUUAAGAAAAAAUACACAAAAAAGGGGUGAGGGUUUACCUUAGUGUUGGUGCCGAUUGGAUCCUUGUUCAUUUCGUUGCAAUCAAAGCUCAAGCGAGGGUUGUAAAGCUGAAGUCAGCAAAUCUUAUUUCCCUGGCGUCGCAGUAGAUUAAAGCUGAAGGCAGCGAAUCUCAUUUCCUUUGCGUUGCAGAGGAACAGAUUAAAGCUGAAGGCAGCAAAUCCUAUUUCCCUGGUGUCACAGUAGAUUAAACCUGAAGGUAGCGAAUCAUAUUGCCUUGGCGUUGCAGUGGAACAGAUUAAAGUUGAAGGCAGUAAAUCUUAUUUCCCUGGCGUCGCAGUAGAUUAAAGCUGAAGACAACGAAUCUCAUUUCCUUGGCGUUACGGUGGAAUAGAUUAUAGCUGAAGGUACCAAAUCUUAUUUCCCUGGCGUCUAGUAGAUUAAAGCUGAAGGCAGCGAAUCUCAUUUCCUUGGCGUUGCAGUGGAACAGAUUAAAGCUGAAGGUAGUAAAUCUUAUUUCCUUGGCAUCGCAGUAGAUUAAAGAUGAAGGCAGUGAAUCUUAUUUCCUUGGCGGUGUAGUGGAAUAGAUUGAAGCUGAAGGUAACAAAUCUUAUUUCCCUGGCCUCGUAGUAGAUUAAAGCUAAAGGUAGCGAAUCACAUUUCUUUGGUAUUGCAGUGGAACAGAGUAAACCUUAAGGCAGCGAAUCUUAUUUCCCUAGCGUUGCAGUAGAUUAAAGCUGAAGGCAGCGAAUCUCAUUUCUUUGGCAUUGUAGUGGGAUAGAUUAAAGUUGAAGGCAGCGAAUCUUAUUUCCCCGAUGUCGUAGUAGAUUAAAACUGAAUGUAGUAAAUCUCAUUUCAUUGGCGUUACAAUGGAACAGUUUAAAGCUAAAAGCAGCGAAUCUUAUUUCCCUAGUGUCAAAAUAGAUUAAAGCUGAAGGCAGCAAAUCUCAUUUCCUUGGCGUUGCAAUGAAACAGAUUAAAAUUGAAGGUAACAAAUCUUAUUUCCUUGGCAUUGCAGUAGAUUAAAGCUCAAGGCAGAGAAUCUUAUUUCCUUGGCGUUGCAAUGGAACAGAUCAAAACUGAAGGCAGCGAAUCUUAUUUCCCUGGCAUCAUAGUGGGAUGGUUUGAGGUUAUCAUGGUUGAUCUUAUCUCCCUGAAGUUGCAGUGGAGCAGAUUAAAGCCACAAACCUUAUCCCCUUGAAGUUGCAGUGAGGCAGGUUGAAGUGACAAAUCUUAUCUUCCUGAAGUUGCAAUGGAGUAGAUUGAAGCCACCAGUCUUAUUUCCCUAAAGUUGCAGUGGAGCAGACUAAAACCACAAAUCUCGUCCCCUUUAAAAUCGCGACAGAGUAGAUUGAAGCUACGAGUUGUAUCUGAAGUUGCAGUAAAGUGGAUCGAAGUAACAAGAUGCAGUGGGUUGGAAUUAGGCUACUUGAAGAAGAGAAGCACCAAAAGAGGUGAAGAAUCGGUAAGACUAGGCAAAAUUGUCCCUUUUCUAGUUUUUGCUCCAUUUUCGUUACACGAAAACGAGCAAAAAAGGGCAGCUGUAAUAGGCCAAUUUUGGCCUGGCCCAAUAUUAACCAAAUUAAAAAAGAAACCAAAUAUAAAAAUUAAUAAUUUUCCAAUAACAGUCUAGAGUUACAGUGGCCCAAUUAACCCAAGAUCAAACAGUAGCCCAAAACCCCUAGCCCAAUUACAACUAGCCCAAAACCAAUAGCAAAAGAAAGACCAAAAAACCCUAGCAGCAGACCAGCAGCCAUCGCCGCUCUCCACGCGCGUCCAGCUGGCUGUACCCACAAAACAAACGAAAUCAACAAGGAUAGAAAGGAAAGGCAAUAACAAAAAAGAGCUAGAAAAUGAAAAAGGAGAAUAACAGAAAAUGAGAUUUUUCUUUCUUGUAAUUUUAUUUUUUGUUUUUCUCGGCUAUAUAAGGACGAAUAAUCUGUAAAAAAAGGGGGGAGAAAUUAAAAAAAGUAGUAAACAAAAUCAAUCACAGUUUUCGAAGGUGAUCUAAAUUUUCUUUUUCAUUUAAUUUCUUUGUUGUUUUCCUUAGUUUUUUUUCGUUGAUGCUUGCUUACUGUUUAAGAAAAGAAACACAAAAAAGGGCGAGGGUUUACCUUAAUGUCGGCGCCUAUUGGAUCCUUGUUCGCUUCGCCGCAAUCGAAGCUCAAGCGAGGGUUGUAAGGCCGAAGAUCGGCAGAGCUUUUGGCGGCAUGGGAAUGGGUUCAAAAACCCUAGCAGAGGAAAAAGGGGAUAAUAGUUUUUUUUAAAUAAUGACAGAAAGUAGUUUUUAAAAAAAAUUGUUGAUUUUUUAUUAGGUAUGAAACGGCGUCGUUUAAGGCCUGUUUUAGUGGUCUCAGAACGGUGUCGUAUAAAGCCAUGACCCACGUGGUGACCCGACCUAAGGGAAGGAUCCACGUGUUUUUUAUUGAUGGGUAAUUUGCAUCUCUGGUCCCGCCGCAUUUUUAUUUAUUUUAUUCAGUUGUUUUCAUUUUUUUCAAUUGAUACUGUAAAUUUUAUUCGUUUUCUGAUUCGGUCCUGAUGAAACGACGCGUUUUAGAAGGCGAGAAUAUUUCUCCAUUCAGUCCCUCUGAGUUAUUCGCACCUUUCAAUUGGGCCCUUCAUUUUGUUUUAUUUUCUUUUUUUUUUCCAUUUAAUUUUGUUUUGAGUUUAAUUUAAUCCAUACUUAUUUAAUUUAAUGUACUUGAUUUUUAUUCUAUUUAAAAUCCAUUUUUUGUUAUUUUUAAAUAUAUUUAUUUUUAAAUCUAACUUUCUUUUUAUGUUUAAGUUUAAUAUAUUUUUAAGUUUAUUAUCAAUAUUAGUUCAAUAUUAUAAUAUAUUAUUAUUCUAAAUUUAUCAUUAACAUUAUUUUAGGUGUAUCAUGUAUUUUUUAUUUAAAUUUAUCAUGUAUUAUCUUAUGCAUUCUUGUUGUAAUUUCAAUAUAAUUUAUACAUUUUUUUACGGUUUUAUUUUAUAAUACAUUUUUAGGUCAUUUUAUUUGUGAUAGGCUUUUAGGUCAUUAACUUUUAAAUAUUGGUGUUAAUAUUUACAUAUGAUGUGAGAUUAUUGUUAUUACGUACAUUGUAUUGCUUGUUUAUAUUGAUAGACUAUUCGCGUUCAUUUGUCCGUAUUUUGGCUUACAAAUUAUUCUUUCGAAUUAUACAUUGUCAUCUCAUUGUGUUUUAUUUGUCAAAAAUUUCAUUUCAUUUAAACAUUGAAAUCAUUUUAUUCAAAAGUUUCCAAAAUAAUGCAAUAAUCGGUAUUUGGAACUUCGAGAAAUCGUGCCCUAACUUACGGGGUUUCGAUUUCCUCGUCGAACUAAAACGGCCAAACAUUUUAGUUUUCAAAUACACAAAGUUUCAAUAAAAAUUUUUAAAGGUUAUCUUAUACUCGGGAAAUCCAACGUUGCAUCCUAACUUACAGGAUACGAUAUUUGGUUGCUCCGAGAUGAGAAGGCCUUUUUUACAUUCGUUCAAAUCUAUCCAAGAAUUAUUUUAAAAUAUGGCAUUAAUAAAAAGGGGAAAUCAUUUUUAAUCUCUUCGAAUUUUCAACAUUCGACUUUAAGACAUUAAAUAAUCAAUUCUGUACCAAUUUUGGGCGUUACGAGGGUGCUAAUCCUUCCUCGUACGUAACUAACUCCCGAACCCGUUUUUACUAAAACUAGUAGACCAAAAUCAUUUUUAAGGUGAUCCGAUCACACCUCAAUAAAAGAUCGGUGGCGACUCCAAUUUUCAUUUUUUUAAGUCGAAAUUAUUUUUUAUUUUCAAAAAGUGGUUUCGACAGUCAACAUACAAGGAGAGUCUGUGUGUCAAGUUUAAGGAUUAUUUAUACUACCAAUACAAGGAGUAUUUCUAUAAACACUAAGGGGAUGUUUGGUUGAAGGUAAUGGUUAUGCCAUUACCUGUCUAUUACAAGCCUAUUCUACAGGCCCACUUAAGAUGUUUGGUUCAAGGGAAUACCCUAUUACACAUGUAUUCUGUUCCAGGCUUAUGUAGAGAUAAUUAGGGAUCUUUAUUCCCUUCCCUCUUCACCGUUUACCCAUUCGUUGCCAUAUGAACCCUAUUUUACCCUCACAAAUUCUUACCUCAAAAUCACUCGAACGACAACCAUUUCUUGCUUCCUUCGACUCCGACAUUCCUCCCCUUCAUCCAAGGUCAAGUAAACGUUUUUCCUUCUACUGUUCCUUUCAUUUUCCUACCUGUCUAUUUUUUUCUUACCCAAGUUGCGUGCCAAGUGGGGGCAUUAAGGUGGCCUGGGACGAGAGAGAAUCGAACAACCAGUCGGCUUGGGAAGGGGUUGAGUAGGCCUUUGCUGGCUCAACGUGUGAGAGGGAGGUAUGCCGAAACAGUGCAGUACAAUAACAUCAAAUUUCAAGUGUGGGGUUUAGGUAUGCCGAUCACUACUUCUUAAUCUGGAUCUUUAACAUGUAUAGUAUAUUUUUUAUAGUACUGUCCUGAAAGUUUGAUAAUAUUUUCUUAUCUAUUUGAUUAUUUGAAGGUAAAGAGAUGGCGAAGUUCAUAAUUUCUUAUAUCAAAGGCUUGAGAUAAUGCUUGUUGUUAUAAAUCUCAACUGUAUAAAGUAGCUUUAAUCCGCAACUUACAUGAUUCUUUUGCCUCUUGCCGAUAUCUUUAUAUGUCUGUUCUUGGUAUUUCUUCCGUAAAACCAUCAUAGUAGCAACUUUAAGCAAAUUUACAACACUGAUCACUCUUUAUCAUCAAAGCUUUACUUUUCCGAUACUGGAUGAAAUAUGAUAUAGUAUGGGAUAUUCUGUCUCUAGCUGCCAAUCCAAAAGCUAUUUCUGCAAACUUAAGGUUCUCUUUUUCUGAUUCCAAGUUUGUUGUUAUUCAAAGCCACUGAACUUCGUCAAAACUAAUAGUACUAAGUUGUGGAAUUUUAAUGCUUUAUUAUUAGACUAAAAUGUAUUCAUUUAAUACCUUGUUCUGCAAUUUUUUCUUUCUUUUAUCUUUUGGAGCUUUAAUAUUUUAACACAAGUGAUGUCAAUUUUUUGUCUUGAUAAUAUCUUUAUUAUUUACUGAUGCAACACAUAUCAAGUAACUUUCACAAACAUGCAUUGCUUUUAUAUUCCUUCAUUAUUUACUAAUAUUCUACUGGCCAAUGGCAACUUUGAAAUAAGAUGUUUGGUUUCUGGAAGCUCUCUGUAAAGUUUGUCUUUAUGAGUCUACAUCUGGCCGCUUAGAAAUUUAAUUAAGCUAAUAGUUUUUGCUCUUAAACUUAUAUGACAUUCUGUAAGUUCUUUUAAGUUGUAAAAGAGGUGUAUGCCUAGAUUUUAUAACUAUUAUUAUUAACAAUCCCAUGGCUAAUAAGUGAAUUUCCAUUUUCUUUUUACCUUUAGAACAAACUAACUUUGAGUCUGUCAUAGUAUCUCAAUAUUUUAUACAUGGGAUGCCACUAUUUGUACUACUUUUAUUAUUAGGACUUGGGAUUUAAUUUAUUAGCGUUAUUCCAGGUUAUCUCAAUGUCUAAAAGUGUUGAAAUGAAAUAAAAGUUUACAUCUAUGCUUUCCUGUGGUUCAUGACAGACGAAAAGAUUAAUCAUCCUAUUCAAUUUUAGUAUAUGGUUCAUAUUUUGUUCCCAUAUUCAAUAAAACGGUGCUUCUAGUAUAGGCCAGCCUCUGUAGUAACAUUUCAUGCAUUGUAAAUGAUAUAUAGAUUAUUUUGCUAUAGUAUAUCUUAUAAAUAUUAAUCAUCCUCUUUCUUAAAAACUUCCUAAAACCUUGCUAUGGUAUAUCUUAUAAAUAUUCCAUGCAUUGAAGAUAAUAUAUAGAUUACUUUGCAGGCGGCAACAUUGAUCUCAUGGUCUACUGUAGUAACAUUUGUGUUUUAGAAGUUUGACAAAAAGAAAGAAUGCUACAUGAAAACCUUCUUUCUGCUUCCUAGAAUGUGAUUCUGACUUGUUUAUAUGUCUGUAACCAACAACACUUACUUGGUGUUUACAAUAUCUUACUUCAUUUUUCAAUGCUUGUUUAAUGUAUUUCAUUAAUGCUUCUUCUGGACAAGUUUCAAGUGUAAAUCUUUUACAGGAAGAGGAGCUGAGCGAAGCAGCAGUUCUUAUUUUUCUUAAUUUUGCAGAUAAGCAGAUUGGUAAGUUUCAUGUCUCACAUGUAAUUCAUGUUAUCAUUGAAUAUACUUGGCAAAAUUGCCUUGCAGCCUAUGCUAUGAUGAGAUUCAUUGUAUGUAUUUAUAAGUAAGAACUUCAAAAUGAUUUAUGCCCGUGUUCUAUGCAUCUUUCAACAAUAGAAACUAGUUUUAAAUUAUAUUUAUCCACUCCUUGAACAAAUCAUCUUUGAAGUGGUAGAAUGCUGAGUCAUUUGUUCAUGCACAUUGAGUUCUUCAUCAUCAAAGUAAGGGAUCUGUGAACCUAUUUGAUCAUCCUCAGUAACUCCUAAAGGAAAUUAAUUUAUUGGUCAUCAUUGUAGGUUGAAGGUAGCAACAAGAAGGGGGAAAAAUAUCACUCAAGGGUGUGAUAAGAUAACAAUACCCUCCCAAUGUCUUUGUUGUAAGUUGGUUAUGUGUUCAACUUUGGAAAGAUGAAAUUUGUUAAUGGAAAAGGAAGCUGCCAAGUUAAAGAGCAGCACACCCUCGUAGGCUACCAAAUGUCAAGAGUCAAGAACAACAAAAAAAAUGAACAAAGAAAAGGGACAUAAACAAAUAUCUCCACUGGAAUGAUGAUACCAUUACUCUUUUCUAGUAAUACGGGAAAGACAAUAUAUCCAUGUUAAACUACAUUUACAAUUCAAAUUUGAUCUUUUUACUUUAAACAAGAAAGUUUUGUUUAUAUUUAAUUUUCGAUAUGUUUUUAUUUUUGAUAUGUUUCAUUUAAAACUAUUUUAAUCUUUUAAUAUAUUAUUAAACUAUUUUUAUUUUCGAUAUAUUUAAUUUAUGUUAUAUUUAAUUUUGGUCUUCAAAAAAUGUUUUAUAUUACUUAUAUUGUUUGAUUAAAAACUAUAAUUAACACUACAAAAAUUAUCUCAACAAACGAAACAAUAAAAAAAAAAAGAAAGUAAAAUGCUACAAACAAAUCAUGUUAUGGUAAGAAUGUAAUGUAUAUGGAGUUUUAGAUUUUAUUUAAAUAAAAUAAUAAUCGAAUAUUUUAAAAUACAUAAUUUUUAAGAUAUUUAACGCACUAUAUACCAAUAAUCAAAUUGAGUUAAUACAAAAUAAAAGAAAUUAAGACCUAUUUUCUUUUCUCAUAAAAAUAUUAAAUUCAUAUUAAUCAAAUGGGUUUUUUUUAAAUAAUUAUUAAACAUCAGCCAUCAAUUAAUCAAAUCUUCAAAAACACAUUCUUUUCUUUUCUUUCUUUUUUUUUUCUUUUUUGGAUGAUUGAUAAAGAAAUGAAUGUCAAGUUUUUUACUCGCAAAGAUAGUUGUAAUUUCUAUUUUGUGCUUUGUAAAUAUUCUUAAUAUAUAUUGUUUAUUUUUCUUUGAUAGUGUUAUAGCUUCCUCUUCUUCUUUGGCUUGUUUGAUUGCUUCCUUCACUCAUAGUUGAGCGUCUUGUAUCCUGUGAGGGUGCACAAUAAAAUCAUUAUUGCAUGUUGUUUGCUCCAUAAGUUUAUUCGAACCUAUAUGAGUCUUGAUCCUAUUGAAGCGGAGUUGGGAGAAGGAUUACCUAGUAAUGUGAUAGAUGACGACAAACCGAAUAUCGUAAAUAUUCAUCCAUCGGAUGCAUGGGCUACUUGGAGGAUAGAACUAGCCAACCAAAUGUUUAUUCUACCAAUAUAGGAAGUAUUUCUGUAAACACUAAGGUGUUUUUCACCCUAUAACCUUAUAUUAAUAUUUGUUCCUUUUAUGAAAAUUUAAGUUUUAAAUAAUUUUUCGACUAAAUUAAUAUUAAAUUAGCUUGUAACACCAAUUUAAUAAAAUAUAUAAAACAAGCAUAAAUAUAAUUUCAUUAAAACCUGUCAAUAAAAAAAGUACCAUUAAUUCCUUUGAAGUCCUCACUUUUUGGGUCUUAAUGGGUGAGAAAUUUUUUAAAUAGAAACUGAAGACGAUAUUUUAAGUAAAGGGGACGUUAAAACCCAAGUCUUUGGAAAAUAAAUUGCAUCACGACUGAACCAAAAAUUCCCUUAAGUUAUAAUUAGGCACUUAAUGGAAAAGUAAGUCAACAAAAUAAUAGAAAAGGCUUGGGCACAAUUAAUUUAUACUCUAAUGUCUCGUGUAUAAUGCUAUAAGGAUAAUGCUUAUUUAUUAUUAUCUAUUAUAUAGAAAUAUGGACCAUCAGAAACAAAAAAAGCAAAGAUUCUAUCCUUUUAUUAUAUAUUAUUGAUACUAACAACAUAGAAAUUUCCAGGAAAAAGAAAGCACAACACAUGAAGUAAAUUACAUGACAUCGACUGAAGCAAUGAUAACAACUGGCCCCUACAACAAUUGCAACAAGACCUUGACUCCUACAAUCACUUUCCUUAAAUUCUUCUCUUUGGAAACUAUAACAUAUAUGCUACUACUGAACCUUUAGCAAACAAUUAAGUUUACGUAAUUCAACAUGGCCUCAUCCUCAACCUUUUCCGUUAUUUUAGGUGUUGACACCAAUUUUUUUGUAAAAAUGGGGUCGACUUGAAUUUUGAAAACGAAAAUUAAAAUGGGAGUCGUCACCAAUCCUUUUUGAUAAGGUGUGAUCAGACCACAUUGAAAAGUGGUUGUUUUUAAUAAACAAUUUAAUUUUAUUAAAACAACAAUUUUGGUCCAUGAAAUUCAGAAAAAUAGGUUCGGAAGUCGGUUACGUACGGGGAAGGAUUAGCACCCUCGUAACGCCCAAAAUUGGUACCUAGUUGAUUAUUUAGUGUUUUUAGUGUCGAUGAUUGAAAACUUUAAAGAAUUUUAAAAAUACGAUCCUAAAAAUUUUCGAACAAUAUGGGUUGAAAUUUAGGAUUCUCUUGUUCCGAAAGAAUAUCACAUCCAGCACAUUAGGAUACGAUACUUUAAACUCUCGAAACCAAGAUCACCUUAUGGUUUCCAAAACCCAUACUUUGAAACUUUAAGAGGGUAUUUGGCUAUUUGGCUAAACGAGAAAUCGAAACCCAACACAUUAGGCCACAUUUUCUCGAAUUUCCAAACGCAAAAUAUUGCCUUAAUUUAAAAUUUUCUUUUUGUAUUUGGAUAAAAAUUAUAUCUGAUGGAACAAUAAUUAUGAUAAUGUAAGUAAAAAUAAUACGAGCAAAACAAAAAUAAUAAAAGAUAAAUAAAAAAACAAAUCAAUCACGUACACAACAACAAGCAAAUAAACAAGUAAAAAAAACUAAAGCAUUUAAAGUAAUAAUAAUGGAUAUGUAGAUGAGCGAGUAAAUGAACAUCAAGUGAAGCCAUAAUAACAACAAAGAAAAUAGAUAAAAAUUAUAAAAUAUAAAAGUAUAUAUGUACAUAUAAGAGAAAUAUAUAUGUAUGUAUAUACAUAAAAUUAUGAAAAUAUGAAAAAUAUAUGUAUAUAUAUAUUUUUUAAAGAUGUAAAACAUAAAAAGAUAAACAUGUGUGUAUGUACAUACAUAUAUAUGUAUAUAACAAUCAUGGAAUAUAAAAAGUAUAUAUGUAGGUAUAUAUAUGAAUCAUAAAAUAUAAAGAAUAUAUAUAAAAUACAUGUUUUAAAAGUAUAAAGAAUAUGUAAGUAUAUAUAUAUUUAUGAAAAUAAAAUACAUAUAUAGACAUGUAUAUAGAUAUGUAUAAAAAUUAUGAAAUAUAAAAAUAUAUAUAGGUACAUAUAUGUAUAUAUAGAUAAAUUAAAAAAUAUGCAUAUGUAUAUAUAUUAUAAAAACACAUGUAUGUGUAUAUAUAUAACGAAGAUUUCAAAUUUAAAAAAUAUAAAUGAGCAAAUAAUUACAAUAAUAAUUAAUAAUAAUAGUAAUAAUAUUAAAUUUAUUAAGAAAAUAAACAAAAUAACAAAAUGACUAAAUUAAACUUUAAAAUGAAAUUCGGGGUUUAAAUCUACAAAUAAAUAAAAAGGGGGAUCUUUCUGAACGCGCGCAUAACAUGGAGGGAUUAAAAGGGAAAUUUUCCCUUCCCCACUAAAACGGCGCCGUUCAAAUAGGGACUAAACUAUAAACGCGAAGAAUUCUGGGGUAAGAUUGAAAAAUCCUAAAAUACUUGAUUGAAAAACCAUUUAAAAGUGGAGGGACUAAAAGGGUAAAUAACCCAAAGCUUAAAAACACGUAGAUCCCUUAGAGGGGGUCAGGUCGGCCAGCGGGUUAGGUUAAAAUGACAUCGUUUUGGUGCCUGAGAAGGCUGCCCAAAACGGUGUCGUUUUGGAGUUUUAUAAAUAUAAAAAAUAAUUCGAAAAAACAUUUGAAACCCUAUUUUUAAAAAAGGAAGCCCCCGUCUCUUUCUCUGUUUUCUCUCUGGGCUUUUCCUAGAAACCGACGAUGGGACCGCCGUAUAUGCAUAUAUAUAUAUAUUAGAACAAACAGAAGUAAAAAUAAAAAAUAGAAAAAUAAAUGAAUGAAAAAGGUUUCGAAAACUAAAACCUUUAUCUCUGUUUUUAUUUCAUUAUCUCUUUUUUGUUUUUUUUUCACCCCCUUACAGAUUUUUCAAUCGGCCUUAUAUAGCCGAAAUAAUAAUAUAAAAAAUCUCUUUCUGGUAUCCCUAUUUGCUGUUGCUUGUUGGUGUCUGUUGCAGGUAUUUGACGUUUGAUGAAGCAGGUGGCAGAGUUGGUGGCCCCAGCGUUAGAGGCAGCGGUGGCAGGGCAAGUGGGCGAGGGGUCAGAAGGGGUGGCUAUGGUUAGGCAGUAGGCUAGGGUUUCAGUUUUUUCUAAAAAGUUUUAAACAUUUUGGGUCACUGGGCCUUCAUUUUUUUGGGGGUUGUAAUUUUUAAUUAUUUUUGGGCUUGCUGUAUUUGUUUUGCUGGUAUGGGCCCGGGAAAAAUUGGGUUUGUACAACUUCCCCUCUUUGCUCAUUGUCGUGUAAUGGGAAUGGAGCAAAGACUAAGAAAGACCAAUUUUGUCCGGUCUUGUCGAGUCUUGCUUCUUGGUGCCUUUCUUCUUCAGGUAGACCAAUUUUGUCCGGUCUUGCCGGUCUUGUUGCUUUGAUCCACUCUACUGCACUUCAGAGAGAUAUGACUUGUAGCUUCAAUGUUCUUCGCAGCAACUUCAAAGGGACGAGAUUCGUGACUUUAGUCUGCUCCACUGUAACGUCAGGGAGAUAAGACUUGUUAUGGUAAAUUUAAUCCGACCUACUGCAACUUCAGAGGUAUAGGAUUAGUAGCUUCAGUAUACUCUACUGCAACUUUUGGGAGAUAAGACUUGUCAUGGUAAAUUUAAUCCAACCUACUGUAACUUCAGAGGUAUAGGAUUUAUAGUUUUAAUCUGCUCUACUGUAACUUCAGGGAGAUAGGAUUUGUAUUUUCAACUUGCCCCACUGCAACUUCAUGAGGAUAAGGUUUGCUACUUCAGCCUGCUCUACUGCAACUUCAAAGAGAUAAAGUUUGAUAUGAUCUGAUUUACUGCAACUUCAGAGAGAUGAGAUCUAUUAUUUAUAGCUUGAAUCUGUUUCACUGCAACUUUAGGGAAAUAAGAUUUGCUAUCUUUAAUCUGCUUUGCUGCAAACUAUGGUGUCUUUGAUCUGCUUCGCUGUAGUACAAGAAGGCAAGAUCUGCUAUCUUCAGUCUGCUUCACUGCAAACUUAGGGAGGCAAGACUAGUGUCUUCGAUCUUCUUCGUUGUUAGUACAGGAAGGCGAGAUCUGUUAUCUUUAGUCUGCUCCGCUGUCAGUACAGAAAGGCAAAACUGGUGUCUUUGAUCUGUUUCGCUGUCAGUACAGGAAGGCAAGAUCUGCUACCUUCAGUCUGCUCCGCUGUCAGUACAAGAAAGCAAGGCUAGUGUCUUCGAUCUGCUUCACUGUCAGUACAGGAAGGCAAGAUCUGCUAUCUUCAGUCUGCUCUGCUGUCAGUACAGGAAGGCAAGGCUGGUGUCUUUGAUCUGCUUCGCUGUCAGUACAAGAAGGUAAGAUCUACUAUCUUCAGUCUGCUCCGCUAUCAGUACAGGAAGGCAAGGCUGGUGCAUUCGAUCUGCUUCGCUAUCAGUACAGGAAGGCAAGAUCUACUAUCUUCAGUCUACUCCGUUGUCAGUACAGGAAGGUAAGGCUGGUGUCUUUGAUCUACUUCGCUGUCAGUACAGGAAGGCAAGAUCUGCUAUCUUCAGUUUGCUCUGCUGUCAGUACAUAAAGGCAAGGUUGGUGUCUUCGAUCUACUUCACUGUCAGUACAGGAAGGCAAGAUCUGCUAUCUUCAGUAUGCUCCGCUGUCAGUACACGAAGGCAAUGCUAGUGUCUUCGAUCUGCUUCGCUGUCAGGACAGGAAGGCAAGAUCUGCUAUCUUCAUUGAUCUGUUCUUUGGGGAACAUGACCUAUAUAAUCUAUUUUAUGAACCUAAUUAUGCCUAGUGAUUAGGAUGACAUGAUCAGAAUGAAUCAAAUGCUCCUAACUAGACAUGUAUGAAUGACAUUUGAAUGAAUGCAGAAUGUCAUUUUUUCGAGAAUUAUCCUUCUUUGUCACUUAGGUUAUCAUUACUCAAAGUUUAUUAGGGUUUUGUCACUGACGCGCUACAACUCCUUCUUGCUCGGCUAGCAUAUCCAACGAAACACUUAAUUAGAUUGCCCCUCCACUGUGAAUGUCAAAGUUCAAUCCACUGGGACGCAAAAUUUGUACCAUCAUUCUCCCACUAUAACCCAAGGGUAGAAAAAUAGAGCUUUUUCUCAAUCCUCUCCUAUCGCAAUUCAAGGACACGGAAUGUGAAGCUCUUUGGUCUUUUACCCCAUUCCAAGGGUGUCAUAAAAAAUUCUCAUGCACCAAUGAAGAAUUUUCUUCUCCCAGGAAACCAGUUUUUAUUAUUUGGUGAACAUCGCUUGUUUGCUCAUUACAGUUUUAUCACCAAGACAACAUCUUGUUAUUUUGUUCAAUCAAUGUUUUGACGACAAAUUCUAAAAAGAUGGUCUUAAUUUAGACUUUUCCUUCUUAGAUAUUUCAACCUUUAAACUUGGUGUUUUCUAAACAAUAGUCUUGUUUCAGGUUCCUAUAUUAUUUAGAAACUUCUAGAGUAAUAUGCAAAAUUUCUGUUGUGAAAGUAUUAUUAGUCCAUUAAUCAUUAUUCCAAUGCAACGCUUGCAAAAGGUCAUAACGACAUAUAAAAUAGGAUUAAUUUGAGAGCCUGACUCGAAAUGGAUAAAUCAUCAAAGAGUGUAAGAAUAACAAAGGAAUUGAUUGGGAACACAUAUCUUAAAAAAGAAUGAAGUAUUCUAAGAACAUCAAAUUCAAUAUAAAUAGUAUGAAGACUAGGUGCCACAGAUAUCGUAGCUUGAACUUCUCUAUAAAAACUUUCUGAAUACCAUUCUGAGUUUGACAUGUGUUUAGGAGAUCUACAGUACUUUGUCGAUGCGCCAAGAUGUCGCUUACCCUUUUCUGUUGAUUUAGAUAUAGCAAGAUCACCACAUGCCCCAAUCUGAUCAAAAUUUGAGCUGCUCUGAUCACCUCAUGUCCCAUUCUAAUCAAAAUUUGAGCCACCCUUUUCGGGUUUUCAACUCAAAUCCCCUUUGGUCUCAAGGCGCCCUUUGCGGGUUUUCGCCUUGGCCUCUCCUUUUUCUUUUCUUUCUCUUUUUCUUUUCUUUUCUUUUCUUCUUCUUUUUUUCUUUUCUUGAUAUAUUUUUUUAUUAAAUCUAAACUCAUAGGAUUAGGCAUGUCCUUGUUAUCCCUUCCGAUUAAAAUUAACAUUUUUCCAAAUAAGGCCUUACACAUAAGGUCCAUCCUAGUUUGGCAUCCACUUUCUUAUAAAGUUCUUUUUUUGUAUGGGAAGAUCUUCUGCAAUACUAGGUCCCUCUCAUGGAAUCCUCUAGAGCGAACUCUUCUAUUUUUUUUGAGCUCACAUCAUUUACUUUUGGCGCAUUUGACCAUGAUGGAUAACUUUGAACAUUCCUUUUCAAUCAGGAUUAGAUCCAAAAGACUCAAAGAGAAAAAAUCUCGACUUUAAUGGGCAAAAUCGUGAUAGGCCAAAGUGAAAGGUAUUACCCGAUAGAGUUUUUUUACCGCACCGUUCAUUUUGGGGCGAUAUGGUGUUAAUCUUGAACAGACUACAAACUUCUGAUAUCGUGCUCUUGUUCAAAUUUAGUGAUUUGUCAGAUAUGAUCUUUUUUGGCAUUCUAUACUGACAUAUGAUUUUUUUCCAGAAUUUGCUAACUGUCGACUUUGUGAUAUUGGCAUAUGAAGUAGCUUCCACCCACUUAGUAAAGUAAUCGACGACCACAAAGAUGAAUCGAUGACUAUCAGAAGCUUUUGGCAAGAUCGACCCACUGACAACUGUGCCCCACAUAGAGAAAGUCUAUGGAAAAGUCAUAACAUGAAGAGAUGAAGGAGGCACAUGAAUCUUGUCUCCAUCAAUUUGGUAAUUAUGACAUUUCUUGGUACAACUGAUGUAAUCCCCUUCCAUGGUGAACCAGCAAUGCUCGAAUCUCAUGAUUUGCUUGGCCAUUGUAAAACCAUUAGCAUGUAUUCCUCAGACACCCUUACAGACCUCUUCCAAGAUUUUCUUAGCCUUAACAGUGUCCACAUGUCUUAGUAGCUCAGGCAUAUCUCGGUACGAUCAUGCAAAAACAUCUUUGAAUUCUUGGAGUAACUCAAUGACGUCUCACUUUGUCUCUGCGGUGAUACAGGCUCCGAUCUUCACCUCUUUCUCUUCUCCUAAGCUCACAAUUUCCACUGAUUCCUUAUAAAGCAGGAUUUGUUUCUCGACUUUUUCUACCAUCCUCAACAAGUCCGAAGAUAGGCUACAAUCUAUGUCAUCUUCAAAGUCAUGAGAUCCCUCUAAACACAUGUCUCGCUCAAAAGGAGAUUCUGAGUCUGUAGCAAUGUCACUCAUGUAAUUGAUAUCUAAAGACCUAUUGUGGGUACAAAAGAAUAUACAAAGAAUGUAUGAAUUUAUGAAUAAUUAUUUGUACAGUAUGGUUAUGAAUGAAAGAUUGAUUUGGAAGAAAAUCCAAAAGAAUGAAAGAAUCAAAAAUGAUUACUCGUAAAGAAUGAAAGAAGAUUGACUUAAAAAUGAUCACAAAGAUGUAUUAAAAUAAUGACGUUCAGACAUGAUCCUAUUUCACAAAGGAGUUCUUAUUGCCUCUAGGCUAAAAGCAACAAGUGUGUUCUGAACAUUACUCUAAGUAAGCUCUAAAUACUACAGAGAUUUCUUCUGCAGUCUAAUUAUUUAGAAUACUCCCAAGUUUAUAAGGGUGGAUAUCUAACAAGGUCUCUUUUCAGUUGUCUUCAUGUAUGGCAUUGAUGUGAACAUUUCCUUCUUCUUCCUCUUUUUUUUUCACACUUCUUCACAAAGAUCAAUCUCUUUAUUGUCCAUCAUAUUUAGUUGGAUCUUGGCUAACCGCUCUUACAUUUGCAACUGUAGUUGGUAUUGCUCCCUCUUUGGAGUUGUUCAAGUUUUUCCAAUCUUGGUCCAUGUCUUUUUGCUUUGGUACCGUAACGAUGCUUAGUUAAUAGAUUUUUUUUCCCAGGUUAACUGAAAUAAUUUUACCUAAUUAAGGUCCUCUUGUGAAAAUCUAAUGCAUAUGAUGCAAUGUAAUGCAAAUGCAUAGAAUGAAUGCAAAAAGAAGUUGACUCCGAUUCAAUUCCAUUUAGAAAACUUUACUAAAAAACAAAUUUCUUUACAUAAAAUGGAUGCAUGUAUGGCCUCGCCCUCAUAUCCAAGAAACAACAUCGAUAUUUCCCUUUGUUCGAAUGUUUAAGAUAAAUCUCGUAAGUUUCCAAUGGAUGCCACUACUAGCUCCUUCUUUCUUGAUCCUGGUUGCAAUCCAUUGUCUGCCCAUUCUCGUAAUGCUCAUCACCUUCUUUAAAGAAGUCAGAAUGUUGGCGACUCUCAAAUAAUUAGCUUGAAUCUUCGGGCCACGAAGUAAAGUCAUGUACUCUUCUGUCACCCUUCUUUUGUUGUGUUUCUUGGGAAAUAUUCGGGCAGCCAUAUUAUCUUUCACUUUAUCAAAAAAUUCAUUUUCCAUGACAAGCUUUCUAAUUUAGUAAUCAAACUUGAAUCAACACCUUUUUUCUAAGAUGAAAAUGCAAUGCAAUCAUAACCAAAACAAAACGGAACGGGUUAGUACAAAGCAAAANNNNNNNNNNNNNNNNNNNNNNNNNNNNNNNNNNNNNNNNNNNNNNNNNNNNNNNNNNNNNNNNNNNNNNNNNNNNNNNNNNNNNNNNNNNNNNNNNNNNNNNNNNNNNNNNNNNNNNNNNNNNNNNNNNNNNNNNNNNNNNNNNNNNNNNNNNNNNNNNNNNNNNNNNNNNNNNNNNNNNNNNNNNNNNNNNNNNNNNNNNNNNNNNNNNNNNNNNNNNNNNNNNNNNNNNNNNNNNNNNNNNNNNNNNNNNNNNNNNNNNNNNNNNNNNNNNNNNNNNNNNNNNNNNNNNNNNNNNNNNNNNNNNNNNNNNNNNNNNNNNNNNNNNNNNNNNNNNNNNNNNNNNNNNNNNNNNNNNNNNNNNNNNNNNNNNNNNNNNNNNNNNNNNNNNNNNNNNNNNNNNNNNNNNNNNNNNNNNNNNNNNNNNNNNNNNNNNNNNNNNNNNNNNNNNNNNNNNNNNNNNNNNNNNNNNNNNNNNNNNNNNNNNNNNNNNNNNNNNNCAAAUAUAAGUAAAUUAAUUGUGAAUUAAAGCAAAAAAAUGAAAUUUAUAAAUACAAUGUUCCUUUCAUCAAUUUGCAUAAAGGUUAAAUGGUUUAGAAGAAAGCUUUCUAAAAAAAGACUACACUAAAAUGACCAAACCAUUUUGGAAAGAGGGAAAGAUGCUUAGGGGUAAUUUUUGUUAAAGAAAAGGCCACUAAAGACUUCAUUAAUGCUUAGGGUAAGAUACUUAGGGGCAAGGACUCUUAAUAUUUUUACAUUAUCUAUAAUAAUUCAAUUUGAUUUAGUUUUUUUAUUUUUAUAUUAAUUUUAAGUUUAGGAUUUUAAACUUAUUUUAAUAAAAUGAACUUUAUUUUAUGAUUUUUGUAUAUUAUUGGGUAAACUUUGACUUAUUAUAUAAGGCUUAGAAUCUCUAGUCCUAUGAUGAAAGGGUUCGGAAAUUAAAGCACAAAAAGUAUUUAUAAAGUGAAAACUAUGAACAAAACAGAGUAAUCACUAGGGAUAAUAAUAUAAUAUAAUCUCUCUUCCAACUUUGGCUUUAGUAUAAAUGAUCUUUCAUUCCACCAACAAGCCAUGUCUCUUAGGCUAUAUCAGAUGAAAUUUUUGUAGAAAUCAAGGUCGUAUUUCAUCACAUACUAAGCUCUCUUUCACCUUCAUGUUUUCUUCUUCCGUUAAAGACCUCAAUUUUUUUGUUUUUUCCUCGUCUUUCCUCUUGCACUCUUGUUUGUCUCCUUCAUCUUUCCCAUCCUCUUCGACCCAGUUAGCUUCUUCUAACCAGCUCUUAGCAAAAGCAGAUCGACAAUGCAUAAGCAAGAGAGCAUUUGUAGGUGGGACUGCAUUAGCUUGACCAUCAACAUGAUCGAAGGAGCAUUUACCAGAAAUCACAAUUCUUAAUAUCAAUUUGCAAGUCUGAGAAGAUUACAGAUUUAAAAACCUAAUUGUCUACUUAAAGGUCUAAAGUCAAAUACUGAGUUGGUUAUAACAUGUAAUUAAGUAAUGAAACCUGCAUUUAUAAUUUAUUGAAGGAAUCAGGCUGCCACAAUAUCUAUAAAUGAUUAAGUUCAAGCUAUACAAAUUAUAUUAAAAAUAAGAUGACCAUUACAAAAAAUAAAAAAAGAAGGCCCUUUUCAGCGACAAUAACAUGUAAUUAAGUAAACCAUGUAUUUUUUGUUUCUUAAUCUUAGCCUGAACUUCCGUUUGCUUACCAAUAUUUCUGGAAAAUGAUUUACUUUCUAAGAAUGAUUUACUUUUUUGGUGUUUGAAUGAAUCUGUAUAAAAUAUUUUCUGUUGUUUGGCAGAUUCCUGAAAAUAUUUCAAAAAAAACUGUUUUAAAUGAAACAUACAUUUGAGAAUUUAAUUGAGUUUAUUUAUAUCUACCAAUAAAUUUAUAUUUUACAUUAUUUUUACAUAUAUUUCAACCACAAUAUCAUUUCUCACCUCAUUAUUAUUUAUUUAUUUUCUAAUUUAAUUAUAAGGACAAAUUCUAUUUUUCAUUGUUUUUUCGUUUUACACUUUCAAUUUUCAAACGUUCCAAUUUUGAAUAUAAAAAAUAAAUAUCCAUUUAAUAAUUAUAUUUAAGUGUGAUUAUACAUGAUUGGUAACUUGUAAAUACACUAUUUUUAGUUUUUUCACUUUACCCAUAAUUAUUUAUUAAAAUAAUUUUAUAAAUAUAUAUUUUUAAUAUAAAAUAUAUUCAUUCGGGAGUCUUACCUUAUAAUAUCCACAUACAUGUUAUGGCUUAGGUUUGGAUAAUAUUAGACUUUGGAUUAACAGGAACGAUAGAAGAAAUUGAUGUUGUCAAGUUGCACCAUAGAAACUAUCAUAUUCUCCUCCAAUGUAAACAAACCAAAAACUACUGUUCUAUUUAUCAACCACUGCACAAGUAGUGUGUAUUUCUUUUGUUAUACAUAUAAGCACAACUCCGCAUAUAUGAAUUAUCUACCAACUACUCACGAAAGGCUUUUAAAAAAAUAUUAGUUAGUAAAGCCAUCCAAGAGGAAAUAUGCUACUAACGUGAAACGGGCAAAAUUACAUAGUAAAUAUGUCUUCAUGAGACUGCUGUAUUUCUUUAAGAACCAAAAGAACUAUAAGUGAAGGCAAAAUAGUUUAUUGUUUCAACUCUCUAUCCCCAUGCCUCAUUGUGCAAUGAAUAAAGUACAUCAAGCAGGGAUUUAUCCCUCGCCAUAAAUAUAUCGCACUAGUCUUUGCUUUAUACAAAUUUCUUGAAACACAACUUUGGAAUUUUAAUAUUUGGAACUCCUAAGCUACCUGAAAUAACUGCAAGUUACCAUGACUAAAGUGCAUACAUACAUAUAUGAAAGUUGCUCAAGCAAUGAUAAGAUAAUUAAUUGCUAAAAAUCUUUAUUGAUUUUGUGGAGAGACAAUCAGACAAGUCAUGUCAGAUUAAUGAUGGGACAAAAAGGGUUUCUGGACUUUUAAAGUUAUGAAUGCAUCUAUCAGGCUCAAACAUUUCCAAUAUCUAAUUUAUGGUGUACAUCUCAAAGCAAAGAAUGCAAAGCAUCAGGCUUAAAGAUCAUAAUAUGCACAAAAAAUGUAGUGGCCCUGCAAGGUCUGCAUCAUGUCAUGCAUGCAUAGAUACAUUACAUUACUACAAGCAAAUUUAUAGCUUUAUCGGUCUAUAACACGGUAGCAUAAUUAGAAACUAUCAAACAUGUCAGAGCGUGCAUGUCUGAAUCAAAGUACAAAGGCAAAAAUAUACAGGUUUCUUCUCACUACAGUAUAGUAUAAACAAACUUCUAUUGCCUGCAAAGGAUGGAAGAUGCUAACUCAAGCCUUACAAUAGUGCAUACAUCACAAGAUGCAUGCGAGCCAAUGGCGCUUCAAGAGACAUGAAACUUUACACAGUUAGAAUCUUCACAUUUACCCCAAAAGUUCAGACUUCAGACAAUAGAAAAUGGUAGAUAAACUAGCUUUUUAUAGUGUCAAACAUGCUGCAUUACAACAAAAUAAUCAGAUUGUUCUUCUCUGAUAAAACAAAAGGUUAACAUUUAGAGUUUAAAACAAACGAAAAAUGAAAAAAAUAAUUGGAAAUAGACUAUUAACCAAAUAAAAAAAUGAAAAAUAAUUUCUAAUAAAUAUAUGCUAAAUAAAAACCCAAAAUGGCAAUUGGUCUUGAAUCCAAAUCUCUUAAAAAUUCAAGAAACAAAUUCCAAUUCUAAAAAUCCCAGUCUCUUAACAAAACAAAUACCAAAUAUACCAAAUACCCUUUCCCUUACACAUAAAAGCUAAUUCAAGAGAUUACCAAAACAAAAAUGCAAACUCAAGAACCAAGCUUGAAAAACAACCAAAACCCCCACUUCAAAUCUUGGUCAACUUACCCUGAAAAAUCACAUAGAAAGAGAAAAAAAGAAACUCACAUGUGGCCAUGGAGAAAGCAACGAAUUUACAGAGUAACCAAAAUACAAUAACUUUGAAGAACAAAAACAAUCAGGGAAAUAACCAAAGAGAAAAGCAUCAAUGAAAUGGACUGAAGCAAUAAAACACUGUAGACUGGAAUGAAGCUACUUGAAGAGAAGCACCCAAAGAAGUCAAGACUCGGUGAGACCGGGCAAAAUUGGUCUUUCUUAGUCUUUGCUCUAUUCCCGUUACACAAGAAUGAGCAAAGAGGGGCAGCUGUAAGAGCCAAUUUUUGCCCGGGCCUAUACCAACAAAAUAACCCAAAUAAUAAAAACAAAAAUAGUCCAUUUUCAGCAAAUUUAAACCCAAAAAACUACAAGCCCAAACCCAAUAGGCCCAAAAAUCAGAAACCCUAAGCCCACAAACUUAAAGAUUUUCAGCAAACCCUAGUUGCCUCCCCUAAAACUUGGCACCGCAAGCUUCCAUGCGUGGCCUCCUCGUCUGCCACGCCCUCGCGUCGCCGCACGCCAGCACCCCAUCCACGCGCAUCUGACACUGUUCUGUCACCUGCAAAAGACAACCAACAGAACAACAAAUAGAGAAAACAAAUAGAAAAUGACAAAUGAGGCAGAGAUUAAACGUUUGUAAUCGGCUAUAAAAAGCCGAAUAAGGCAAUUGUACUCUUCUUCUUCCGAUUUUACGAACAAAAAAGAGAAAUAAAAAAACAAAAAAAAUAAAGGUGAUUUUUUAGAUCUGUUGUUUUUAUUUUUUUUAUUUUACUUCAUUUAUUUUUUUUCAAACAAAAACAAAAUAAAGAGGAGGGGGCUUACCGGAUGCCCGUGACCAUCGUCGGAUGGUUGGUCUCCGUCAUCGAGACCAAAUUCGGAGGGAGAGGGCUGUGGGCCUCUAUCUCGGACCUUAUGGGGUUCGAAAGCCCGUCUGCUCAACCCACCAAGAACCAGGCUUUAAAAGCCUUUCGUCGCGCUUCGUUGGCCGUCGUUUUGGUGGCGGUGCGGCGGAUAGACGAACGGUGGUGAGAGGCCGAUCGUCAGAGGGCAUGGGGAGUAUUGAGAGGGUUGCUGCAGUUUUUUAGUGUGAAGGGUAGGGAAAUGAGAAAAAUAAAAAAGGGUUGUUAAAGUAAAGACGAAAACGGCACCGUUUAAGGGAAGGUGAUCUGCGCAUUCUGCCCUAAUGGGUAAUUUGCGCAUUUGGUCCCUUCAUCUUGCGCUGAAGCGCAAUCUGACCUUUGUAUUUUUUUAAUUUGGGGCCGCGAAUUCUGUGUCUGCUUCAAUCUGGUCCUUAGACCGUGCACAGAACCUCACUGCAUUUAGGGCUGGGGAAUAUUUCCCUACAGGUCCCUCACGCUUCGAGCGUGUUUCAGUUCGGUCCCUUGCAACUUUUUUUAAUUAUUUGCAGUUUAAACCCCAAUAUUGUGACCCGAAUUUAAUUCAGUCCUCAGACCUAUUAUUCUCAUUUUUAUUUAUUUUUUAUUUACUUUUGUUUAUAUUUGUUUUUAAUUUUAUUUUAAAUAAAAAGGGGUUUUUAUUAAAUUUUCCUUUUAACUUUUUAUUUGUUUGUUUAUUUUAUAUUUAACAUUUAAUCUGAUUUUUAUUAGUUGUAUGUUUUUUAUGUUAUUAUUAUUAUUAUUCGAUGAUUUGAUUUAUAUUAAAUUUUAUAUAUAAUACAUGAAUGUUUUACUCCUUUUGGCAUUUUACUAGUUAUGUGUUUUAUUUUCGCUAUUAUAUUGUCAUUCAUAUCAUUGCUUUUGUGCAUAUAUGUUAGUGUUAGGUUUUGAUAGUAUCAAGGCUAUAUGAUUAUUAUAUCAUGUGUAUUAUGUUAUAGUUGUUGCAAAUGUAUGUUAUAAUAUUACUAUUAGUUAGAUAUGCUUUUUAUCUCAAGUAUUUCUUUUUAGUAUAGUCCAAAUCGCAUACGCGUUACUCUUAAAUAUUCCGUUAAUUCAUACUCAAAAUUCAAAAGGGUAAAAUUUCGAAAAUAAAGGCAAUAUUCCUUAUUUAGAAAAUUCGAGAAAAUCGUGCUCUAACUUACUGAGCUUUGAUUUUUCUUGCGUUGAUCUCAAAUAACCGAAUAUCCUUUUAAAAUUGAAAUAAAUGAGGUUUAAAUAAAAAAUAAAAGGCAAGCUUACUCUCAAAAUACAAGGUGUCGUGUCCUAACUUACUGGAUGUGACAUCUUGUUAAUUCGAGAUAAGAAUGCAUUUUUCAUUUUGAUUUAUUUGAGUAAUUUUUUAAAAUAACACAAUAUAAAGAGGGAUCGUAUUUUUAAAUUCUUUUCGAGUUUUUAGUUUUCGACACCAAGACAUUAAUUAAUCAACUAGGUACCAAUUUUGGGCGUAUCGAGGGUGAUAAUCCUUCCUCGUACGUAACCGACUCACGAAUCCAGUUUUCUAAAUUUCGUGGACCAAACUCGUUGUUUUAAUAAAAUUAAAUUGUUUAUUAAAAACAACCCCUCUUCAAGGUGAUCCGAUCACCCCUUAUCAAAAAGGAUUGGUGGCGACUCCCGUUUUCGUUUUCGUUUUCGUUUUCGUUUUCGUUUUCAUUUUCAAAAUCUAAGUCGACCCAGUUUUAACAAAAAAAUGGUGUCAACAGCUUGGCGACUCCACUAGGGAUGAAAUUUGUGAGAGUCAAGCCAUGUGUUGAUUAUUUCUUGUAUUUUUGUCAAAAGUUAAAAAUUCGAUUUAAAUUUAUGAUCCUCUCAUUGCAUCUCUUUUGUUUUGAGUUAUAUUUUUUAUCAUGUUCUGUAUUUUAUUUUUAUAUCUCUGCACAUUGCAUUGCGUGGCCACUGGUCACACCCUUUUCAGUGGGAGUGAGAAACUAGUCCUUUGUGAGGUUUUCACCUCCGUGCAGGAUAGUGGAUCACUUUCGGAAUACAUCCGUACCUAUGUCUUCGUGAGAUUUUCAUCUCCGUGCAGCCAUAGGGAAAUGUAUUCCCCUGAACCAAACUCGGUUCGUAUGAGCCUAUAAUGGGUGAGGAUCGAGGAAUCUACUGGUUCGGGUACCUUUGCUUUAGAACUAGACCUCAUAUAGUGAACCUAAGAGCCUACCCUAGGUAAAACCACUUCAAACCCCUAGUGGUCACCCGAAUAGAUGUUUUAUUUAUUCUUGUUUGCUUUUGCCUUGUACUAACCUGUUUUCUUUUUGGUUAUGAUUGCAUUGCAUUUUCAUCAUAAAAAAGAGGUGUUGAUUCAUGUUCAGUUGCUAAAUAGAGAGUUUGUCAUAAGAAAUUGGGUUUCUUGAUAAAGUGGAUGACAAUACGGUUGUCCUAAUAUGGUCCAAGAAAGCGUGAUAAGAGAAGGAUGAUAGCUUAAUGGAGGACUACAUGACUAUUGCUCCGUUGCCCGAGGAUUCAAGAUGACAAAAAUUAUUCGAGAGCCGCUGAACUUUCAUAAAGAGGAGCCAACGAGCUUCACGAUGAUGAAUGAGUAAUGAGACGCAGCCCAGAUCAAGCAAAAAGGAGAUAGAAGAGACGUCUCUCUUGAGGAGUUCGUAAGAUUUAUCUUAGUGCUCGAAUAAAGAAAAGGAUCGAAUGUCUCCGCCUAUGAGGGCAAAGCCGUAUAUGUAUCCGCUUUAUGUAAAGAGAUUUAUUUUCCAGUAAAGUUGUUCUAAUAUAAUUGAACCAAGAAUCAAUGUCUCUUUUUGCAUUCAUUUCAUGCAUUUGCAUUACAUUGCAUCAUGUGCAUUAGAUUUUUACAAAAUGACCCUAAUUAAUUAAAAUUAUGAUAGUUACCCUGGAAACCAACAAAAAUCCACCAACCAAAUAUCACUACGGUACUCGUCACCAAACAAAAGCAAUGGAUCAAAGGUUGGAAAGAUUGGAACAAUUACAAAAGGAGAUGCAAGAUCAGAUGCAAGAACGACUGGAUAAGAUCCAGCAAGACAUGCUAGAAUCCCAAAACACUAUGAUGAACCAAUUGAAGCAGUUAUUGGCUGGAGGGAAUGAUAAAGGAAAAAGCCUUGUAGUUGAUUCUGGGGUUGAUCAGGAGGACCCUGUUUAUCUUCCCGGUUUCACGCCGAAAAGUACCCAGGCACAACCAGAUAUGUGCCCACAAAGAAUACCUGUCAAUAUUAAACCUCAAUAUCCGGUUGGUGUCUCGAUACCAAUGCAAUUUUGAAUGGGCUCAAGUUCUAAUCCCGGGGACAACCCUACCAAUCCUGUGGUCUCGAAUCUCGAUGACAUGGAAGAAAUAGAAAAAGCAAGAAUGGACCUGCCAAAACGACUUGAGGAUCGAUGUAGAUGGCUAGAGGAAAAAUUUAGAGCCAUGGAGAACACUAACUACCAUUAUGGAGUUGACGCCAAGGAUCUGAGUUUGGUUCUUGAUUUAGUGCUCCCGCCUAAGUUCAAGAUGCUCGAAUUCAAAAAGUAUAAUGGGACUAGUUGUCCUGAAGCUCACAUCACAAUGUUCUGCUGAAGAAUGAUUGGGUACGUUAAUAACGAUCAACUACUAAUUCAUUGCUUUCAAGACAGUCUGAUUGGUUCGGCUUCCAAAUGGUACAACCAGUUAAGCCGCGCUAACAUCCGUUCAUGGAAAGACUUGGCACAGGCUUUCAUAAAGCAGUACAACCAUGUAACAGACAUGACACCUGAUAGAAUCACAUUGCAGAACAUGGAAAAGAAGCAAAGUGAGAGCUUUAGGCUAUAUGCUCAAAGAUGGAGAGAGGUAGCAACACAAGUCCAGCCACCUCUUCUGGAGAAAGAAACCACGAUGCUUUUCAUCAACACUCUGAAAGCCCCAUUCAUUAACCAUAUGUUGGGAAGCGCUACUAUGAACUUCUCAGAUAUGGUAAUGUCUGGCGAGAUGAUUGAAAAUGCCAUCAGAAGUGGAAGAAUAGAUGGUGGGGAGGAUAAUAGAAGGUCAAUCCCAAAGAAAAAGGAGAAUGAAGUGAACCAUGUGAGUACAUACAACAAGUAGAUUACGGUGAACCAGCCAAGGAAAGUGGUUGCUAGUCAACAAGGUUCAUCAAAACAAGAAUCUUAUGUGAAACAAGGAUUGAGAACCUCCAGUUCACGCCAAUUCCCAUGUCGUAUAAGGAGCUGUAUCAAAGCUUGUUCGAUGCGCGCAUUGUUACCCCUCUCUACACGAAACCUCCACAGCCUCCGUACCCCAAAUGGCACGAUGCGAAUGCACAAUUCAAAUAUCAUGCGGGAAAUACGGGGCAUUCCAUAGAAAAUUACAUUGCCUUUAAAAAACUGAUUGAAAGGCUUAUCAGUAUGGGCGUCGUUAAAUUUGACGAUUCCUCCAGUGCGGAAAAUCCAUUACCCAAUCAUAAUUGAUAAGUGGAGUGAAUGCAAUGCACAAGCAACUAAAGAAGGGACCUUGUUAGAUAUCCGUCUUUAUAAAUGUGGAAGUGUUCUAAGCAAUUCGACUGCGGAAGAAAACCCUAUAGUCUCUAGAGCUUUUUUAAAGUAAUGUUCAGAACAUUUUUGUUGUUUUUAGCCUAAAAAUGAUAGAAAUUUCCUUUGUGAAAUAGGCUCAUGUCUGAACGUUGUUAUGAAAUACAUCUUUGCAAUUAUUACUGAGCCAAUAUUUUCAUUCUUUACAAACAAUUCCAGAUUCUUUUAUUCUUUUGAAUUUUCUUCUAAAUUGUUAUUCAUUCAUUCAUAAUCAUAUUGUAUAAAUAAUUAGUCAUAAAUUUAUACAUUCUUUUGCAUAUUCUUUGGUACUUAUUAUGGGUCCCCAGAUAUUAAUUACAUGAAUGACACUUCUACAAACUCAGAUUUUCCUCUUGAGCAAGGCAUGUGUUUAGACGAAUCUCAUGGCUUUGGAAAUGACAUAGAUCGUAGCUUAUCUCUGAACUUGUCGAGGAUGGUAGAAUAAGAGGAUAAACAGAUCCUACCUCUCAAGGAAUUAUUAGAAAUUGUGAGCUUGGAAUUGACCUGACCUCAAACAUGAAGCAAGACCUUGUUCAAAGAUGACUUUAUAGGAUCAUACCAGGAUAUGCCUAGGAUAAACACUGAUAAAGAAAUCUGAACAACUCACGAUGUCAGAAAUUUGCAGUAGGAACGAUGCAAUUCUUUGUCGGGGUAAUGCCUUUCUCGUUGAGUCAUCAUAGCUUUGCCCAUUUGAAGUCGAGUUUCCAUCCCUUCAAGAUGUUUUCUGUCGUAGUUGCGCCUCAAAAGGGCUCUAUAAAAUAAAUGAGGGUUUUUCGCAUACAAGAUGAAAGUGAGAAAUCUUAUCUAUAAAAACAUUGGUUUUGAUCGAAAGGGUUCAGAUUCAAUCAAAAAAAAAUCAAAAAAAUCAAAAUCAAAAUCAAAAUGAAAAUCAAGAAUAAAAGAAAAAAGAAGAAAAAGAAAAUGGAGAGGCUAAGGUAAAAACCCGCAAAGGGCGCCUUGAGACCAAAGGGGAUUUGAGUUGAAAACCCGAAAACGGCGGCUCAAAUAUUGAUCAGAAUGGGGCAUGAAGUGAUCAGAGCAAUUCGAAUCUUGAUCAGAUUGGGGCAUGUGGUGAUCUUGUUAUACAUGAAUUAACAGGAAAGGGUAGACAACAUCUUGGGGCAUUGACAAAGUACUGUAGAUCUCCUAAAUACAUGUCAAACUCAGAAUAGUCUUCAGAAGGUUUGCACAGAGAAGUUCAAGCUGCGAUAUCUGAGGCACCCAAUUCUCAUAUUAUUUAUAUUGAAUUUGUUGUUCUUGGAAUACUUUAUUCUUUUCCAAGAUAUACAUUCCCAAUCAAUUUCUUUAUUAUCCUUCUUUACUAUUUUGGAUAAUUUAUUCAUUUCGAGCUAUGCUCAGAAUCAAUUUUAUUCUUAUCCAUUGUUAUGACCCUUUUUACAAGCAUGUCACAUUGGAAUAAUGAUUAAUGGACUAAUAAAACUUUCACAAAGGAAGUUUUGCAUAUUACUCUGAAAAGUUUCUAAAUAAUAUAGGAACCUGAAACAGGACUAUUGUUUAGAACACACCAAGUUUAAGGGUUGGAAAUUUGAGAAGGAAGAGUCUAAAUUUGGACUUUCUCUUUGGAUUUUGUUGUCAAAUGUAUUGAUUGAACAAAGUGACAAGAUGUCGAGUUAAUGACAAAGCUUAAAUAAACAAGAAAGCAAUGAUCACAAGGCAAUAGGAAGGGGUUCCCUCAGAGAAGAAAGCAUUCAUUUGCACAUGAGCCUUCGGCAUGACACCUUGAGAAUGGUGUAAGGAACCAUAGAGAUUUAGAUCCUGUAUCCUUGAAUUGUGAUAGAAAAGGAUCGAGAAAAGCCACAUAUUUCUACCCUUGGAUUACAGUGGAAAAAUGAUGGUACAAAUUUUGCGCCCCAAUGGAUUAAACUUUCAGGUUUACAGUGGGGGUAACCUGGCUAAAUGUUUCUUUGAAAACGCCAGCCGAGCAGGAGGGUGUUGUAGCACUUCAGUGACAAAGCCUUAAUAAACUUCGAGUAAUGACAACCUAAGCGGGAUCAUUCUCGGAAGAAUAAAAUUCUGCAUUCAUGCAAACACCAUUCACACAUGUCUAGUUAGGAGCAUUUGAUUCAUUUUGAUCAUGCCAUCCUAAUCAUUAGGCAUAACUAGGUUCAUUAUACAGGUCAUGUUCCAUAGAGAACAGAUCAGUGAAGAUCGAAAACAAAACCUUGCCUCCAUUAGUUGCAAUGUAGCUGGUUAAAGAUAGCAGAUCUUGCCUUCCUGCAUUAAUAGCGAAGCAGAUUGAAAAUAAAGCCUUGCCUCCAUCAGUUGUAGUGGAGCUGGUUAAAGAUAGCAGAUCUUGCCUUCCUACGUUAACAGCGAAGCAGAUCGAAAACAAAGCCUUGCCUCCAUCGGUUGUAGUGGAGCUGGUUAAAGAUAGCAAAUCUUGCCUUCCUACGUUAACAGUGAAGCAGAUCGAAAACAAAGCCUUGCCUCCAUCAGUACAGUGAAGCUGGUUAAAGAUAGCUGAUCUUACCUUCCUGCAUUGACAGUGAAGCAGAUAAAAAAUAAAGCCUUGCCUCCAUCGGUUGUAGUGGAGCUGGUUAAAGAUAGCAGAUCUUGCCUUCCUACGUUAACAGCGAAGCAGAUCGAAAACAAAGCCUUGCCUCCAUCGGUUGUAGUGGAGCUGGUUAAAGAUAGCAAAUCUUGCCUUCCUACGUUAACAGUGAAGCAGAUCGAAAACAAAGCCUUGCCUCCAUCAGUACAGUGGAGCUGGUUAAAGAUAGCUGAUCUUGCCUUCCUGCAUUGACAGUGAAGCAGAUCAAAAAUAAAGCCUUGCCUCCAUCGGUUGUAGUGGAGUUGGUUAAAGAUAGCAGAUCUUGCCUUCCUACGUUAACAGCGAAGUAGAUCGAAAACAAAGCCUUGCCUCCAUCGGUUGUAGUGGAGUUGGUUAAAUAUAACAGGUCUUGCCUUCCUGCAUUAACAGCGAAGCAGAUCGAAAACAAAGUCUUGCCUCCAUCGGUUGUAGUGGAGCUGGUUAAAGAUAACAGAUCUUACCUUCCUGCAUUAGCAGUGAAGCAGAUCGAAAACAAAGCCUUGCCUCCAUCGGUUGCAGUGGAGCUGGUUAAAGAUAGCAGAUCUUGCCUUCCUACGUUAACAGCGAAGCAGAUCGAAAACAAAGCCUUUCCUCCAUCAGUACAGUGGAGCUGGUUAAAGAUAGUUGAUCUUGCCUUCCUGCAUUGACAAUGAAGCAAAUCGAAAACAAAGCCUUGCCUCAAUCAGUUACAGUGGAGCUGGUUAAAGAUAGCAGAUCUUGCCCUCCUGCGUCAACAGUGAAGCAGAUCGAAGAUUACAUAUAACAGCCCGAUUUUGGGCCUAGUCGGAACAGUGGUUUCGGGACCACAAAUCCGACGAGGAAAAAUUUAUUUUUCUUAUAUUUUUAUGGUCUACGAUUUCACGGAAUGAUUUUUUGAAAAUUUUGUUCGAAAAUUUCGACGUUUGGGCACUCAAUUUAGUCAAAAGGACUAAAUUGUAAAAAGUGCAAAAGUUGAGUUCUAAAUGUUAGAGGUGUUCAAUUGUUAUGAAACUUUAGAUUGGAGGUCCUUAUAUGGUAAUUAGACCAUUGGUUAAGUUGGUAGACAAAAAUGGCCAUGAGAUAAGUGAAAUAGGAAAUUUUUAAGUUAGGGGCAAUUUGGUAAUCUAGUAAUUAAAAUGACUUAAAAGGAAAAAGAUGGCAAAUGGGGCUCAUCUUCUUCAUUGGGACGAAAUCAGCAAGGGGGGAGCCAUUGUUAGGGUUUUCAAGCUUCCAAGCUCCAUAAUAAGUGAUUCUAAGCCCCGUUUUUAAUGUUCUUUACGUUUUUGGAGUUCCGGUAACUUGAUUUUGCUUAUUCUAGCAAUAAUUUAAUCUAGGGUUUAUAUUUGGAAAAAUACUCAUAUGUGAAAUGUGUUUAUUUUGAUGUUUUAUGGUAGAAUAUGAAGCUAGAAAUUAUGUUAAGCAACUUUUUCUAAGCGAUUUUGAGUGAAAACGAGUAAAACGACAUAAUCGAUAAAAAUACUAAAUGUUCAUAAGUAAGUGUUAGAAUGGGAAUUUGGUGUUAUCAUAGAAGGGAAAAAUGUUCAGCAUGUCAUAAUACAUAAGAAUAAGGGAUAAAGUUUAAUUUCCGAGCCUAGGGACAAAAUUGUAAUUUUGUGAAACUUUAGGGGCAAAAAUGUAAUUUUUCCAAAAUGUGAUUUUUGGACUGGAUUGAAUAAUGUGAGUGUUAAAUAAGUUAAAUGUGUUAUUAUAAGUCAAGAAAGACAAGGAAUUGACUUUGAUUAGUGAAAAAAAUGAGAAAAAGUGAGAAAUUUCCCGAUUGAACAUUCGGAAUAAAAAGGGAUACGAAUGAAGUGACAAAAAUGAUCACAUAUGUGGCAUGGACUGUGUGUAGGCCACUAUGUGAAAGUGAAAGUGAUGGUCACGUGUGUAGUACUAUGUAUAGGCUACUACGUGUAUCAGAAUGAUAGGUCGCAUGUGUAGUACUAUGUGCAGGCUACUAUGCGUACCGGAUAGCUUCGAUCACGUGUGUAGUACUAUGUGUAGGCUACUACGUGUACCAGAAUGAUAGGUCGCAUGUGUAGUACUAUGUGAAGGCUACUAUGCAUACCGGAUAGCUUCGAUCACGUGUGUAGUAUUAUGUGCAGGCUACUACGUGUAUCAGAUAGUGAUGGUCACAUGUGUAGUACUAUGUGCAUGCUACUAUGUGAAUCUGCAUCAUUGAAUAUAAAGGUGGUUGCUAAGUGCUGAUUCCACCGUAUCCUUAACUGUGAAAGGGGUUGCUAUGUGCUGAUUCCCCAUAUCAUUGAAUAUAAAGGUGGUUGCUAAGUGCUGAUUCUACAGUAUCCUUGACUGUGAAAGGGGUUGCUAUGUGCUGAUUCCCCGUAUCAUUGAUUAUAAGGUGGUUGCUAAGUGCUGAUUCCACCGUGUAACGGUUAAUAUUCCGAAGUGUUCAUCGGGGAAAUUAGAUAAGUGAAAAUAUAUGUUAAUCGAAUAAGGUUACGUGAUGAAUAUUGGGUUCGAUAUUUAAUCGACCCUUAAGUAGGAUGAAAAGAAGUAAUGAAAUUAUGAAAAAGUAAAAUGUGCAACAAAACAGUUUUAGACAGUAACAAUAGUGUGACUUUGAAAAAUCACCAAAAAUGGUGGAAAUUGAAUUAGAGAGUGAAUAAGAUAUGAAAUGAAAUCUUAAGGAUUCUAUUUUUACAUGAAAGAAACAAGGAAAGCAAAAGAGUUACACAUUUUUAGAUUUUUGAAUUUUAGUGAGGCAGGGUCGGAUUGAUUUCAGAAUCCCCUAUUCUGAAUUUGGAAAAUAGAUAAAAAUUGUACAAAAAUAAUUAUGAGUUAUAAUUUAUAUGCUUAGAAUCCUUAAUGACUCUAUUUUCAAAGGAAAGAAAUGUAAAUAUCAUCCAAAUUCUGUACAAUGAGAUAAUUCAUUUUUAGUGAAGAGAGGUCAGUGAUGUUGAGUAGUGAAACAUGGGUGAAUUUAAAGAAUAAACUGUACUAAUUUUCCAAGGAAAAAAUUCUGAAAAAUUUAUGGUAAUAAUACAUAUGAGUCUAGUUUCAGGGAAAAUUAACAGAUCUUAAUUUGGAGCUCUGUAGCUUCAGAUAAAAAUGAUUUAGUGACGCUGAAUCAAAUGGACAGCUUUGAAUUUAAAUAUAAGUGAAUAGUGAAAUUAUGUAUAAUGCUAUUUAAGCAUGUUUUAUACAUAAAGGAUGUGGAAUGGAGAGGAGGAGGAGGACAAUAAAAUGUAUGAAAGAAUUGUGUAUAAUGGUCAUAUGCCGGAUUAUAAUCGGUAAAUGUUAAAUUGAAUGGUAAAUACGUAUUGGUACCGAAGAAACUAUUGCGGUGUUGAAAAGCAAUUGAUCAAAUAUAUAAGAAAUUUAGUCUUGAUAUAUAUAUAUGAUAAUAAUGAUAUAUGGAUGAUUAUAUCAUUGAGUUGCAUUGGUUAAUUCGGUUUAUGUGAUGGAAAUGUCAAGAACAUUUGUCUUUGAUAUGUGAUGAUCAUGGUUUAAGCUCAUAUGGGAAAAUAAAGUUUCAUAGGAUGAGAGUGUGGUAUUGAAAUAUAUAUAUUGGAUUGAGAAAUUAAUUUGAAUUGUGAACACGAAAUAUUGUAAAUUGAAUAAAAUGGAAAUGAAGCUUUGAAUUACAUGAGUAAGUAUCGGGUCUCGUAGGCCCUAUUUGUUAUGAAUAUAAUAUUUUGAGGAUAUGUUAUAUAGAAUUAUAAAAGCAUGUUAAAAAUUUGAAGAGUUCAAAUUUGAAUGAAAUUUUGUAACUCAGUUUAAUACGUUUACAUGUGUAAGUGUUCUAGUAAUGCCUCAUACCCUAUUCCGGAGUUGAAUACGGGUAAGGGGUGUUACAUUACAAGUCCUAUGUCCCUGACCAGCAGAGGAAUAGGUUGGAAAUUGCAGAUCUUGUCUCCCUAAGCAGUAGCAGAGCAGAUCGAAGACGGCGAAUCUUAUCUUCCCCAGGAGUAUGGAAACAGAUUUAAGCCACAAGUCCUAUGUCCCUGACCAGCAGAGGAAUAUGUUGGAAAUUGCAGAUCUUGUCUCCCUAAGCAGUAGCGGAGCAGAUCAAAGACGGUGAAUCUUACUUCCCUGGCGAUGCAGUGGAUCAGAUUGAAGCUACAACACCAAAUCUUGUUCCCCGACAUUGCAAUUAAAAAGAUUGAAGCCGCAAUGGCGAAUCUUACUUCCCUGGCGGUGCAGUGGAAUAGAUUAAAGCUACAACGGCGAAUCUUGUUCCCUGACAUUGCAGUCAAGACGAAAAAAAUCAAGCCUUGCCUCCAUCAAUUGCAGUGGAGCGGAUUAAAACCACAGAUCUUAUCUCCCUAAGCAGUAGUGGAGCAGAUCGCAUCAAGUCUUAUCUCCCUAAACAGUAGUGGAGCAGACAAAAGAAACCAAUCCUAUCUCCCUGAAGUUGCAGUGGAGCGGAUUAAAACCACUAAUCUCAUCCUCAUGGAGUUGUAGUAGAGUAGAUUGAAGUCGUAUCUCUAUGAAGUGCAAUGAAAUGGACUGAAGCAAUAAAACACAGUACACUGGAAUGAAGCUACUUGAAGAGAAGCAUCCAAAGAAGUCAAGACUCGGUGAGAUCGGGCAAAAUUGGUCUUUCUUAGUCUUUGCUCUAUUCCUGUUACACGAGAAUGAGCAAAGAGGGGCAGCUGUAAGAGCCCAUUUUUGCCCGGGCCCAUACCAACAAAAUAACCCAAAUAAUAAAAACAAAAAUAGUCCAUUUUCAGCAAAUUUAAACCCAAAAAACUACAAGCCCAAACCCAAUAGGCCCAAAAAUCAGAAACUCUAAGCCCACAAACUUAAAGAUUUUCAGAAAACCCUAGUUGCCUCCCCUAAAACUUGGCACCGCAAUCUUCCAUGCGUGGCCUCCUCGUCUGCCACACCCUCGCGUCGCCGCACGCCAGCACCCCAUCCACGCGCAUCUGACACUGUUCUGUCACCUGCAAAAGACAACCAACAGAACAAAAAAUAGAGAAAACAAAUAGAAAACGACAAAUGAGGCAGAGAUUAAACGUUUGUAAUCGGCUAUAAAAAGCUGAAUAAGGCAAUUGUACUCUUCUUCUUCCGAUUUUACGAACAAAAAAGAGAAAUAAAAAAUAGAAAAAAUAAAGGUGAUUUUUUAGAUCUGUUGUUUUUAUUUUUUUUAUUUUACUUCAUUUAUUUUUUUUCAAACAAAAACAAAAUAAAGAGGAGGGGGCUUACCGGAUGCCCGUGACCGCCGUCGGAUGGUUAGUCUCCGUCAUCGAGACCAAAUUCGGAGGGAGAGGGCUGUGGGCCUCUAUCUUGGACCUUAUGGGGUUCGAAAGCCCGUCCGCUCAACCCACCAAGAACCAGGCUUUAAAAGCCUUUCGUCGCGCUUCGUUGGCCGUCGUUUUGGUGGCGGUGCGGCAGAUAGACGAACGGUGGUGAGAGGCCGAUCGUCAGAGGGCAUGGGGAGUAUUGAGAGGGUUGCUGCAGUUUUUUAGUGUGAAGGGUAGGGAAAUGAGAAAAAUAAAAAAGGGUUGUUAAAGUAAAGACGAAAACGGCACCGUUUAAGGGAAGGUGAUCUGCGCAUUCUGCCCUAAUGGGUAAUUUGCGCAUUUGAUCCCUUCAUCUUGCGCUGAAGCGCAAUCUGACCUUUUUAUUUUUUUAAUUUGGGGCCGCGAAUUCUGUGUCUGCUUCAAUCUGGUCCUUAGACCGUGCGCAGACCCUCACUGCGUUUAGGGCUGGGGAAUAUUUCCCUACAGGUCCCUCACGUUUCGAGCGUGUUUCAGUUCGGUCCCUUGCAACUUUUUUCAAUUAUUUGCAGUUUAAACCCCAAUAUUGUGACCCGAAUUUAAUUCAGUCCUCAGACCUAUUAUUCUCAUUUUUAGUUAUUUUUUUAUUUACUUUUUUAUAUUUGUUUUUAAUUUUAUUUUAAAUAAAAAGGGGUUUUAUUAAAUUUUCCUUUUAACAUUUUAUUUGUUUGUUUAUUUUAUAUUUAACAUUUAAUCUGAUUUUUAUUAGUUGUAUGUUUUUUAUGUUAUUAUUAUUAUUAUUCGAUGAUUUGAUUUAUAUUAAAUUUUAUAUAUAAUACAUGAAUGUUUUACUCCUUUUGGCAUUUUACUAGUUAUGUGUUUUAUUUUCGCUAUUAUAUUGUCAUUCAUAUAAUUGCUUUUGUGCAUAUAUGUUAGUGUUAGGUUUUGUUAGUAUCAAGGCUAUAUGACUAUUAUAUCAUGUGUAUUAUGUUAUAGUUGUUGGAAAUGUAUGUUAUAAUAUUACUAUUAGUUAGAUAUGCUUUUUAUCUCAAGUAAUUCUUUUCAGUAUAGUCCAAAUCGCAUACGCGUUACUCUUAAAUAUUCCGUUAAUUCGUACUCAAAAUUCAAAAGGGUAAAAUUUCGAAAAUAAAGGCAAUAUUCCUUAUUUAGAAAAUUCGAGAAAAUCGUGCUCUAACUUACUGAGCUUUGAUUUUUCUUGCGUUGAUCUCAAAUAACCGAAUAUCCUUUUAAAAUUGAAAUAAAUGAGGUUUAAAUAAAAAAUAAAAGGCAAGCUUACUCUCAAAAUACGAGGUGUCGUGUCCUAACUUACUGGAUGUGACAUCUUGUUAAUUCGAGAUAAGAAGGCAUUUUCCAUUUUGAUUUAUUCGAGUAAUUUUUUUAAAUAACACAAUAUAAAGAGGGAUCGUAUUUUUAAAUUCUUUUCGAGUUUUUAGUUUUCGACACCAAGACAUUAAUUAAUCAACUAGGUACCAAUUUUGGGCGUAUCGAGGGUGCUAAUCCUUCCUCGUACAUAACCGACUCCCGAAUCCAUUUUUCUAAAUUUUGUGGACCAAACUCAUUGUUUUAAUAAAAUUAAAUUGUUUAUUAAAAACAACCCCUCUUCAAGGUGAUCCGAUCACACCUUAUCAAAAAGGAUUGGUGGCGACUCCCGUUUUCGUUUUCGUUUUCGUUUUCAUUUUCAUUUUCAAAAUCUAAGUCGACCCAGUUUUAACAAAAAAAUGGUGUCAACAACUGGCAAAUAAAUAAAGCCUAAGUAUUGCAUUGCAAAUGACAUAAUAUCACCCAUGUCUACAAUGUAAACUGACAGACAUAUUAAAAUUUAAAUUUAAAUCCAUAAAAAUUUAUGUACUUAUAUUCAUGCAUUUACACAAACACAGGAAAGAUAUAUAAAUUUACAAGAACAAACACAAUGUCAAAUCAAUAUAUUUCCUUCCUUCAAUACAAACAUCGUGUGUCAUCAACCAACAUAAAGAACAUAACAAAAAGUAUGCCCUAGUUUCAGCACUCUUUUAAGGCAGUUACUAAAAGUUGUUUUCAACCAUGUUAAGAAGCAUAUCAAGAAAUCAAGUUGAGGACUUCUAAUGAAAGUUGACAAGAAAUUUUCCAGAGAUGGAUGUACUAUCCAUGAUCCAUUCUAACAAUUUGAUCUUUAGUCUUACCUUCUAUUAUAAGAAUGAGUAGCCUUUGUUUCUGGCAAUUUUUGAUUGGUUCUAGUAUUCACUAAUAAGAAAGAUUUUCAUUUUUUGAAUACGUAUACAACCUGAAUCCAUUCUAUAUCAGUAACAACAAUAAUACACAUGAUAGAGUGAUAGAUUACGAGUUUCCAUACAAGAUUUCACACAUACAAUAAAAGAAAAAUAAGUGAAAUAAUUCCAUCUAAAAUGAAAUUAAAGAAAGCCAAAACUAAUGUAGUAGAACAGACAAUUGAGAAUGUUAAAUUUUCUUAUACUAGUUCCAUCUGUUUUAAAAAUAAAUAAAAAAAGAUUGCAAGGUAAAUCAGUAGUAAGAAAGAAAAAUAUGGAAUACCCACAAAAGGAUUGCAAACAAACAAGCCAAUUUAGAUCAAAAAAAUCAGAUUGAGAAACCAAUUAUUCAAGAAUUGUGAGUGUUGUCACCAUUUUUUUGCUAAAACGGGGUCGACUUGGAUUUUAAACAAAAACGAAAAUAGGAGUCGCCACCAAUCUUUUUUUGAUGAGGUGUGAUCGGGUCACCGCAAAAAAGUGGUUGUUUUUAAUAAAUGAUUUGAUUUUAUUAAAACAACGAUUUUGGUCCACGAAAUUUAGAAAAACGGGUUCGAGAGUCGGUUACAUACGAGGAAGGAUUAGCACCCUCGAUACGCCUAAAAUUGGUACCUAGUUGAUUACUUAAUGUCUUAGUGUCGAAAACUGAAAACUUUAAAGAGAUUUAAAAUACGAUACUAAAAAACUUGAAUGACAUGGAUUAAGAUUUAAGAGAAUAUUUGGCUAUUUGGCCAAACAAAAAAAUCGAAACCCAGCACAUUAGGGCACGUUUCCUCGAAUUUCCAAAUGCAAAAUAAUGCCUUACUCUGAAAUUUUAAAGGAUAUUUGGCUAUUUGGUCGAACGAAAAAAAAAUCGAAACCCAACACAUUAGGGCACGCUUUCUCGAAUUUCUAAAUGCAAAAUAUUGCCUUUAUUAUUUUUUAGAAAUCCUCAUAUCGAGAAAACAACAUAUUAUAUCCAAUGCGUUAGGACACAACGUAUCGAAUUCCCGAUAUGAGAAUACAUGCCAAAGAGUUUACUUAUUUAAAAGAUGUGUAACUAUCUCGAAUUUUAGAAAAAGGUAUCACGCCCAGUAAGUUAGGACACGAUCUUUUCUUAAUUCUCGAGAUCGUUUAAAACUUGGGAAAAAAAGAAAAAAAAAGAUCAUGCCCAGUAAGUUAGGACACGAUCUCUUCUUAAUUCCUGAGAUCGUUUAAAACUUGAGUUUGAAAAGAUUCGUGUAUUUAGAUUUAUUAUGAAAAUCGAAACCCAGUAAAUUAGGGUGCGACCUUCUCGAAUCUAAACACGAGAUUUUGCUUAUUCAAAAAUCAUAAUUUAUGCAUCGAAUAAAAUUAAUCUAACAUGAAAUAGUAGAAAUAAAACACGGUGUCAAUAUGUGAACAAAACAAAAAUGAAUACGAUGAUGUAGCAUAAAUAAUAUGAGUAAUAGCAAUGAAAAUAAAUUAGAUAAAAAGGACAAAUCAAUGACAUGAAAAUAAUAAUGCAUAUAAGCAAAUAAAAUCAAAACAUUCUUUCAAAAUAAAUAAUGAAAAUGUAAAUAAAGAAAUAAACAAAGAAAAUGUAUAAAACUAUAAAAAUAUAAAAGAGAUAUAUAUAUGUAUAUACAUGAAAUUAUGGAAAUAUGAAAAAUAUAUGUAAGUAAAUACUUUAAAAUUAUUAUAUAAAUAAAUACUUUAAAAUUAUUAUAUAAAAUAUAUAUUUAUAAGUAAGCAUAUACAUACAUAUAUACGUAUAUAAAUUAAAAUAUGUAUAUGUACAUGCAUGUAUAUGUAAAAAUUGUAGAAGGUAUACAAAAGUAUGAAUAUAUAUGAAAAUAGAAUAUGUACAUAGAUAUAUAGAUAUGCAUAUAAGUUAUAAAAUAUAAAGAAUGUACAAGUAUAUAUAUGUUAUAAAAACGCACUUAUGUAUAAAUAUAUAUAUGCAUAUAAAUAUAUAUAAAAAUUAUGAAAAUAAAAAUAAUAAAAAUAUAUAUAUAAAAAUAUGUGUUUAUAUAUUUACAAAAAUUAAAAAAUAUGUACGUAUACAUAUAUAUAAUAAAAAGUAUGUAUAUUAUAAAAAAUAUAUACAUGUGUAUAUAUAGAUAACAAAAUUUAAAGUUUAAAAAAAAGUAUAAAUAAGCAAAUAAUAAUUAAUAGUAAUAAUAAUAGCAUCAAAUUUACCAAAAUAACAAAGAAAAAAUGGCUAAAUUGAAUUUAAAAGAGGACUUUGGGGGGAAAUCUGCAAAUAAAUAAGGGGAAAGGACCAUCUUGAACUCGCGCAUGACAUGGAGGGACUAAAAAGGCAAUUUGUCCUUCUCCUUUAAAACGACGUGGUUCCAGCAGGGACUAAACUGUAAGCGCAACAAAUUGCUGGGUACAAUUUAAAAAAUUUAAAAAACCUAAUUUAAAAAUCAUUAAAAAGCGGAAGGGCUGAAAGCCUAAUUAGCCCUUCUGCUAAAAAACACGUGGAUCUUGCCUGGGUCGGGUCAGACUCGGGUCGGCUCUUGGGUUCAUGUCAAAAAAAGUCGUUUUGGCACCUGAGAGGCCUGCCCAAAACGGCGUCGUUUUGGAGGCCUAUUUAAGGCAAAAUUUUCACCAAAAAAAAUCAUUUUAGCAUAGUUCAGAAAAAAAUUCCCCCUCCCUUCUAUUUUCUCUGAAGGCCUGAGGGUCAGGCGAGAGUCCGGUCGGUCGCCACCGCGUCAGCCGCUGGUCGCCGACGACGGCACCGCCGUCCACGGUGGCCGGAAGGCCAAAAGUCACCCCUUUUUCCAGCGAAAAUCAAGGGUAAGUUUUCCCCUUUUUUAAAACUCAUUUUAAUGAAUGUAAAUGGUUUGAUUUUUUAAAAAUGAAAUGUAUAUAUACGUAAAUAGUUUUGAAAAAAAUAAAAAAAGACCUUGCCACGAUUGAAUCUGUUCUCUCCUUCAAUGCUCACUAUUUUUUUGUUUGUAUGCAUGAAUACUUUUUAUUUGUAUUCCCAAAAAAAACCCAUUUUUACAAUGUACGAAUGGCUUUAUAUAGCCUUUUACAAUUUUUCUAUUAUUUUCUUGUUGUUGCUGCUUUCUUUGCUUGUUUGUAGGUGAGCAGUUGGGAGCAGGUGAGGCCGCAAGGCGCUGGUCAGAGGCGGUGGCAAGUGGGGUGAUGGGACGGUGGCAGAAGGCCCUAGGUUUUCUGUUGUUUCUUUUUUUUUCUGAAAAUUGUUUAAUUUGUUGGGCCAUUGGGCUUAGGGUUGAAUUUGUUUGGGCUGUGUUGUAUUGGGUUUUGGGUAGGUUUGCAAUAGGCUGAAGGUUAAUUGGGUCCGGGCAUAAAAUUGGGUUGUACAGUGAGAGAACUGGAAAAUAUAAUGUUUAGGAACAAAAAUGAUUAUCCUCUUUUUAUUUGUCGACAGCCACUUGAUUUUAAGUCUUUGAACAUAAAUUUGUCGACAAAGAAGACAUACUUGGAUCAUCCAUUGAAUCCAUCUUUUGUUUUUCUAUGUUGAAUAAAAAAUUCAAUCGAAACACUCAAUCUAAUUUCUACUAUUUUGAUUCAAUACAUAUCAUAAUAGUUUUUUCAGUCAAAUGAAAAGGAAAACUAUUUACCUAUUUUAUGGAAAAUUGUCCUUUUUUUGUAUAAUUAUAGGUGUUUCAUCUAUUUUAUGGUCCUUACAGUGCUGACACGACCGUUAACAACAUUAAUGUGGCGUUCUAUGCCAGUGAUAGUUAGCUACAAUGUCAACAAAAAUAAAAAAAAUUAAAAAUUAAAAGGAAUAUUUAAAUUUAUUUUACUGGAAUGAACCUAAACAUAUGAUUGUCCAAGUUCAUUCGUUUCAAAACUUAAAUUUUUUUUAAAUUUAAAAAAAAAAUUAUGUUUUUUAUAAACGUGUAAAACACUUUUAAAAUUUAAUAAAAAUAUUUAAAACUUAAGUCCCUAAUGAAUAUGUCCAAAUUCAUUCAAGAUUAGUUUCAAAUAUACUAAAAUUAAUUUUCUUUAAAAAUUGAUAUGUGUGUCAAUAUUUUUCUAUUGCUACCUCUUAGGAUGAAUAAAAAAAAGAAAAUAUAUGAAUUUAAAUAAUUUAAAUUUUAUUAAUCUUAAGUCUAAAGAUUUUUUUAAUUGUAUGAAUAUAUCCAAUUAAAACAGUGUAUCUAUUAUUUCAUUACAUGUGUAUCUUAAAAGGUUUAAAAAAUUGGAUUAGAUUUUUUUAAUUGUAUGAAUAUAUCCAAUUAAAACAGUGUAUCUAUUAUUUCAUUACAUGUGUAUCUUAAAAGGUUUAAAAAAUUGGAUAUAUUCAUACAUUUAAAACAACUUUACACAAACAAUUAAUAAUAUUUAUUUUCUGAAAUAUAUUUUUUUAAAAUUUUUAUUCAUUCUAAAAUGUACCAAAGGAAUUAGAACAUUGAUACCCAUAUCAAUUUUUUUAAAGAAGAUUAAUUUUUAAUAUUUUUUAAACUUUGUACAAUUUAGAAAAACUUGAAUGAAUUUAGACAUAGACAUAACUUGUAAAUGAUUUUUAUCAAUUUUAAAUUUUUUAAAUUUAUUUAAUAUUUUUUAAAUUUUAAUAAUAUUUUUUAAAAUAUUAUUUUUAAUUUAAAAAUUUUUUAAGCUUCGAAACAAAUGAAGCGACAUCAGCAACUAUUCCUUUUAAAAAGUUUAAAUAUCCCUUUUAAUUUUUUAUUUUUGUUAACAUGGCAGUUUACGUGGUAUUGCCACAUAAGCAACUAUCGAUAACAUGAAGCACCACAUUAGAGCUGUUAACGGCCGCAUCAAUGUUGUAACAGUCAAUAUUAGUCAAAAGGCCAAUUUUGUUAGUUCAUGGGCUCAAUUGGGUGCAAAAAGUUUGCAGGGGCUUAAUUGAUUUUUUUUAAAAAAGUUUGAGGACCAAAAAUACCAUUAAACCCUUCUUUAACUAUUGAUCUUUCUUUUUCUAAGUAUCGGUCAACAUUAGUUAAAGGGCUUAUUUUGUCAGUUUUGUUAGUUUAAGGGCUCAGUUGGGUGCAAAAAGUUCGCAGGGGAUUAAUUGAUUUUUUCGAAAAAGUUCGACAAUCAAAAAUACCUUUAAGCCCUACUUUGACUAUUGAUAUGUCUUUUUUAAUUAAUUUUGUAUCCGUGCAUAGUAUAGGCACACGAUGUACAGGGUAUUUCCACGUAUACAUGUAAAGUGUAUUUUGAUGCCACGGCGGAAUUAGAUGAAAAUGUGAUUAUUAAAGUAGUAAUGUCACCUUCUAGUAAUUGUAAAGAAUUAUAAUUUUCUAGAUGCAUUUGGCUAGUAGAGUGUAAUUAUAUUGUAAUUCUUUUUGCCUUGUUUAGUAAUAUAAAUUGUAAUUACACAUUUACAAAUUUUAAAUUGUUUAAAAAGUAUUAAUUACUAUAAAUAGUUAUUAGUAAUACCUGAGAAAAAAUUUUAAACAAGUGACAUAAAUUAAAAUCAAAUCAUGUUAUGUUAGUCCAAGAAAGUAACCGACAACACGUUUGCCGAUAAAAAAGAAUAAGAAAACUAAACAUCUAUGCAAUUUUAUUAUUACUUUAGCAUUUCAUAUUUGUUAGGUUAUUCCUUUUCUAACAUUUAACAUAUACUUCUUAUCAUCAUCUAUUAGUUCAAUACCUUUUUCCUUGUACCAAUUAACCAAUAUGGAAAUUUUGUCCCUUGGUAAUAACCAGCUUGAAGGUUCCAUCCCUCGGAAAAUUGAAAAUUUGAAGAACAUCAAGAUUUUAAGCAUCCCUAAUAAUAGUUUUACUGGUCAUAUCCCCCUAGCUUUGUGUAGUUUGACAAAUUUGGAAUAUAUUGACCUUGGCAAGAAUCAAAUCAGUCGUUCAAUCCCAUCUUGUAUUGGCAGUUUAUCCAAUUUGGAUACCUUAAAACUUGAUUCAAAUCUAUUAAAAGGUCCUAUCCCUGAAGAAAUUGGUAGGCUUUUUCACCUAUCAAAUUUAAACCUCAGCUUCAACCAACUCUCAAGUAGUGUCUGUUGAAGCAUGGUCAGCAUGCAGCAACCAAGACAGUCGAGGGCAUCACAUGCAGAAGCUGCUAGUUCAUCAAGCCAGCAAGCAUGUUUUUGUUUCAUUUUGUAUACUAAGUUGAUGCAAUGUAACUUAGUUCAAUUUUAACUAUAUUAGGUUUAUGUUUGAUGUAAAUUGAUGGUGAUUGAGCUGAUUAAUCAGCUUUAUUGAUUUGUACAAGUUAAUUAGCUUAAGUUAAUAAGUUUGUUAGUGGUAGUAGGUUGUGAUUAGGUUAACCUACUGUUUUGUCAAGUUGUAAACUUGUUUAUGUAUUGGCUUUAUGCCAUUUUCAGUUUUUUGAAUGAAUUUAAUCAAGAUUUCAUCCAUAUGCUCUCUAUUUUAGCUUUGCUUUGAAAUUUGUUUUAUUUUUCUUCUUUGUUUCUGACACAAGUCUCGAUCAUUGCUUGGCAAGUUUCUUGUUGAACUUUGUUGUGUGUUGUUCUCAGCUCCAACAAUUGGUAUCUAGAGCCACAUUCUUAGAGGACCUAUUAUAACUCAACAAGAGGCACCAUGGCUUCAUUAGGUUUUUCACCAGCUUCACCACCUGUCUUCAAUGGAGAGGGCUUCAACAUUUGGGUAGUUAAAAUGAGGACUUACCUGCAGGCAUUCGACCUAUGGGAAGUAGUUAACUCAGAUACUGAGCCAGCACCUCUUCGAGCUAAUCCAACAGUUGUUCAAAUAAGGCAACACACUGAUGAAAGAACAAAAACACCCAAGGCCAUGUCAUGCAUACAGAAUUGUGUGACAGAUGUGAUCUUCAUGAGGAUCAUGGCCUGUAAAACACCAAAUGAGGCUUGGGAUAAGCUAAAAGAAGAGUUUCAGGGGAUUGAAAGAAUAAGAAAACAGUAGCUGCUCAACUUGAGAAUGGAUUUUGAAAAUCUCAAAAUGAAAGAGGAAGAAACAGUCAAGCAGUAUUCAGAUCGAAUUAUGGCUGUUGUAAACAGCAUAAGGCUCCUUGGAGAGCAAUUCAGUGAAGCUAGAAUAGUUGAGAAAGUCAUGUCCACUUUGCCAGAAAGGUAUGAAGCCAAAAUUUCAUCCCUCAAAGUCUCAAGGGACUUGACAACUAUCUCCUUAACUGAGCUAAUCAAUGCCUUGUAUGCACAAGAGCAAAGAAGAGCCAGCAGACAAGAGGAGCACCAGGAAAGGGCUUUUCAAGCCAAAACAAAAGAAGCCUCGAGCAUCAGUGCUCAGUAAGGCAAAAAGUUCUGGAAAAACAGGCCUAAACCUGAUGCUGCUAGAAGCAGUAACCAACUCUGUAAACAUUGCAAAAAGGCUGGUCAUCCAGAAGAUAGAUGCUAGUUUAGACCAGAUGCAGUAUGCCAAUACUGCAAGAAAAAUGGCCAUGUUAAAAAGGUUUGUAAGAACAGAAGCAAACCAAGGCAGAAUCAAUUUCAGCAACAAAAGGCAGAAGCUCGAGUGGCUGAAGAUAACAGUGAUCAUGAGGAACAGGGUUUUGUUGUGUCAUGUGCAACAAAUCAGAAGAAGAGUUCAAAGGGCUGGCUUCUGGACAGUUAUUGCACAAACCACAUGUCACCAGAUGAAACUAUCUUCAAGACCUUGGAUAGAACCUGCAAAACCAAGGUGAAAAUUGGAAAUGGUCAGUUCAUAAAUGCUGAAGGAAGAGGGGAUGUACUGAUUCAUACCCCUACAGGUGGCAAAAUCAUUUCAAAUGUACUUUUGGUACCUGAAAUCGACAGGAACCUUCUCAGUAUAACUCAACUACUUGAGAAAGGCUACUCAGUAGUGUUCAAGGAGAAAGAAUGUCAAAUUUUUUAUCCGAGUGGAUCAAACCUUAAAACAGUCACUAUGACUAACAAAUGUUUUGAAGUAGACUGGCCAAAUGGCUCACAUUCAGCCUGUAUAGCCUCCACUGAUGAUUCCAGGCUCUGGCACCAGAGGCUUGGACAUGCAAACUACAAAUCCAUAGCUUAGAUGGCCAAUGAAGGGUUGGCUGAAAACUUCAUCGAUUCAAUAAAGAAUGAUGAGCUUUGUGAAAUAUGUCAACAAGGAAAAUUGGCAAGAUUGCCAUUUCCUACAAGCACAGCAUGGAGAGCAUCAGAGAAGCUGCAACUUGUACACACUGAUGUGUGUGGACCAAUAAAGACUGAGACUUUUAAAGGGAACAGGUACUUUAUUCUCUUUAUUGAUGAUUAUACAAGAUACUUCUUGAUUUAUUUUCUGAAGUAGAAAUCAGAUGUUGCAUCUGUGUUCCUGAAGUAUAAGGCUGCUGUUGAAACUGAGUCUGACUGCAAGCUUAGAGCACUAAGGUCAGACAAUGGAACUGAGUAUACCACAGCUCAGUUCCAAGCCUACUGUGAAGAAGCAGGCAUCAAACAUCAACUGACUAAUGUGUAUACACCUCAGCAGAAUGGGGUAAGUGAAAGAAAAAACAAAAGUUUAAUGAAUAUGGCAAGAUGUCUUCUAUUUGAGAAGAAUUUGCCCAAAACUCUGUGGGCUAAAGCAGUUAACACUGCGGUCUACCCUCAAAAUAGGCUCCCAACCAAGGCCCUAGCUCAAAAGACACCAUUUGAAGCCUGGUUUGAAUUUAAGCCAUCAAUGGCUCAUCUUAGAACCUUUGGUUGUCUGUGCUAUGCACAAGUUCCAGCUGUGAAGAGAAGUAAGUUAGAUAAAAGGGCUCAAGCAGGGAUUCUAAUUGGCUAUAGCAUGGUUAAAAAGGGCUAUAGAAUUCUAGAACCUGGUACAAACAAGAUUCUGGUGAGCAAAGAUGUUGUGUUCAAUGAAAAAGAAUGCUGGAAUUGGGAGAAGGCUGAACCAGAGGCAGUAACUGAAGACCUGGCAUUGGACCAAGUUGAAAAUGAUCAAAACACAUCUGAAAUGGAUGUAGAUGAUGUCCCAAUCAGAGGCACUUGAUCAUUGGCUGAUGUCUAUGAAAGAGCACAAGUGGCUAUUGUUGAACUAAGUUGCUUUGAAGAAGCAGCAAGCCAGGAGGGCUAGAAGCAAGCAAUGAUUGAAGAAAUCAAGAUGAUUGAAAAGAAUCAGACCUAGAGUCUGGUUGAAAUACCAACAAACAGGAGGAUUAUUGGUGUCAAAUGGGUCUAUCGAGUUAAAAACAAUGCUGAUGGUAGCCUAAAUAAGUUAAAAGCUAGAUUGGUUGUGAAAGGCUUCAGUCAAAGGUAUAGAUCAAAUUACCUCGAGACCUUUGCACCUGUGGCUAGGCUCGAUACCAUAAGAUUGCUAGUUUCCUUAGCAGCACAAAAGCAGUGGAUGAUACACCAACUUGAUGUAAAAUCAACAUUUCUCAAUGGAUUCCUUGAAGAAGAAAUUUAUGUGGAGCAACCUUAAGGCUUCAAGGUGUCUGGCAAGGAAGAAAUGGUGUACAAGCUCAACAAAGCCUUGUAUGGCUUGCAAUAGGCCCCAAGAGCCCGGUACAGCAGAAUUGAUGGUUAUCUGACCUGUUUGGGAUUCAACAGGAGUCUUAGCGAGCCAACUCUGUAUGUUAAAUUGAUAAAUGAUGAAACUCAGCUCAUUGUUUCAUUGUAUGUCAAUGACCUAUUGGUGGCAGGAGGAGAUCGAGAAUUACUAGUCAAUUUUAAAACCAAAAUACAACAGCAUUUUGAUAUGUCAGACUUGGGGUUGAUGUCCUACUUCUUAGCCAUGGAAGUAACACAAGCUGAGAAAGGAAUUUGGCUAAGUCAGAAGACCUCAACAAAUUCUCAAUGGAGAAUUGCAAAGCAACCAGCACACCAGUUGCUGUUGGAGAAAAGCUAUCAAGCCAAGACAAGCAUGAAAAGGUUUGUGAAACAACCUACAGAAGUCUAGUUGGAUGUUUGCUAUAUUUGACUGCCACUAGACCUGACAUAAUGUAUGUUGUGAGUCUACUCUCGAGGUUCAUGCAUUGUUCAAAUGAAAGUCAUUUUAGAGCUGCAAAAAGAGUUCUGAGAUACAUCAAGGGAACUUUGUCCUAUGGAAUGCUGUUUACCAAGGCAGAAAAUUUGAAGCUUGUUGGUUAUUGUGACAGUGAUUGGGCUGGUUCAUUAGAUGAUAUGAAGAGCACUUCGGGUUAUGCAUUCAACUUAGGGUCUACUAUGAUUUGUUGGAGCUCAAAGAAGUAGGGAGUAGUAGCUCAGUCAACUGCAGAGGCAGAAUAUGUGGCUGCUGCUGCUGCAGUUAAUCAAGCCAUAUGGCUUAGAAAAAUUUUGACAAACAUUAACCAUGAGCAAAAUGAAGCAACAGAGAUAAUGUGUGAUAACCAAUCUGCUGUUGCAAUUGCAAAGAACCCUGUUUUUCAUGGGAGGACCAAGCAUUUCAAUAUCAAGUUUCAUGCAGUUCGAGAAAUGGAGCAGGCUCAUGUUAUUAAACUGGUUCAUUGCAGUUCUGAAGAGCAAUUAGCUAAUAUUUUGACAAAGGCACUCAGUGUUUCAAAGUUUCAACAUCUGAGAGCUAAAAUGGGAGUUUGCAACAUGCUAACCAAGGAGGAGUGUUGAAGCAUGGUUAGCAUGCAGCAACCAAGACAGUCGAGGCUAUCAUAUGCAGAAGCUGCUAGUUCAUCAAGCCAGCAAGCAUGUUUUUCUUUCAUUUUGUAUACUAAGUUGAUGCAAUGUAACUUAGUUCAAUUUUAACUAUAUUAGGUUUAUGUUUGAUGUAAAUUGAUGGUGAUUGAGCUGGUUAAUCAGCUUUAUUGAUUUGUACAAGUUCAUUAGCUCAAGUUACUAAGUUUGUUAGUGGUAGUAGGUUGUGAUUAGGUUAACCUACUGUUUUGUCAAGUUGUAAACUUGUUUAUGUAUUGGCUUUAUGCCAUUUUCAGUUUUUUGAAUGAAUUCAAUCAAGAUUUCAUCCAUAUGCUCUCUAUUUUAGCUUUGCUUUGAAAUUUGUUUUGUUUUUCUGCUUUGUUUCUGCCGCAAGUCUCGAUCCUUGCUUGGCAAGUUUCUUGUUGAACUUUGUUGUGUGUUGUUCUCAGCUCCAACAGUGUCUCUAUCUUGUCUGCCACUAAGCUUCGCAUUAUCGAUGCUGGAAAUAAUUGUAACAAGAUUUCUCCCGAUCCAUUUGAAAGCAAUAGUCGUUAUCACCCUAUAUGUGUCCUCCUCCAGUAACCAACAAAACCAACAGUAGUAGAACUCCUUCCUAUAUCAAAAUAUUCCUCCCAAUUGCCAUCUUCUCCACAUUCUCCGUUUUGGGAUGCUUUCUAUUUUCACGGUUUAAACUCAAGAAUAACAGCGUCGGUGUACAACCGACGAAGAAUGGGGAUUUGUGUUCCAUAUGGAACUAUGAUGGAAAGAUAGCAUACGAGGAUAUUGUUGCAGCAACAGAGGAUUUUGACUUUCAAUACUGUAAAGGAGUUGGUGGUUAUGGAAGUGUUUACAGAGCACAACUACCUUGUGGUAAAGUAGUUGCCUUGAAGAAACUUCAUCGUUUAGAAGCUGAAAAUCCAGCCUUUGACAAGAGCUUCAGGAAUGAGAUCAAGAUUCUAACAGAAAUACGACAUCGAAGCAUCGUAAAGCUUCAUGGGUUUUGUCUACACCGACGGUCCAUGUUUUUGAUCUAUGAGUACAUGGAAAAAGGGAGUUUGUUCUGCAACCUAAGAGAUGAAGUGUAAGCUGUGGAAAUGGAUUGGACAAAAAGAGUGGAGAUCAUCAAAGGCAUAGCGCAUGCUUUGUCUUACUUGCACUAUGAUUGCAGCCCUCCAAUAGUUCAUCGAGACAUAUCAAGUAACAAUGUUCUUUUAAACUCAAGCUUUGAGGCCUUUGUAGCUGACUUUGGGACUGCUAAAAUGUUGGAUCUUGAAUCAUCCAAUCAGACCAUUGUGGGCACAUGUGGUUAUGUAGCUCCAGGUGAUUUUCUUUGCUUUGUUUGAUGACAUUUUCUUCGGAAUUUAUAAAAUUAAUUGAACAUAUAAAUGAUUUUCUUUUUUAUCUGGUUUUUCGUACGCAGAACUUGCAUAUACAUUGGUUGUCACCAAAAAAUGUGAUGUCUAUAAUUUUGGAGUGGUGGCACUAGAAACGUUAAUGGGAAAGCAUCCCGAAGAAUUGUUAUCAUGGUUUUCAUCACCAACUUCUUUGGUAAAUAUGAGGCUGAUUGAUGUGCUAGACAACCGUUUACCACUUCCCACAAGUCAAUUAGUUGCACAAAAUCUUGUUCGCAUUGCUACUUUGGCAUCCGCCUGCCUAAAUCUGCAACCUAAGUCUCAACCAACAAUGAAAGAAGUGUACGAAGAGUUUCUUUGUGGCCAAACAUCCUUGGGAGUUCCCCUUCGGAUGAUCUCUUUGUUACAACUUGUGAACUGUGAAAUGCAUAUUGGAGAUAGAACUGAAACUUGUAAUGUUUAAACUCCAUGCACUUGUUCUUGAUUAGAUAUUGUUUAUCAAGCUUUGAUGAUUUGUUUGUAAACCAUAUCCUAUGUUCUAUAUGUUGGAAUGAAUUGCAAUGUUCAAUAAACUUGUUUAUUCGAUUGCUUUACAGAACAUAAAUUCGACAAUUUGAUGCAAAUAUUCAAACACCAUCCUAAUAGCUUCCUUUCAUUUCGUGCUUCUUUCAAGCAUGAAAGACCAACUCAAAGGAUAAAUCAAAUAUAAGUAAAUUAAUUGUGAAUUAAAGCAAAAAAAAUCAAAUUUAUAAAUACAAUGUUUCUUUCCUCAAUUUGCAUAAAUUUUAAAUGGUUCAGAAGAAAGCUUUCUAAAAAAGACUACACUAAAAAUGACCAAACCAUUUUGGAAAGAGGGAAAGAUGCUUAGGGGUAAUUUUUGAUAAAGCAAAGGCCACUAAAGAAUUCAAUAAUGCUUAGGGGUAAGAUGCUUAGGGGUAAGGUCUUUUAAUUUUUUUAUAUUAUCUAUAAUAAUUCAAUUUGAUUUAGUUUAUUUAUUUUUAUAUUAAUUUUAAGUUUAGGGUUUUGCACUUAUUUUAAUAAAAUGAACUUUAUUUUAUGAUUGUUGGAUAUUAUUUGAUAAACUUUGACUUUUAUAUAAGGCUUAGAAUUUUUAGUCCUCAGAUGGAAGGGUUCAGAAAUAAAGCACAAAGAAGUAUUUAUAAAGUGAAACUAUGAAGAAAACAUAGUAGUGACUAGGGAUAAUAAUAUAAUAUAAUCAUCUCUUCCAACUUCGGCUUCAGUAUAAAUGAUCUUUCAUUCCACCAACAAGCCAUGUCUCUUGGGCUAUAUCAGAUGAAAUUUUGUAGAAAUCAUGGUCGUAUUUCAUCACUACUAAGCUCUCUUUCACCUUCCUGUUUUCUUCUUCCAUUAAAGACCUCAAAUUUUUUAUUUUUUCCUCGUCUUUCCUCUUGCACUCUUAUUUGUCUCCUUGAUCUUCCUCGUCCUCUUCGAUCCUGUUAGCUUCUUCUAACCAGCUCUUAGCAGGAGCGGAUCGACAAUGCGUAAGCAAGAAAGCAUUUGUAGGUGGGACUGCAGCAGCUUGAUCAUCAACAUGAUCGAGGGAGCAUUUACCAGCAAUCACAAUUCUUAAUAUCAAUCUGCAAGUCUGAGAAGAUUGCAAAUUUAAAAAACCUAACUAUCUGCUUAAAGGUCAAAAGUCAAAUGCUAAGUUGGUUAUAACAUGUAAUUAAGUAAUGAAACCUGCAUUUAUAAUUUAUUGAAGGAAUCAGGCUGCCACAAUAUCUAUAAAUGAUUAAGUUCAAGCUAUACAAAUUAUAUUAAAAAUAAGAUGAUCAUUACAAAAAAUUAAAAAAGAAGGCCCUUUUCAGCGGCAGUAACAUGUAAUUAAGUAAACCAUGUAUUUUUCUAUUUCUUAAUCUUAGCCUGAACUUCCAUUUGCUUGCCAAUAUUUCUGGAAAAUGAUUUACUUUUUGGAAAUGAUUUACUUUUUUGGUGUUUGGAUAAAUAUGUGUAAAAUAUUUUCUGUUGUUUGGCAGAUUUCUUGAAAAUAGUUUAGAAAAACUGUUUUAAAUGAAACAUACAUUUGAGAAUUUAAUUGAGUUUAUUUUAUAUCUAUCAAUAAAUUUAUAUUUUACAUUAUUUUUACAUAUAUUUCAACCACAAUAUCAUUUCUCACCUCAUUCUUAUUUAUUUAUUUUCUAAUUUAAUUAUAAGGACAAAAUUCUAUUUUUCAUUGUUUUUUCGUUUUGCACUUUUGAUUUUCAAACUUCCAGUUUUGAAUAUAAAAAAUAAAUAUCCAUUUAAUAAUUAUAUUUGAGUGUGAUUAUACAUGAUUGGUAACUUGUAAAUACACUAUUUUUAGUUUUUUCACUUUACCCAUAAUUAUUUAUUAAAAUAAUUUUAUAAAUAUAUAUUUUUAAUAUAAAAUAUAUUCAUUCGGGAGUCUUACCUUAUAAUAUCCACAUACAUGUUGUAAGGCCCAAAAUUUUCCCGGGCCCAACAGUCCAAUUACAAAAAUAUAAACCCAAUUUAAACCCAAAUAAAUCAAAACCCUAGGGCCCAAAUGGCCCAAAAUCUAAAGUAAAUUUUUAGCUAAAUUUUAGCAGCAAAAAAACCCUAGCCGCAUGACCUGCUACUGCCGUCGCUUCGCCUCCUCGCGCGCCUGCGCCGCUCGCCGCCACCACUCGCCUAUCACUGGCCUUCCACGCCACUGACACCUGCAGAGAAAAAUAAAUGCAAGGCAACAGAAGAAUCCGGCCAAAUAAAGAGCAAAAAGACAAAGAAUAGAAAUCAAUAGUUGUAAUACGGCUAUAAAAGCCAAAAUGUUCUCGUUGUAUUUUUUUACGCACACUAAGCAAUCAAAAAGCAGAACAGAAAUUUGAAAAGGUUGAUUAAAAUCUCUUACUGUUUCCUGUUUGUUUUUCUCUUUUUUUUUAUUUUUUUAUUUUUUAUUUUUACAAAUCCAUUUGAACGAAAACUAGAAUAGAAAAGCAAGAAAAAGCUUACUUGGGCGUCACGAUCCCAUCGUCGGAGUCCCUUUCUCCGUCGCCGGAGCCGAGUUUUCAGAGAGGGGAUGAGGAAGACUUUAUUUUUCUUUCCCAUUUUUGUGGGCACGGGCUAAAAACCUUUCUCUUUUUCCAUGCGACUCCGGCCACCAUCCUUGGUGGCGUCGCAGUGGAGAUGUGGUGGAUGACGGCGGGGUUCCAAAGCUAGGCUUGGAGCCCUAGCAGAGAAAGGGGAAGCCCCUUUUCAUUUUAUUUUUCUAUUCUUUGUAACAAAUGAAACAGCAAAAAAAAAACUGUAGCAAUUAUAACAAUCGCAAACGGCGUCGUUUAAAGGGGGAGAGCUGCGCAUUCAUUCCCUAAAGGGGUAAUUUAUGCAAUUGGUCCCUUCUCUUCGACGCCUUAAUGCAAUAUGGUCUUUGGUUUUUUUUUAAAUUCGGUCGCAUAAUUCUUCAUGCAUUUCAUUUUAAUCCAUGCUGGGACUCAAUGCAUGAGGGUUGGGGAUAUUUUCCCAAUCAAUCCCUCAUAUUCAAAGCUUGUCCCACUUGGACCCUUAAUACCUCUUAUUUAUUUAUGGUUUUAACCCACCGAUUCUAGCCCGAUUCCAAUUCCAUCCUUGGUUCUGUAAAUACUUAUUUUUUUUUCUUUUAAAUUGUUUUUGUCUAUUAUCAUUAGUUUUUCUUAUUUGUCUUAAUUUCUUCUUUAUUUGUUUUUUUAUCGUAUAGCUAUAUUUUUCUUUUCUUUUCUUUUGCUAUAUAUAUUAUUUCAUUAAACAGUUUUAUUAUCAUUGUUUUUUUUAUUUUUUUUACUUUACGUUUUAUUUAUAUUAAACAUUUUUGUUUAUAUAUAACGUUUUAAGUUUCCUUUCCUAUAUUACAUUCCAAGCCUUUUAUAUACAAUACUGACUUGCUUUUAUAAAUUGUUUUUUUUUUAUGAUAAGAUGUGUUAUAUAUGUCAAAUCUUAUAAACUGCUUUCUACUAUCUCCUUUUAAAUUGUCAUUUUUAUCUUUAUUUUGAACUCAUUUUAUGUAUUAUUUAGUUAAAGUUGUUUUAUUACUUAAAAUUGUUUUAUAUAUCUUUUAAACGCAAGUUAUUUAUUAAAAAAUGUUUUAUUUGUUUUUUUCCGUUUCAAAGAUUAUUUCCUUCACAUUACUUAUCUUAUAUACAUUAGUUGUUAUAUAUAUAUAUAUAUAUAUAUAUAUAUAUAUAUCUUUUUUUGUAUAUUAUUAACCUUAAAUUUCUUUGUUUGCAUUAUCUAUUUUAAACUCAUCAUUAUUAUUUUAAAUAUAUUUUACAUUUUAUUUGACUUUAAUUUGCUUUAUACCUUCUAAAUUAUUGCUUGAUUUAUUGGUCUUUAUUUAUCGAUGUUUGAAUUUGAAUGAUGAAUGUUGUGAGAUUAUUGCCUUUGUGUAUAAUUUAAUUCGCUUAUUCGUUUUCUGGCGUUCACUUGCAUGAUAUUGUAUUCGUGUAUUAUUGUCCCAAGCGCGCUACCAUAUUUUAUUUCAUGUCAUUGCAUCGUGGAUGUCUCAACGUUUUCAUUCGAUAUAAUCCAUUUCGUUUUACUCCCAAACAAAAUAAAUGCACAUCUCUUAGUGUUGUACUCGCGACUAUUCGAAAAGAUUUUCUAAAUAAGGCAAUAUUUCGCGUUUGGAAAUUCGAGAAAACGUGCCCUAACGUGCUGAGUUUCGAUUUCUCGUUCGACCAAAUAGCCAAAUAUCCUUUUAAGAUUUUCUAAAUAAGGCAAUGUUUUGCGUUUAGAAAUUCGAGAAAAUAUGCCCUAACGCGCUGGGUUUCAAUUUUUCGUUUGACCAAAUAGCUAAAAUAUCCUUUUAAAAUUUCAAAAUAAAGUAAUAUUUCGCGUUUGGAAAUUCGAGAAAACGUGCCCUAACGUGCUGGGUCUCGAUUUCUCGUUGAACCAAAUAGCCAAAUAUCCUCCUCUUAAAUCUCAAUCCAUGUCGUUUGAGUUUUUUAGGAUCAUACUCUACAUCUCUUUAAAGUUUUCAAUUUUCAACACUAAGACACUAAGUAAUCAAUUAGGUACCAAUUUUGAGCAUAUCGAGGGUGCAAAUCCUUCCUCGUGCAUAACCGACUCUCGAACCCAUUUUUCUAAAUUUCGUAAAUCAAAAUCGUUGUUUUAAUAAAAAUUAAAUCAUUUAUUAAAAACAACCACUCUUCGAGGUGACCCAAUCACACCUCAUCGAAAAAAGAUUGGUGGCGACUCCCGUUUUCGUUUUUAUUUUCAAAAAAAUGGUGUCAACACAUGUUAUGGCUUAGGUUUGGAUAAUAUUAGACUUUGGAUUAACAGGAACGAUAGAAGAAAUUGAUGUUAAGUUGCACCAUAGAAACUUUUAUAUUCUCCUCCAAUGUAAACAAACCAAAAACUACUUUUCUAUUUAUCAACCACUGCACAAGUAGUGUGUAUUUCUUUUGUUAUACAUAUAAGCACAACUCCGCAUAUAUGAAUUAUCUACCAAAUACUCACGAAAGGCUUUUAAAAAAAUAUUAGUUAGUAAAGCCAUCCAAGAGGGAAUAUGCUACUAACGUGAAACGGGCAAAAUUACAUAGUAAAUAUGUCUUCAUGAGACUGCUGUAUUUCUUUAAGAACCAAAAAAACUAUAAGUGAAGGCAAAAUAGUUUAUUGUUUCAACUCUCUAUCCCCAUGCCUUAUUGUGCAAUGAAUAAAGUACAUCAAGCAGGGAUUUAUCCCUCGCCAUAAAUAUAUCGCACUGGUCUUUGCUUUAUACAAAUUUCUUGAAACACAACUUUGGAAUUUUAAUAUUUGGAACUCCUAAGCUACCUGAAAUAACUGCAAGUUACCAUGACUAAAGUGCAUACAUACAUAAAUGAAAGUUUCUCAAGCAAUGAUAAGAUAAUUAAUUGCUAAAAAUCUUUAUUAAUUUUGUGGAGAGACAAUCAGACAAGUCAUGUCAAAUUAAUGAUGGGACAAAAAGGUUUUCUGGAUUUUUAAAAGCUAUGAAUGCAUCUAUCAGGCUCAAGCAUUUCCAACAUCUAACUUAUGGCUUACAUCUCAAAGCAAAGAAUGCAAAGCAUCAGGCUUAAAGAUCAUAAUAUGCACAAAAAAUGUAGUGGCCAUGCAAGGUCUGCAUCAUGUCAUGCAUGCAUAGAUACAUUACAUUACUAUAAGCAAAUUUAUAGCUUUAUUGGUCUAUAACACGGUAGCAUAAUUAGAAACUAUCAAACAUGUCGGAGUGUACAUGUCUGAAUCGAAGUACAAAGGCAAAAAUAUACCGGUUUCUUCUCACUGCAGUAUAGUAUAAACAAACUUCUAUUGCCUGCAAAGGAUGGAAGAUGCUAACUCAAGCCUUACAACAGUGCAUACAUCACAAGAUGCAUGCGAGGCAAUGGCGCUUCAAGAGACAUGAAACUUUACACAGUUAGAAUCUUCACAUUUACCCCAAAAGUUCAAACUUCAAACAAUAGAAAAUGGUAGACGAACUAGCUUUUUAUAGUGUCAAACAUGCUGCAUUACAACAAAAUAUUCUUAUUGUUCUUCUCCGGUAAAACAAAAGGUUAACAUUUAGAGUUUAAAACAAACCGAAAAUGAAAAAAUAAUUGGAAACAGACUAUUAAACAAAUGAAAAUAUGAAAAAUAAUUUCCGAUAUAUAUGCUAAAUAAAAACCCAAAAUGGCAAUCGGUCUUGAACUCCAAUCUCUUAACAAUUCAAGAAACAAAUUCCAAUUCCAAAAAAUCCUAGUCUUUUAACAAAACAAAAACCAAAUAUACCAAAUACCCUUUCCCUUACACACAAAAGCUAAUUCAAGAGAUUACCAAAAAAAAAAAGGCUAAUUCAAGAACCAAGUUUGAAAAACAACUAAAACCCCCAAUUAAAAUCUUGGUCAGCUUACCUUGAAAAAUCACAUAGAAAGAGAAAAAAGAGAAACUCACAUGUGGCCAUGGAGAAAGCAACGAAUUUACAGAGUAACCUACAAUAACUUUGAAGAACAAAAAUAAUCAGGGAAAUAGCCAAAGAGAAAAGCAACAAGUUAAACCCCAUGAAGGAAAUUACAACUGCUCAUUGGAAAGCUAGAUUUUUGAGUUUCUUCAAAAUGCAGACUUGGUAAGGACGACGAGAUAACAAGACUCGGAUUCGAAGGUGAGGCCAACGAAUAGAGAUGAGGAGGAGAGGCAGAGGCUAAUGGACAAAGAGGAAGGAAAACGACUGUUGUGAUGAGAGUGGAGGAAAAUGGAAAAUGUCUUACCGAAAUAAAAUCGGUAAGACCUUUUCCAUAAAAAGCCAUUUCAUUUACCCUUGGUUUAGAAAAUGUUAUAAAAAGCCAUUUCAUUUACCCUUGGUUUAGAAAAUGUUCUGCUGAAGUAAUUUAUUUUCCAUCAAAAAAACACAGUAAAAUACAGAAAAUAUUUUAUGGAAAAUAUUUUACUGACAAAUAAGCAGAGCCUAAGUACUGCAUUGCAAAUGACAUAAUAUCACCCAUAUCAACAAUGUAAACAGACAGACAUAUUAAAAUUUAAAUUUAAAUCCAUAAAAAUUUAUGUACUUAUGUUCAUGCAUUUAUACAAACACAAGAAAGAUAUAUAAAUUUAGAAGAACAAACACAAUGUCAAAUCAAUAUAGUUCCUUCCUUUAAUACAAACAUCGUGUGACAUCAACCAACAUAAAGAAGAUAACAAAAAGUAUGCCCUAGUUUCAACACUCUUUUAAGGCAAUUACUAAAAGUUGUUUUCAACCAAGUUAAGAAGCAUAUCAAGAAAUCAAGUUAAGGAGGACUUCUAAUGAAAGUUGACAAGAAAUUUUCCAGAGAUGGAUGUACUAUCCACGAUCCGUUCUAACAAUUUGAUCUUUAGUCUUACCUUCUAUUAUAAGAAUGAGUAGCCUUUGUUUCUGACAAUUUUUGAUUGGUUCCAGUAUUCACUAGACCUGUCCAUGGGCCGGGCGGCUCGGUUCGGCCCGACGGCCCGCCCGAAAUAUGGGAGGGUUCGGGUAAAAAUAUAUGCCCGAAAUAUGGGCUUGGGCAAAAAAAUGAGACCCGUUUAAAAAAUGGGCCGGGCUCGGGCUCAACUUUUUUGGCCCGGGCCCGGCCCGGCCUGGCCCGAAUAUAAUAAAUAUAUAUUUUUAUUUUUAUUUUUUAAUUUUAAAAUACUUUAAAAAUAUUUUUUUAUUUUUUUAUUUUUAAAAUAUUUUUUUGUGUUUAUUAAAAACCGGGCCGGGCCAGGCCGGGCUUAUUAUUUUUUCCCGGGCCGGGCCUGGGCAAAAUUUUAGGCCUAUAUUUCAGGUCGGGCCGGGCCCGAGCCUAAGAGUUGGGCCGAAAUUUUUUUCCGGGCCCGGCCCGGCCCAUGAACAUGUCUAGUAUUCACUAAUAAGAAAGAUUUUCAUUUUCUGAAUACGUAUACAACCUGAAUCCAUUCUAUAUCAACAACAAUAGUACACAUGAUAAAGUGAUAGAUUACAAGUUUCCAUACAAGAUUUCACACAUACAAUAAAAGAAAAAUAAGUGAAAUAAUUCCAUCUAAAAUGAAAUUAAAGAAAGCCAAAACUAAUGCAGUAGAACAGAUAAUUGAGAAUGUAGAAUUUUCUUAUAUUAGUUCCAUCUGUUUAAAAAAAAAAGAUUGCAAGGUAAAUCAAUAGUAAGAAAGAAAAAUAUGGAAUACCCAUAAAGGGAUUGCGAACAAACAAGCCGAUUUAGAUAAGAAAAAUCAGAUUGAGAAACCAAUUAUUCAAGAACCGUGAAAGAACUGGAAAAUAUAAUGGUUAGGAGCAAAAACGAUUACCCUCUUUUUAUUUGUCGACAACCACUUGAUUUUAAGUUUUUGAACAUAAAUUUGUCAGCAUAGAAGACAUACUUGGACCCUCCAUUGAAUCCAUCUUUUGUUUUUCUAUGUUGAAUAAAAAAUUCAAUCGAAACACUCUGUCGAAACCAUUUUUUUGAAAACAACAAAAUUUUUAGGUUGUCGACUUUUAAAAAUGAAAAUUGGGAGUCGCCACCAAUCUUUUAGUAAGGUGUGAUUGGAUCACCUAAAAAAACGGCUUUGGUCUACGAGUUUUAGAAAAACGGAUCCGGGAGUCAGUUACGUACGAGGAAGGAUUAGCACCCUCGUAACGCCCAAAAUUGGUACCUAGUUAAUUAAUUAGUGUCUUAAGGUCGAGAAUUUGGAAAAACGUAAUCUUUAGCAAAACUUAAAAGGCUACGUAUUAAGACCCUUAUUAUUUCAGAGAAAGAAGAUACCACACCCAAUGCGUUAGGGCACAACAUUCUAAUUUUCCCCCAAAAAUGAAUUGGGCCAAAAUACUUAUACAAUAAAACUUUAAAAGAACAUCCACUUAUCCAAGAUUUAAGAAAUCACACCCAAUACGUUAGGGCACUAUUCCUUUAGAAUCCCAAACUCGGAAUAUUUCCUUUACUUUAAAAGAAAGUCCGCUUAUCCAAGAUUUAAGAAAUCACACCCAAUACGUUAGGGCACAAUUCCUUUAAAAUCUCAAACUCGGAAUAUUUCCUUUAUGAUUUUUAAAAAAUCUUCAUUUCGAGAAAUCAAUGCGUCACAUCCAAUACGUUAGGACACAACGUGUUGAAUUCCCAAUAAUGAGUUCUUAUUUUUUUAAUUAAAGAGAAAUGCUUGAUUGUUAGAUUUAACGAAGAAAAUCAGAACCCAAUACGUUAGGGCUCAAUUUCCUUGAAAAUCCUAAAUACAAGCACUAUCUCAAUUUUGAAAAGUUUGAAAUCGAGUAAAAAAAUGAUGUGAUGUUACAUUAAAUAUACAAUGCAAUAAUAAAUAAAUAUACAAGUGAAAGACAUAAGCAAAACUAUAAAAUAUAAAAAAAAAUAAAGGAUAUAAAGUGUGCUUAUAAUAAGUACAUUGAAGUUAUGGAGAAUACAAGACAUACAUGGAUUUAUAUGAAGAUAUAGACUAUAAGAUUCAUAUAAAAUAUAAUGCAUUUAUAAAAAGAAAUAUAUAAAUAUAUAUAUUAUAAAAUUUGUGUAAAAAAAAUAAAUAGGUAGUUAAACAUUUUCAAAAAUAAAUAAAUAAAAAUAGAUAUAUACGUGUAUAUAUAUAAAUAUAAAAGAACAUUCAUUAGAAAAAAAAAAUAAUAUGUAUACAUGUACAUAUAAAAUAUCUAUAGAUUAAAAAUAAUUAAAUAAUAUCUACAUUAUCAAAAUUGAAUAAAAUAAAUAAAUAUGUAUAUAUAUAUAAAUAUGAGAAAAAUAUUAAUUGAAAAAAAAAUAUAUAAUGUGUACAUAUAUAUAAAAAAUAAUUAUAUACAUAUAUAGAUUAUAAAAACGAUAAUUACAUAUAUACAAAAAAAUGAUAAUAAUUAAAUUAAUUAAUUUAAAAAAUAUUAAAAAAACUAUGAAGAAAACAUGUACAAGUAUACGUGUACAUAUUUACAAAAGUAAAAACAAGUUUUUGAAAUUAAAAAUAUAAAAGUAUAUAUAUUAUAAAAAAUGUUUGUAUGUACAUAAAAAUAAUAAUUAAAUAAUGAUAAUAAUAAUAAUAAUAAUAAUAAUGAUGAUGAUGAUGAGGAAGAUGAAAAAAUAAAAUUAAAAAAAAACGAAUUGCAAAAAAACAAAUAGUUAAAAAAAACUAAAAUAACAAGAAAUAAAUGAAAUUUAAGCAAAAUAAUGGGCGAAAUCGCGACACGCGAAUUACAUGGAGGGCCAAAUCGGAAAUAAUCCGCCUCCCCAAAACAGUGUCGUUUCGCUAACAUGAUUUAAAACAGUUUUUUAGAAAAAAAAACAUUGUUUGCAGCAUAAAAAAAAGAAAACAAAAAAAACAAAGGCUCUCUACUAGGGUUUUUAACCCCAGCCCCCUGACACCACCGUUCACUCUUGUCGAUACUCCGAUUGCGACAGAGACGGCACAAAUCCGGCGAUUCCAACUUGAGGAGUAAGCUCUUUCCUCCUUUCUUUAUAUUUUAAGCAAAAAUAAAUAAAGAGAUAAAGAAACUAAAAAUAUAUAUACAUCUAUGUAUAAAUGAAAAAUAAAAGAACGAUAAUCCUCAAGGUAAUAUAGAGAGAAAAAAACCUUUGUAUUCGAAAAAGAAAAUUUUCCUUCUCUCUCUUUUCAGUCUCUCUCUUUUCAGUCUUCUCUCUUUUUACAUUACAUUCAGUGGCUUUAUAUAGCCAUUCUAAAAAAAUCAUAUAAAGAAGAAACAAAUCUCUUUUAUUUGAUUUGUGAAUCUUUGAUUUCAUUUCCUUUUUUUUUCUUGCUUGAUAUGCUUGAUUUGAUUUUGCAAUCCUUGAUUUUCUUUCCUUUCUUGUUUGUUUCCUUGCAGGUGAAGAUCGAUGACGCUCGUGACUGCGGCGCAAAGUCUUCUUAGAAACCCUAGGGUUUCUGCAAAUGAUUUGAGCCACUGAAUUUGGGCCAUUUUCAAAAUUGGGCCACCGUUUUAAAUUGGUUUUGGGCCUUAUGGCCCGUUUGUAAUUUUGGGCCUUUUACCAGGGCCAAAAUCGGGUAUUACAGCUGCCCCUCUUUGCUCAUUGUCGUGUAACAGGAGAGCAAAGACUUAAAAAAUGCCCGAUUUUGUCCGAUCUUUGGUAUUUUUCUUCUUCAAAAAGCUUCGCCUCUUCCUACUGCAUCUUCAGUAGUAUAGGAGCUAGUGCUUCAAUUUAUUUCACUGCGACUGCAGGGAGAUAAGACUUACAAUCUUCAAUCUAUUCCACUAAUGCUUAGGGAGAUAAGAUCUGAAAUCUUCAAUCUAUUCCACUGUUGUCCAGGGGAGUAGAAUUACUGGCUUCAAUGUACUCCAUUAUAACCACAGUGAGGUAAAAUCCGCCAUCUUCGAUCUGCUCCACUACUGCUUAGGGAGAUAAGAUCUGAAAUCUUCAAUCUAUUCCACUGUUGUCCAGGGAAGUAGAAUUACUGGCUUCAAUGUACUCCACUAUAACCACAGGGAGGUAAAAUCCGCCAUCUUCGAUCUGCUCCACUACUGCUUAGGGAGAUAAGAUCUGAAAUCUUCAAUCUAUUCCACUGUUGUCCAGGGAAGUAGAAUUACUAGCUUCAAUGUACUCCACUAUAACCACGGGGAGGUAAAAUCCGCCAUCUUCGAUCUGCUCCAUUACUGCUGAGGGAGAUAAGAUCUGAAAUCUUCAAUCUAUUCCACUGUUACCCAGAGAAGUAGAAUUACUAGCUUCAAUGUACUCCACUAUAACCACAGAGAGGUAAAAUCUGCCAUCUUUGAUCUGCUCCACUACUGCUUAGGGAGGUAAGAUCUGAAAUCUUCAAUCUAUUCCACUGUUGCCUAGGGAAGUAGAAUUACUGGCUUCAAUGUACUCCUCUAUAACCACAGGGAGGUAAAAUCUGCCAUCUCCGAUCUGCUCCACUACUGCUUAGGGAGAUAAGAUCUGAAAUCUUCAAUCUAUUCCACUGUUACCCAGAGAAGUAGAAUUAUUGGCUUCAAUGUACUCCACUAUAACCACAGGGAGGUAAAAUCUGUCAUCUUUGAUCUGCUCCACUACUGCUUAGGGAGAUAAGAUCUAAAAUCUUCAAUCUAUUCCACUGUUACCUAGGGAAGUAGAAUUACUGGCUUCAAUGUACUCCUCUAUAACCACAGGGAGGUAAAAUCUACCAUCUUCGAUCUGCUCCACUACUACUUAGGGAGAUAAGAUCUGAAAUCUUCAAUCUAUUCCACUGUUGCCCGGGGAAGUAGAAUUACUAGCUUUAAUAUACUCCACAGGGAAGUAAAAUCUGCCAUCUUCGAUCUGCUUCGCUGUCAAUGCAGGAAGGCAAGAUUUGCUAUCUUUAACUUGCUCCACUACAACCGAGGAAGGCAAUGCUUAAUUUUCGAUCUGCUUCGCAGUCAAUGCAGGAAGGCAAGAUCUACUCUUUCACUGAUCUGUUCUCUGUGGAACAUGACCUGUAUAAUGAACCUAAUUAUGCCUAAUGAUUAGGAUGGCAUGAUCAAAAUGCAUCAAAUGCUCCUAACUAGACAUGUGUGAAUAGUGUUUGCAUGAAUGCAAAAUUUAUUUUUUCGAGAAUGAUCCCACUUAGGUUGUCAUCACUCGAAGUUUAUUAAGGCUUUGUGACUGACGUGCUACAACGCCUUCUUGCUUGACUGGCUUUUCUGAAGAAUCAUUUAGCCAGGCUGCCCCCCACUGUGAACCUCCAAGUUUAAUCCAUUGGGGUGCAAAGAUUCAUACCAUUGUUCUCCCACUGUAACCCAAGAGUAUAUGGCUUUUCUUCAAUCCUCUCCUAUCACAAUUCAAGGAUAUAGGAUCUAAAUCUUUCUAGUCUUUUACACCAUUCCCAAGUGUCGUACCAAAAGCUCAUACACAAAUGAAGGCUCUCUUCCCCGAGGUAACCUCUUUCUAUUGCCUGGUGAUCAUUACUUGCUUGUUGAUUUAGGCUUUGUCAUCAACACAACAUCCAAUGUUUUUGACAACAAAAUCCAAAGAGAGUCCUAGUUUAGACUCUUCCUUUUCAGAUUUCCAACCUUUAAAAACUUGGUACGUUCUAAACAAUAGUCCUAUUUUAGGUUCCCGUAUUAUUUAGAAACUUCUAGAGUAAUAUGCAAAACUUCCUUCAUGAAAGUUUUAUUAGUCCAUUAAUCAUUAUUCUAAUGCAACAUGCUUGCAAAAAGGGUAUAUCAAUAGAUGAGAAUACAAUUGGUUCUGUGCAUAGCUCGAAAGGAAUAUAUUAUCAAAAAUAGUAAAUAAGGAUAGCAAAGAAAUUGAUUGAGAAUGUGUAUCUUGGAAAAGAAUGACGUAUCCCAAAAAUAACAAACUCAGUAUAAAUAGUAUGAAUAUUGGGUGCCCCAAAUAUCGCAGCUUGAGCUUCUCUGUACAAACUUUGUGAAGAUCCUUCUGAGUUUGACAUGUGUUUAGGAGAUCCACAGUACUCUGCCAAUGCCUCAAGAUGUUGCCUACCUUUUCCUGAUAAUUCAGGUAUAACAAGAUCACCACAUGCCCCAAUCUGGUUAAACUUUGAGUUGCUCUAAUCACUUCGUGCCCCAUUCUGAUCAAUAUUUGAGCUGCCCUUUUCGGGAUUUCAACUCAAAUCCCCUUUGGUCUCAAAGUGCCCUUUGCGGGUUUUCACUUUGGCCUCUCCAUUUUUCUUUUUCUUUUUUUUGUUUUGUUUUGUUUUUUUUAAUCUAAACUAAUAGGAUUAGACAAGUCUUCGUUAUCCCUUUCGAUCAAAACCAAUGCAAGAUCUUCUUUGUGAUCAAAUUUCUUUCAUACAGUUUUUUUUUGGGCAAAAUUUAACUAUGACGAAAACUUUGGAUCUUCCUCUUCAAUUGGGAUGAAAUCCAACAACGGAGAAAUGGUAACUUAACUUCGACAAGUUAAACCAUGAUGAGCCAAAGGAGAAGGCAUUGCCCCUGCAAAGAAUUCUAAAUGUAUCGUUCAUGAUUUUAAUCUUGAACAUACUGUAAAUUCUUGAUAUCGUAUUGUUGUUUCGAUUACGAUGUCGGUGCUUACUCAAGCAUAUCCUGAUAUGACCAUAUGAAGACAUCUUUGAACUCUUUGAAGUAACUCAACAAGGUCAUGCUUCAUUUCUUCGGUUAUGCACGCUAUCUUAAGGUCCAUUGUCCCUUCAUGAAGUACGAUUUCAUUCUUGUUCUACCAUCCUCAAAAAGUCUAAAAAUAGACUACAAUCUAUAUCAUUUUUAAAGUCAUGAGAUCCCUCUAAACACAGAUCUCACUCAAAAGAAACUUCUGAGUCCGUAUCAGCAUCACUCAUGUCGUUGAUAUCAGGGGACCCAUAGUAGGUACCAAAGAAUAUACAAAAAAAUGUAUGAAUAAUCAUUUAUACAAUUAUGAAUGAAUAGAAUAAUAUGGAAGAAGAUCCGAAAGAAUGAAAGUAUAAUUAUUCGAAAAAGAAUGAAAGAACAUUGGCUUAAAAAAUGAAUGCAAAGAUGUAUUUUAUUAGAAUAACAACGUUCAGACAUGAGCCUAUUUCAUAAAGGAAUUCUUAUUGCCUCUAGGCUGAAGGCAACAAGUGUGUUUUAAACAUUACUCUGAGUAAUCUCUAAAUACUACAGGGGCUUCUUCUGCAGUCUAAUUAUUUAAAACACUCCCAAGUCUAUAAGGGCAAAAAUCUGACAAGGUCUCUUCUUCAGUUGUUUCAUCGUGAACACUUCUCAACACCCCUUCAUAUUCAAUCAUGACUGGGUACUAGAUGAACCAUCUAUCUUGACAAUACCCAUGUUGAUGAAUUGUUCAACUAGCUUUUUGAAGGUAAUGCAAUUUUCUAUAGAAUGCCCCGUAAUGCCUGCAUGAUAAUCACAUUGUGCACUUGCAUCAUACCAUUUGGGAUACGGGGGCUGUGGAGGCUUCAUAUGUAAAGGAGCAACGACAUGCGCAUUGAAUAAGCUUUGAUACAGCUCACUGUACGACGUUGGAAUUGGUGUGAACUGGAGCUUUUCAGUACCUGGCUUCACACCUAAUUCUUGUAUUGAUGAACCCUGUUGAUUAGCAAUCGAUUUGUCGUACGUAUUCACGUUGUGCACCUCAUUUCCCUUUUCUUUUGAGGCUUGCCUUCUGUUAUUUCCUCCAGCAUCAAUCUUUCCGCUCCUUAUGGCGCUUUCAAUCAUUUCACCAUUCAUGAUUAUGUCAGAAAAGCUUUUUGUUGCACUCCCUAACAUAUGUGUGAUGAAUGGUGCCUUCAAUGUGUUGACGAAAAGCAUCGUCAUCUCUCUUUCUAGCAGAGAUGGCUGAACUUGGAUAGCAACCUCCCUCCAUCUCUGUGCGUACUGCCUGAAACUUUCACUAGGCUUCUUCUCCAUGUUUUGCAGAGUAAUUCUAUCAGGUACCAUGUCAGUCACAUGACUGUACUGCUUUAUAAACGCCUGUGCCAAAUCUCUCCAUGAGUUAAUAUGGGUACGGUUCAAUCGAUUGUACCACUUGGAUGCUGCCCCUGCGAGGCUAUCCUGGAAGCAAUGACUCAAGAGUUGGUAAUUAUUGACAUAACCGGUCAUUCGUCUGCAGAACAUGGUAAUAUGAGCUUCGGGGCUACUGGUUCCAUUAUAUUUCUCAAACUCUGGCAUUUUGAAUUUGUAAGGGAGCACUAAAUCCGGAACCAAGCUCAAUUCUUUAGCAUCAAUUCCAUGGUAGCCCUCAGUACUUUCCAUCGCUCUAAGUUUUUCCUCCAGCCACUUGUACUUUUCCUCUAGCUGUUUUGGCAAUUCAUCAUUCAUUUUCUCUUUUCCGGCCGUCUCAUCGAAAUCAGGGAUAGCAUGAUUAACAAAGUUGGCUUCGGGGUUAGAGCCUGAUCCCGCCUAGAAAUUCAUUUGCGUUGCAACGUCACCCAGAGGGUUAAUGGUAAUAGAGGACCUACGCGGAUAUAUCUCAACUUGUUGGGGUGUAAAGUCCGGAGGAUAGACAAGUCCCUCAUUGUCACCUUCUUCAUUGUUGAGCACCAAUCCCUUUCCUUUGUCAACUCCUCCAGCCAAUAACUGAGUCAACUUAGCCAUCAUACUCCCUUGAGAUUUCAUUAUCUUUUCCAUCAUCUUUUGUUGAAUCUUUUCUAAUUGCUCAUUCAUUUGCUCUUACAUUUCUUUCUGGAACUGUUCUAGCCUUUGGUCCAUGUCUCUAGUUUUGGAUCGAGUUCCAUAGCAGUGUUUGAUAGCUUGAUUGGUUUCUAGAUUAACUGAUGAGUAAUUUAGAUUAAUUAGAAUCCCUUAAUAUAUUUAUUAAUGCAUAUGAAACAAUGCAAUGCAUGAAAUGAAAUGCCAUGUCAUGCAAAUAAAACACCAAAAGUCAGUAUAACAUAGAAACACAAGAUAUAAUCAAGAAAUAGUAAAGAUCUCUAAUUGGAUAUCUACUAGGGUUUAGUAUAAUUCUACCUAGGGUGGAUUCCUAAGGUUCAUUAUAUGAAGUUUGGCUUCUAGAGUAAAGGUACCCAAACCAGUAGAUUCCUCAAUCCUCACCCAUUAUAGGCUCAUAUGGACCGAGUUCAGUUCAGGGGAAUACAUUUCCCUAUGGCUGCACGGAGAUGAAAAAAUCUCACGAAGACAUAGGUACGGAUGUAUCCCGAAAGCAAUCCACUAUCCUACACGGAGGUAAAAUCCUCACGAAGGCAUAGUUUCUCACUCCCACUUAAAAGGGUAACAUUGCUCAACUCAUUAAAUGUAUAAUGCAAACAAUGUUUGAACAAGUAGAUAAUGAAUGCAAAAGGAUGUCAUGAGUUUGUUUUUUAAAAUAUUUUCUCGACCAUAAGACAAAAAUUAAUCAACUUUGUGGCUCGACUCUCUUCUUUUUUUAAAAAAAAUGUCCCCAGUGGAGUCGCCAAGCUGUCGAAACCAUUUUUUUGAAAACAACAAAAUUUUUAGGUUGUCGACUUUUAAAAAUGAAAAUUGGGAGUCGCCACCAAUCUUUUAGUAAGGUGUGAUUGGAUCACCUAAAAAAACGGCUUUGGUCUACGAGUUUUAGAAAAAUAGAUCCGGAAGUCAGUUACGUACGAGGAAGGAUUAGCACCCUCGUAACGCCCAAAAUUGGUACCUAGUUAAUUAAUUAGUGUCUUAAGGUCGAGAAUUUGGAAAAACAUAAUCUUUAGCAAAACUUAAAAGGCUACAUAUUAAGACCCUUAUUAUUUCAGAGAAAGAAGAUACCACACCCAAUGCGUUAGGGCACAACAUUCUAAUUUUCCCCCAAAAAUGAAUUGGGCCAAAAUACUUAUACAAUAAAACUUUAAAAGAACAUCCACUUAUCCAAGAUUUAAGAAAUCACACCCAAUACGUUAGGGCACUAUUCCUUUAGAAUCCCAAACUCGGAAUAUUUCCUUUACUUUAAAAGAAAGUCUGCUUAUCCAAGAUUUAAGAAAUCACACCCAAUACGUUAGGGCACAAUUCCUUUAAAAUCCCAAACUCGGAAUAUUUCCUUUAUGAUUUUUAAAAAAUCUUCAUUUCGAGAAAUCAAUGCGUCACAUCCAAUACGUUAGGACACAACGUGUUGAAUUCCCAAUAAUGAGUUCUUAUUUUUUUAAUUAAAGAGAAAUGCUUGAUUGUUAGAUUUAACGAAGAAAAUCAGAACCCAAUACGUUAGGGCUCAAUUUCCUUGAAAAUCCUAAAUACAAGCACUAUCUCAAUUUUGAAAAGUUUGAAAUCGAGUAAAAAAAUGAUGUGAUGUUACAUUAAAUAUACAAUGCAAUAAUAAAUAAAUAAACAAGUGAAAGACAUAAGCAAAACUAUAAAAUAUAAAAAAAAAAUAAAGGAUAUAAAGUGUGCUUAUAAUAAGUACAUUGAAGUUAUGGAGAAUACAAGACAUACAUGGAUUUAUAUGAAGAUAUAGACUAUAAGAUUCAUAUAAAAUAUAAUGCAUUUAUAAAAAGAAAUAUAUAAAUAUAUAUAUUAUAAAAUUUGUGUAAAAAAAUAAAUAGGUAGUUAAACAUUUUCAAAAAUAAAUAAAUAAAAAUAGAUAUAUACGUGUAUAUAUAUAAAUAUAAAAGAACAUUCAUUAGAAAAAAAAAUAAUAUGUAUACAUGUACAUAUAAAAUAUCUAUAGAUUAAAAAUAAUUAAAUAAUAUCUACAUUAUCAAAAUUGAAUAAAAUAAAUAAAUAUGUGUAUAUAUAUAAAUAUGAGAAAAAUAUUAAUUGAAAAAAAAAUAUAAUAUGUACAUAUAUAUAAAAAAUAAUUAUAUACAUAUAUAGAUUAUAAAAACGAUAAUUACAUAUAUACAAAAAAAUGAUAAUAAUUAAAUUAAUUAAUUUAAAAAAUAUUAAAAAAAACUAUGAAGAAAACAUGUACAAGUAUACGUGUACAUAUUUAUAAAAGUAAAAACAAGUUUUUGAAAUUAAAAAUAUAAAAGUAUAUAUAUUAUAAAAAAUGUUUGUAUGUACAUAAAAAUAAUAAUUAAAUAAUGAUAAUAAUAAUAAUAAUAAUAAUAAUAAUAAUAAUAAUAAUGAUGAGGAAGACGAGAAAAUAAAAUUUAAAAAAAACGAAUUGCAAAAAAACAAAUAGUUAAAAAAAACUAAAAUAACAAGAAAUAAAUGAAAUUUAAGCAAAAUAAUGGGCGAAAUCGCGACACGCGAAUUACAUGGAGGGCCAAAUUGGAAAUAAUCCGCCUCCCCAAAACAGUGUCGUUUCGCUAACAUGAUUUAAAACAGUUUUUUUAGAAAAAAAAAACAUUGUUUGCAGCAUAAAAAAAAAGAAAACAAAAAAAACAGAGGCUCUCUACUAGGGUUUUUAACCCCAGCCCCCUGACACCACCGUUCACUCUUGCCGAUACUCCGAUUGCGACAGAGACGGCACAAAUCCGGCGAUUCCAACUUGAGGAGUAAGCUCUUUCCUCCUUUCUUUAUAUUUUAAGCAAAAAUAAAUAAAGAGAUAAAAAACUAAAAAUAUAUAUACAUCUAUGUAUAAAUGAAAAAUAAAAGAACGAUAAUCCUCAAGGUAAUAUAGAGAGAAAAAAACCUUUGUAUUCAAAAAAGAAAAUUUUCCUUCUCUCUCUUUUCAGUCUCUCUCUUUUCAGUCUUCUCUCUUUUUACAUUACAUUCAGUGGCUUUAUAUAGCCAUUCUAAAAAAAUCAUAUAAAGAAUAAACAAAUCUCUUUUAUUUGAUUUGUGAAUCUUUGAUUUCAUUUCCUUUUUUUUUCUUGCUUGAUAUGCUUGAUUUGAUUUUGCAAUCCUUGAUUUUCUUUCCUUUCUUGUUUGUUUCCUUGCAGGUGAAGAUCGAUGACGCUCGUGACUGCGGCGCAAAGUCUUCUUAGAAACCCUAGGGUUUCUGCAAAUGAUUUGAGCCACUGAAUUUGGGCCAUUUUCGAAAUUGGGCCACCGUUUUAAAUUGGUUUUGGGCCUUAUGGCCCGUUUGUAAUUUUGGCCUUUUACCCGGACCAAAAUCGGGUAUUACACACUCAAUCUGAUUUCUACUAUUUUGAUUUAAUACAGAUCAUAAUAAUUUUUCAGUCAAAUGAAAAAGAAAACUAUUUACCUAUUUUAUGGAAACUUGUCCUUUUUUUUGUAUAAUUAUAGGUGUUUCAUCUAUUUUAUGGUCCUUACAGUGCUGACACGAUCGUUAACAACAUUAACAUGGCGCUAUAUGUCAGCAAUAGUUAGCUACAAUGUUAGCAAAAAUAAAAAAAAAUUAAAAAUUAAAAGGAAUAUUUAAAUUUAUUUUACUAAUGAACCUAAACAGAUGGUUGUCCAAGUUCAUUCGUUUCAAAACUUAAAUUUUUUUAAAUUUAAAAAAAAUUAAGUUUUUUUAUAAAUGUGUAAAACACUAUUAAAAUUUAAUAAAAAUAUUUAAAACUUAAGUCUCUAAUGAAUAUGUCCAAAUUCAUUCAUGAUUAGUUUCAAAUAUACUAAAAUUAUUUUUCUUUAAAAAUUGAUAUGUGUGUCAAUAUUUUUCUACUGCUACCUCGUAGGAUGAAUUAAAAUAUAUAUAUAUAUAUAUCAAUUUAAAUAAUUUAAAUUUUAUUAAUCAUACAUCUAAAGAUUUUUUUAAAUGACUAAUUAAAACAGUGUAUCUAUUAUUUCAUUACAUGUGUAGCCUCAAAGGUUUAAAAAAUUGGAUAUAUUCAUACAUUUAAAACAACUUUACACAAACAAUUAAUAUUAUUUAUUUUUUUAUUUUCUGAAAUAUAUUUUUUUUUAAUUUUUAUACAUUCUAAAAUGUACCAAUGGAAUUAGAACAUUGAUACACGUAUCAAUUUUUUUAAAGAAGAUUAAUUUUUAAUAUUUUUUAAACUUUGUACAAUUUAGAAAAACUUAGAAUGAAUUUAGACAUAGACUUAACUUGUAAAUGGUUUUUAUUAAUUUUUAAUUUUUAAUUUUUUAAAUUUAUUUAAUAUUUUAUAUAUUUUAAUAAUAUUUUAAAAUUUUAUAAAAUUUUAAAAAAUAUAUUAUUUUUUAAAAAUAUUAUUUUUAAUUUUAAAAAUUUUUAAGCUUCGAAACAAAUGAACUUGGUACUGCGACAUCAACAACUAUUCCUUUUAAAAAGUUUAAAUAUUGCUUUUAAUUUUUUAUUUUUGUUGACAUGACAGUUGACGUGGUAUUGCCACAUAAGCAACUAUCGCUAACAUGAAGCACCACAUUAGCGUUGUUAAUGGCCACAUCAACAUUGUAAAGGUCAAUAUUAGUCAAAGAGCAUAUUUGGCCAAUUUUGUUAGUUCAUGGGCUCAAUUGGGUGCAAAAAGUUUGCAGGGGCUUAAUUGAUUUUUUUGAAAAAGUUUGAGGACCACAAAUACCAUUAAACCCUUCUUUAACUAUUGAUAUUUCUUUUUCUAAGUAUCGAUCAACAUUAGUUAAAGGGCUUAUUUUGUCAGUUUUGUUAGUUUAAGGGCUCAGUUGGGUGCAAAAAGUUCGCAGGGGCUUAAUUGAUUUUUUCGAAAAAGUUCGACAAUCAAAAAUACCUUUAAGCCCUACUUUAACUAUUAAUAUGUCUUUUUUAAUUAAUUUUGCAUCCAUGCAUAGUAUAGGCACACGAUGUACGGGGUAUUUCCACGUAUACAUGUAAAGUGUAUUUUGAUGCCACGGCGGAAUUAGAUGAAAAUGUGAUUAUUAAGGUAGUAAUGUCACCUUCUAGUAAUUGCAAAGAAUUAUAAUUUUCUAGAUGUAUUUGGCUAGUAGAGUGUAAUUAUAUUGUAAUUCUUUAUGCCUUGUUUAGUAAUAUAAAUUGUAAUUACACAUUUACAAAUUUUAAUUUGUUUAAAAAGUAUUAAUUACUAUAAAUAGUUAUUAGUAAUACCUAAGAAAAAAAUUUUAAACAAGUGACAUAAAUUAAAAUCAAAUCAUGUUAUGUUAGUCCAAGAAAGUAACCGACAACACGAUUGCCGAUAAAAAAGAACAAGAAAACUAAACAUCUAUGCAACUUUAUUAUUGCUUUAGCAUUCCAUGUUUGUUGGGUUAUUCCUUUUCUAACAUUUAACAUAUUCUUCUUACCAUCAUCUGUUUGUUCUUGACCAAUUUCUUCAUUGUUGAUACAAGGUUCAACAAUGGAGGGAGUAAGGAGGAGGUAAGGUGGAGUGAGUGGUGGAAAAGUAUUUAUAAGAGAGGUCCUCUUGUCCAUUAGCAUGACAUGGCAGGAUAAAUGCUCAAUCCCACCAAAUGUGUAAAAGAUAUUCAUGAACAUAAAGGAUAUUCAUGAUGGGGGCCCAUUAUGUUAUUCAUUCCAUCAGUACAAGGUUAAUACGCCCAUGCAAGUCCUAAUGGCCUCAAGGAUGUGUUCACACCAAAAAAAAGGGGUGUUAGCCUUUCUAAAGGGUUGGUGCUCCUUUGAUCUUAGUGGAUGGUUCGGCAAGGCAUCUUCUUAGGCAAACUCAAUGAGAGGGUUAAUGUUGUCUAUACAAUUGACACGUGUCCAUGUGGCGGGGGUAUAACAUUCAUCAUCUAAAUCAAAAUCUGAAUAUGCAUCAUUAAGAUUAUCCAGAUCAUUUUUUUUAUCUAUAUCAUUAAGAUUAUUAAGAUCUAUUUUUUUUUCAUGUACUAAUUAAAAGUAUUGAUAAUUCCAAUUCCACCUAUAAAUGGAAUUGUGAAGUACACAACAAGUUAGAACGAUUGAACAUUGUUUUUUAGACUAUAUUGAUGUGGUUUGUUAAUCUGAGAAAUAUUUUUUUAGAACAACAAAUAUCCUCACAACCACAUUUCAAAGCUUUGAAUAAAGAGUUUGCAAGCUUUGUUUGGUACUUGUGUCUAGCUCUGUUCUUUCAAAUGAUAUCGUACCCCGUAAUAUAUUGCAAGAAAACCUUUUGCAUUUGCAUAAUCAACAUCUACCACAUAAUAUUUCCUAAAAACAUGUAACAAUUUAAAUAAUUUGUGAGAAAAAUAAAAUAACAGCAAGGUGAUGAUAAUAUUAAUGUAUUUAUGAAAUACAAUUUUGAUCUAUUUUCUCUCUCAAACAUCAUUCUUAGCAUUCUAGUAUUUGAGGCACAAAUCAACUUUAUAAUCCUACAAUUAUAAUAGUUUUUAUAAAUCUAAUUUGCAGUUUACUAUGUGUUCAAUAAUAAACCACCUUUUUAUAAUAUUUCGAUUGCUAUUAUUUCAUGCAAAUUAGAUAAAAGAAAUAAUAUAAAUUUUAUAAUAUAACAUUUAUAAACAAUGUUUUUAUAAAGUGUUGAAUAGCUUUUAUAAUAUAACAUUGAAAUUUUCAAAAUCAUGCACUUUUGGGUCCGAAUUAAACUGAUUUUUUUUUUUUAUAAUUUCAAAACAAUUGCAAAGAAAAUUCAUGAAAUUAAGUUGUUUUCAAAUAAUUAAUUCACAUUGGAAUUUUCAAAUAAGAUGUCACAUUAAUAAUAUUUCAAUCAUUAAAAUAUUAUAUAACACAUUUUGCCAUACAAGAAAAUAUGAAAAUACUAAAACUUAAUCCAGUUUAAUCUGCUCAAGGAAAUGACUAUCACUGAGCUAAUUCAAAUAAGCCUCUGAAAUUAGCUUAACUUCAUAAAAUUUCUUUGCAAUUUUUUGGAUAUAAAUAUAUAUAUAAAUAUAUAAAAGAAAAAGAAAACAAGUUGAUUGGAUCAUAUUAUUUUCCGUGAGAAAUUAAAAUACCAGCCAACAUGCAUGCAUUUAUUUUGUAGAAAAUUAAAACCAUAAAAAAAACAAAAAGCAAAGAUUCAACCCUUUUAUUAUAGCAUUUGUUAGGGGUGAGCAAAACUCGUUCGAUUCGAAAAAAUUAAAAAAUAUUCAAAUUUCAAGUUAAUCGAAUAAAGUGUUAAUUAAGAUAUUACAUUAAUAAUAUUUCAAUAAUUAAAAUAUUAUAUAAGACGUUUUUCCUUAUACAAGAAAAUAUGAAAAUACUAAAACUUAAUCCAGUUUAAUCAUCCUAAAGUUUCUAAUUUUGUUUAAAAGAAUUUUCAAAUAUAUAUGACUUUAAAUUUAUAUGUUCUAACAUGAAAUUCAUUAUAUUGUAGCAAGAUUUUAAUGUAAUAUGUUUAAUUUUUUAAUUUAACUCAAACAAUUUCACUCGAUUCGGCUCGGCUCGAAUUUUAUUUCACUCGACUCAAUUUGGAAAAAGUUCCAAAUUGAGUUAAGAUGAUAAAAUGAGACUCGUUAACUCGAUUAACUCGAAAUUAUUUUACUCGAUUUGAUCCAACACUCACCCCUAGCAAUUGCAUCAUUGAUACUUACAAAACAUAAAAAUGUAUACUCAUCUUUUCUAAUCAAUAUGCAGGCACGAAAUGGAAAUUUCCAUGAAAAAGAAGUAUCGCGUAUGAAAAAGUAAGUUCCAUGACAUCGGCUGAAGCAAUAACAACAAUUGCAAAAAGACAUUGACUCCUAUAGAAAUCCAUCAGUUUGGAAACUAUAACGUAUUUGCUACGACUGGGGGUUUUUUGGUGUGUCACCCGUUAGGCUUUCAAUUAUGUUGGUAAUAAAUAUAAUCUAUUUCAAUUAAAAAAAAUAGUAGAAUUUAGUAAUUUAUUAUGAACCCAAAUUAUUGGCAAAGUUAAAAUUAAUUUUUUUUCGACAAAAAUUUUUGGUGUGUAGUAUUUAUGUGUAAUCCAAUCUUCUCAUCAUAUUUUCCGAAUAAGCUAAAAGGUAUGGCAUGGUGUCUACCUUUGCUCAUCCAUGUCAGACUUGCAACUCCUUGUAUUCACCUUGAUUGUCGGCCUUCACUAAGGACUUAUAGUUAUACAAGUCAAGAGCAAAAAGAUAUGUCCCCUAAUAUCACUUUGGGUGAUGAGUCCUUUCUGAACCAUUCCAUCACCUUCGUAUGUCAUACCAUACCUAAAACAUUCUACUUUCAACAUCUAUCAAUGCGAAUCCAUUUGGUGAUGAAUCAAAGUAUGACGGUCAACAUACAAGUUUGUGUCUUUAAGUCUAAGGAUCAUUUACACUACCAAUACAUGGGAGUAUUUCUAUAAACAUUUGAGUGAAAUACCAAAUGGAACUCUCAUAAUAGGCCAAGUUAUAUUUUAUAAUUUUUUCGAACUUUUUAAAAUCAUUAAUAUUUUAUUUUUUAUAUUUGUAAUACAAUAAUUUUUAUAAUUUUUUUAUAACUUUUACAUUUUUAAAAAUAUUUUAAUAACUUGAACAUCAAUAUAUACUUCCACACGGCAUGUCACAUGUCAACUUGCCAUAGCUUCCGUCAACUAAUCAACAACCAAUAUUGAUAAAAUCAGUCAACAACAAUUUUCGUUAUUGAAAAGAGCCAAUUGAUUUUUUUCCAUUGAAUCCUCAAUUGGGUCUGUUUUUCUAUUAUGAGCUUAAUUAAUUUUUUAACUUUUUAUUAAGUUGUUUUUCCUUUAACCUUAUAUUAAUAUUCAUUACUUUAUUAAAAAAACUUACUUUUAGGUAAUUUUUCCAACCAAAAUGAUAUCAAAUUAACUCGUAACAUAAAUUCAAUAAAAUAUAUUAUAUAAACAUAUACAUAAAUUCAUUAAAACCUGUCAAUAGUGAAAACACCAUUAAUUUGUCUGAAGUCUCUACUUUUGGGAUCUUAAUGGGGGAGAAAAUUUUUAGAUAGAAACUGAAUACGAUAUAUAAAGUAAAUGCCACGUUAAAAGCUCAGUUCUUUGGAAAAUAAAUUCCAUCACGACUGAACCAAAAAUUCCCUUGUGUCAUAAUCUUUUGUGGAAAAUUAGGCACAUAAUGGAAAAGUAUAUCCACAAAAUGAUAGAAAAAGGCUUUGGGCCACAAUUAAAUCAACAUCUUUAAAUUGUUAAAUCAAAUUAAAGAUGGAAUCGUCGUUGUCAUGGGAUCCACACGGGGUGUACGUAUAAUGAAUUUCCCAUGUUUUUUGCAUGAAACUUUUGAUUCAAUGAGAAAGGAAAUAUUUUCAAAAUCAUGCAGCUUCGGAUUCUAAUUAAGCUUAUUUUUUUCCAAGCAAUUGCAAAGAUUUGUUUCGACAACAAAUAAUAAUCGGAUAAAAGUGUAAUUAUUAAAUAGUAAUUACAAAAGAUUUAUAAUUACAAAAUUAGAUCGUAAUUUUCUAUAUCAUAUUUCGUAGUACAAAUUGUAAAUUAUAAUUUAUAAUUACAUAGGUACUUAAUAUAUUUUAAAAAAAAUAUUAAUUACUAUAAUAAAUAAUCAGUAAAAUUAAAAAAUUUCUAAACAAGUAACAAAAAUUAAAAUAAAAUCAUCAUAUUUAAUAUGUUAGUCCAAGAAAAUAAUCGAUAAUACGAUUACUAAUAAAAAUAACAAGAAAAAUGAUUUAUAAAUAAGUAUAUUAUUUUCUAUAACAUAUAGUAUGGACACAUAAGUAAGUUAUAUUUAAAUUUUUUGACCAUAACUUUUUUAUAAAUAAGUAUGUAGUACACUUUUUAUAAAACAUAAAUUAUUUUUAUAAUAUACUUUUGGCUAUAACUUUAGAAACUUUUUAGGAUUUAAAUAAUAUAAUUCUUGUCAUAAUUUUAUAAAAUAUUAAAAAUAUAUAAUGUAAUUUUUUAGGACUUAUAAUAUGAUUUUAGAAAUUUUUAUUCAUAAUCAUCCCAAACACGCAUGCGUAUUUAUGUUUAUAAAAUAAUUUUUUUAACUUAAAUUUGUAAAAAAAAUAUUUUUUAAAGUUAAAUUAUGUAUGAAUUUUCAGUGAGAAAUUAAAUAUCGGGAAACAUGCGUUGAUGAAAAUUAAAAUCAGGAGGUAUCAUAAUUAUCAAGAAAUAUGGACCAUAGGAAGAGCAAAGAUUCAAUCCUAUAAUAUAGUAUUCGCAUUAUUGAUACUAACAACAUAGAAAUUUCCAUGAAAAAGAAAGCAUUGCGCAUGAUGAAUUAAGUUCCAUGACAAGGACUGAAGCAAUGACGACAACUGGCCCCUACAACUAUUGCAACAAGACCUUGAAUCCUUUGAUGAGUUCCUUUAAAUUCCUCAGUUUGGAAACCAUAACAUAUAUGCUACCACUAAAUCCUUACCAGAUUAAACAAUGGCCUCAUCCUUAACCAUUUCUGUUAUUCCAGGGGUACUGUGGGCUACCAUCCUUUCUUUUGCUACAACUGUGACAGCAGCAUAUCCAUCGCCAUUGGAGUCCGAAGCCAUAGCUCUGCUAGAAAGCAGGUGGUGGAGUAACCAUAGCAGCAAUACUUCACAAUGUUGCCAGUGGCCUGGUAUAACCUGCAACACUGCUGAAAGCAUCACCCAAAUUAACUUAUCUGAUGCGCCCAACAUUGAGGUUGGAGCUAGAUUUGGGAAACUGAAUUUCUCUUCAUUUCCAAAUCUUGUCCUUCUUAAUCUUAGUGAUCAUCAACUUAGAGGAAAAAUCCCGCAUCAGAUAGGUGAUCUAUCAGCAUUGAAGUACCUUGACUUGUCUUAUUGUGGUUUAUCUGGUGAGUUACCUCCUUCUCUAGGGAAGCUGACCCAAUUAGAAUUCCUCGACAUUUCCUAUAAUGAUAAUAUUAAUGGUUCCAUCCCUCCACAAUUGGGGAAUCUAGAGAACCUUGUGACUUUAAACUUAAGUCAAUGUGGAAUUGUUGGUCCAAUCCCUUCUGCUUUGGGUCAAUUAACCAGUCUCCAAUCUCUGAUCCUUUGGGGGAACCAAAUCAAUGGAUCUAUCCCAUUAGAAAUUGGAUAUUUGAGAAAUUUGACUUAUUUGAGUCUCUCCAACAAUAGAAUUGUUGGUCCAAUCCCUUCUGCUUUGGGUCAAUUAACCAGUCUCCAAUCUCUGAUCCUUUGGGGGAACCAAAUCAAUGGAUCUAUCCCAUUCGAAAUUGGAUAUUUGAGAAAUUUGACUUAUUUGAGUCUCUCCAAGAAUAGAAUUGUUGGUCGAAUCCCUUCUGCUUUGGGUCAAUUAACCAGUCUCCAAUCUCUGAUCCUUUCGGGGAACCAAAUCAAUGGAUCUAUCCCAUUAGAAAUUGGAUAUUUGAGAAAUUUGACUGAUUUGAGUCUCUCCAGCAAUGGAAUUGUUGGUCCAAUCCCUUCUGCUUUGGGUCAAUUAACCAGUCUCCAAUAUCUGCUCCUUUCGGGGAACCAAAUCAAUGGAUCUAUCCCAUUAGAAAUUGGAUAUUUGAGAAAUUUGACUUAUUUGAGUCUCUACAACAAUAGACUUGUCGAUUCAAUACCCAUUACUCUGUACCAAUUAACCAAUUUGGAAAUUUUGGACGUUGAUAAUAACCAACUUCAAGGUUCUAUUCCCCAAGAAAUUUGUAAUCUAGCAAAUUUAACUUCAUUGUACCUCUCCCAAAACAAAUUGACUGGUUCAAUCCCUUCUUGUGUUGGUAGUUUAUCAAAGAUGCUGUACUUAAGCCUUGGUUCUAAUCUAUUAAAAGGUCCUAUUCCCCAAGAAAUUUGUAAUCUAGCAAAUUUGACUUCAUUGUACCUCUCCCAAAACAAAUUGACUGGUUCAAUCCCUUCUUGUAUUGGUAGUUUAUCAAAGAUGCUGGACUUAAGCCUUGGUUCUAAUCUAUUAAAAGGUUCUAUCCCAAAAGAAAUUGGCAAGCUUUUUGAUCUAUCAUAUCUAAACCUUAGCUUCAACCAACUCUCAGGUCCUAUCCCUAUCUUGUCUGCCACUAAGCUUCGCAUUAUCGAUGCUGGAAAUGGUUGUAACAAGAUUUCUCCCGAUCCAUUUGAAGGCAAUAGUGAUUUAUCACCCUAUAUGUGUCCUACUCCACUAACCAAAAUAGCCAACAGCAGCAGAAUUCCUUACUAUAUCAAAACAUUCCUCCCUAUUGCGAUCUUAUUCACAUUCUCCAUUUUAGGAUGUUUGCUAUUUUCACGGUUUAAGCUCAAGAAUAACCAUGUCAGCGUACAACCAACCAAGAAUGGGGAUUUGUGUUCCAUAUGGAACUAUGAUGGAAAGAUAGCAUACGAGGAUAUCGUUGCAGCAACAGAGGAUUUCGACUUCCGAUACUGUAUUGGAGUUGGUGGUUAUGGUAGUGUUUACAAAGCAAAACUCCCUUGUGGUAAAGUAGUUGCUUUGAAGAAACUUCAUCAUUUAGAAGCCGAAAAUCCAACUUUUGACAAGAGUUUCAGGAACGAGAUCAAGUUUCUAUCAGAAAUACGACAUCGAAACAUAGUGAAGCUUCACGGGUUUUGUCUACACCGACGAUCCAUGUUUUUGAUCUAUGAAUACAUGGAAAAAGGGAGUUUGUUCUGCAACCUAAGGGAUGAAGUGAACGCUGUGGACAUGGAUUGGACGAAAAGAGUAGAGAUCAUCAAAGGCAUAGCACAUGCUUUGUCUUACUUGCACCAUGAUUGCUGCCCUCCGAUAGUUCAUCGAGACAUAUCAAGUAACAAUGUUCUUUUAAACUCAAGUUUUGAGGCCUUUGUGGCCGACUUUGGAACAGCUAGAAUGUUGGAUCUUGAUUCAUCUUAUCAGACCAUUAUUGUCGGAACUUGUGGCUACGUAGCUCCAGGUGGCGUUUUCUUUUUUACUUGAUUUACUGACCUUUUCUCUGAACAUAUAGUUGAAUUUCUUCUUACUAAUUUGUGUAGGUAGAACUUGCUUAUACAAUGAUUGUCACCGAAAAAUGCGAUGUUUAUAGUUUUGGAGUGAUAGCACUGGAAACAUUAAUGGGAAAGCAUCCUGAAGAAGUGUUAUCAUGGUUGUCAUCACCAACUUCUUUGGUAAACAUGAAGCUGGUUGAUGUGUUAGACAACCGUUUACCACUUCCAACAAGUCAACUAGUUACACAAAAUCUUGUUCAUGUUGAUACACUGGCAUUCGCUUGCUUAAAUCCACAAACGAAGUCCCGACCAACAAUGAAGGAAGUGUCUGAAUGGUUCCUUUCUCGCCAUACAUCCUUGGGAAUUCCUCUUUGGAUGAUCUCUUUGUUACAACUCAUGAACCGUGAAAUGCAUAUUAAAGGCAAAACUAAAACUUGUGAUGUUUAAAGUCCAUGCGCUUGUUGAUUAGAUAUUGUUUAUCAUGCUCUGAUAAUUUGUUUGUAAACCAUCUCUGGUUUUAUAUAUGAUGGAAUGAAUUGCAAUGUUUAAUAAACCCGUUUAUUCGGUUGCUUUAGAAGACAUAAAUUCUACAAUUUGAUCCAAAUAUUAAGACAUCAUCGCUGGCUGCUUCCUUGAAUUUUGUGCUUCUUUCAAACCAACUCAAAGAUAAAUAACAUAAAAGUAAAUUAAGGGUGAAUCAAAGCAACAAAAUGCAAUCAAUACAUACAUCAAGAAUUCACCUCAGCUAUCUAUAAUUCAUGAAACAAUCUCUCAACUUAUAAAAUGUAAGUGAGACUCCACAGACCUGAUAUCCAAACUCAAAAGCAAUAAAAGGCGUCAUCAGAACCCUGGCAAGUGAAGACGACAAUCUUUUCAAGCAAGGUAGCGAUACAACUUCCUGUCACCUUUAUCCCUCUCCAGGAACUCCCGCUCAAUAAGGGACUCGAUCCGUUUCUUAAUUACAACGGGGUUGGGCAGAAACCGUGACUGUAGCUGUUUUGUGACCUCAGCAACAAUGUUGUUAUGAUCCAGCACACGCCUAGCUUUCAUGAUCCUCACGAUUGCUGCCUCAAUUUGCGGUUUUCGAUCUUCCUCCACUCUCUGCCUAGUUUCUUGAUUUUCAGGUUCCGACUCCCUUUGCGCAGCCACAGUGCCUAUCUUGACCUUGAAGAACUUGCUUGUAUACUUGUCAUUGAAAAGAAAGGUAUCAGUGUCUACUAUGUCCUUGCUCAUAGGUUCUUUCCGAAGCACAUUUUUUCCCUUAACACAGGCAAGAGACUGCAAGCACCUUUUCAAGUCAAAGGUAGGAAUCUCGGUCACCUGCUCAAUCUCCUUAUAGCUUAGUCGAUCAGCAUCGUUGAAGAGCAUAAGGACACACAUCUGGUAUGUGGAAACAUUCAGUUCAUGCUUCUGUCCCUUACCAAAGGUUGCCUUCAAAUCAGCUGUCCCCAUGUUAGUUUGCCAAGACAAUCUCCGUCCGGUAUGGGUACCUAGGUAAUAAUUACGGAAUUUCUCACAUAUUCCCAGAAUUUCAGCAGGAAGUUUGCAUGUAGUAAUAGGUUGAGUUGGCCAAGAUCCAGUUGUCAGAACCUGGACAGAAAGCAUGGGACCAUCCCCUAUAUCCGAACCAUGACUUGCAUGGAAACCUUGCAUCGUAUCUUGUGAUGUCUUCAUAUCUGUGAACAUACCCUCCAACUUUGAGGUGAAUUGAUACCCACACUCUGUUUUGAGCUUAACAAUCAAACUUCUUUCAGCAUCAUCAGAGACGGACUUCCCUGAAAGAAGCCUUUUGGCCAAGUGUUGUUUGUAGUACUUCUCGAAAACAUCUUUCUCUUGAAGGUAACGGAAGAGCAUCAUCACCUUGUCGAGUAACAAUUCCACAUCCUCUUCAGUAACCCCCCUCAAACCUUUUCGAAGCUUAUCAUCAACAAACAAAGAGAUGAACUCUGGAGACCGAGAAUUCAGAUUGAUGAAAUAUUCAAACGAGGAAUUUAAUGCAUUUUGAAAAGUCUUGUCAUUUCUAAAUGCUGAAGUGAUAAUCUUGUCGUAUUUGUCCUUUAAAUCCAACAGAUGUUGCACAAAAUCGACAGGAUCCUUCAGCCUUUCGGGAUCAGUGAGUAACUGCUUACCAGUAUCACGAAUGUAUGAAGUCAUGACAUCUCUGAUUAAAACAAGCCCAUUGGAUACUCGACGAAACAAGUAAUACAUCCUUCCUAAGUCCUCAUAUUUUUCAUCGACAAUCAUAUUAAUCAACCCCGAGUUCUCCAUUUGCACAAGCCUGUGCAUAUGACUUUCAAUCAUCUCCGUUUCUACCACAUUUGUUAUCUUGACUUCACUUCUGGUGUCCAAGUAAUGUGAGACUCUCUCUAUUUCUUCAUUUAGGCGUCUCUCGGCUUUCUUUAGAUACUCCCCACAAUCACAUUACAGUCAUCUUCUAACCCACAAUCAUUUGUGCUAUGAGCUUUUGGGCACUAUUCCGGAUAAAAUGGACGGAGGCAAGAUCGAGAUGGGCUAGUUGCGAGACACACUCCUGGAUCCGGAUGAAGAUUCAACCGAAAUAGAAAGAAUCCGAUAUGCUCGGGCAUACAUUCUUCAGUUAAUUGGAGGUUAUCUAAUGAUAGACUUGUCACGGAGCCGCGUACAUCUAAUAUGGCUGCUGAAACUCGUUGAUUUUAGAGCAGCUGGUGAAUUCAGUUGGGGGUCUACCGUCUUGGCCACAUUAUAUCGGGAGAUGUGCGGGGCGACGUGACCGAGGAGAGUAAAAAUCAGAGGUUGCCUGUCACUACUGCAAUCAUGGGCACGGUUUCGCUUUCCAUUUUUAUGUCCUCGAGUGGACCACCCAUAUACAUUCCCAUUCAUAACGAGGUAAAUUUUAUAUUAGAUUUUACAAUUAUUAUGUAGAUAUUUAAAAAUAAAAGUAUGCUAAAAGUUUAUUUAAUUAGGUGGAACCAUCCGGCAAGUCAUGCUCGAUUACCUACCGAACUUGAAAAUAUACGGCUUCUAUUAGACCAACAGUCGGAAGCACAUGUAAGUAUUAAAUAAAAUUGAUAUUUCCAUCAUUCGCUAGUCGAUUGGUAAAUAGUAUUUAGUAUUUAGUAUUUAGUAUUUAGUAUUAUGUAUAUAACUAAUAUUUCUAUAAUGUUCACAUAGUUUCAAUGGACACCAUACGAGGAUCCGGCAAUUUGGGCAAUAAUUCCGGAUGAGUUCUUACAAAAUCGAAACGCUUGGCACGUGAAAGUCGUGUUGAUCAACUACACGACCAUGGAGCCACACCAGUCAGACAGAGUGCUACGACAGUUUGGAUGUAGACAACUAAUUCCCGUGGAACCUGAGGUGUUUGACGAUCAACACAAAAUCGACCUUCGGCAAUUGAAUACGGAUUGGCCAAGAUACUGGUUCGAGUACAUGGAAAUGUGGGAAGAUCGGUAUGAAUACAUACCUACUCUGGAACCAAUCAUCGUUCCGGAGUUAGUGUGGGUGCUGGAAUACAUGUCAUGGUUUAGGAUUCAUGGCAAGCUGUAUUUACUGACGCCAGAGGAGAGGCAGCGGCAAUUACGUGUCCAAAGGGAAAGGCGCAGGCCUCAAAAUCCAAGACGACAAGACGACGACGCUAGCCCCUCAACGAGGCCUAGACAUUCACCCGGCCCAUCAUCAGAGGUCAUGCAAUCACUAGGCCCAACGAGAGUACCGACACAGUCACCUGACCCAGCAGUCCAACCGAUGAUACCCACGCAACCGCUUUUUCAGAUGAUGCCAGGUGCGUUUCCUAGCCUUUUUAUAUAUCCUAACCCUUAUAUGUAUCCUUUUCCGAGUCCUAAGGCAGGUUGGAGCCAAUGGCCCGGUUCAGCUCCGUUUCCUGUUACGCCGAGUGGACCGCCGAUGUAUAGGUCAGCAGCACACGAGGGAUCGCAAGAGGGGCCGUCGAGGAGCUCUUCUUUUUACCAAUCCCCACCACCGUAUGAGUUUCAAACACCGUCACCGUUGGUGAUGCAAAAACCUCCACAUUCACUAUUCUUUGAAGGUGGAUCAUCGUCCCAACUCCGACAACCAGAUACCCUACCAGAAGAACCAGAAUCCCCGCCACAGGAACCACAACCGCCACCGGAAGCUGGACAAAGGAGGCAUCCAGCGCGUAACCAUCGACGGCCGCCAUGUGGCACUGAAUCCAGCGGGCACAGACAUUGAUUUUUGUAUUUAAAUUUAUUUGUACAAAUAUUUUGAAUAUUUUGAUACUAUUUGAUGUAAUAAAAUAGAAAUUGUUUUGAGUUAUUACUUAAAACCCUAAACUAAUUUCUUAAAAAUUUAUAAAUCUAUAAUUUAUAAUUUAAUUGACAAACCUUAAACCCCAAAACUAAAAACCCUAACCCUAAUCAUAACCCUUAACUUAAAAACUCUAACCUUUAAAUUAAAAACACUAAACCCUAAACCUAAAAACCAUAAACCCUUAAGCUAAAAACCUAACCUUAGACCCUAACCAUUAACCUAAAACACUAACCUUAAACCCUAAACUCAUAAACCUAAAUACCCUAACCCUAAACCCUAAACCCUUAACCUAAAAACCUUAACCAUUAACCUAAGAACCCUAAACCCUUAACCUAAAAACCCUAACCCUCAACCUAAAAACCUUAAACCCUUAACCUAAAAACCCUACACACUAAACUUAAAACCCUAAACCCUUAACCUAAAAAUCCUAACCCUUAACAUAAAAACCUUAAACCCUUAACCAAAAAACCCUAUACACUAAACUUAAAACCCUAAACCUUAAAUCUAAAAACCCUAACCCUUAACCUAAAUUUCAUAAACCCUUAACCUAAAAACCCUAACCCUGAACCUAAAUUCUAUAAACCCUUAAUCUAAAAACCCUAACCCUAAACCUUAACCUAAAAACCUUAACCCUCAACCUAAAAACCCUAACCCUUAACCUAAAAACCCUAAAUGCUUAACCUAAAAACCCUAACCCUCAACCUAAAAACCCUAAACCCUUAACAUAAAAACUCUACACACUAAACUUAAAACCUUAAACCCUUAACCUAAAAACUCUAACCCUUAACCUAAAAACCUUCAACCCUUAAACUAAAAACCCUAACCCUCAACCUAAAAACCUUAAACCCUUAACCUAAAUUCCAUAAACCCUUAACCUAAAAACCCUAACCCUUAACCUAAAUUCCAUAAACCCUUAACCUAAAAACCCUAACCCUCAACCUAAAUACCCUAAACCCUUAACAUAAAAACCCUAACAUAAAGGCUUAAAAACUAUCCUUGUCCCUUAACUUAAAUAUAAUUUGAUAAUUUUACUAACCAUUAAUACAAUUAUCAGUUAAUAACUUUACAUUCACGUAAUGUUAGAUUUGGAAAAAUGUUUUGACUAGUACUAACAAUUAAUAAUUUUAUAUAAUUUUAUAAUUUUUCUAACAAUUAAUACAAUUAUCAAUUAAUAAUUGAAAAAAUAUAAUUAGCAGCAAUUACAUUCAACUAUUGCGAUUAGGGCAUGAUCGACUUGUAUGGCCUAGAUUCCUACACCAUCCGCACAACUUUUGUUGACUGGCUGUUUCUCGGAUAGCCAUAUUGUUGCGUAUUCUAGUCGAGCAAGGUCGACCCCUUGGUUUGCGACGCAAUUUUCUAUCCAGUAACAGCUUAAAAUGAGCAAGAGAUACGGGCAGCCACUUACGUUCAUCUGGGGCCAGUGGGAAAACGUGUCUCUAGAUGUUGUACAUGUUUUCUAAUUUGUACACUUCGUCCACAUAGCUCAUCGGAUCCAGACGGAGAUUCUGACAAGAUACAAUAACAUGAGAGCAUGGAUAACAAAGUGCAUCAAAACUCUCACGGUCGCAAGUCCUAUUUCGCAAGUCUACAUGAUAUUGCCCACCAACAACACUUUGGAGCGGUCUAUCAAACUCUGUCACGCGAAACAAUAAGUUGUCUCAAUCGUGACACACGGUGUGCAUGGUGUUUGCCCGCGCCUUGGCCUUGUGAAUUUCUUAAACUACCUUGCUGCACCAUACAUGGCCUCUCUGCAUCUGGCCUGCAUAACUUGCUGCUCGCUUUGGAAAUAGUGCCACCAAACGAAAAUAUGUCUCUCGCACAACUGAUGUUAUCUGUAGAUGACGCAUUUUUUUAAGAACAGAAUUUAUGCAUUCAGCCAAGUUUGACGUCAUAUGGCCAUAUCGUAGGCCGUCGUCGUAUGCUUGUGCCCACUAUUUGAAACGUAUGUUAAAAGGUAGUACGCCCCUCCUUUGUUAAUUGAACGUAAAAUUGCCAACAUCUCGUGAAAACGGUCUUUAUUUAUUUCAUACCCUACCAAUAUAAGUUCAUAGAGAAUAUUACAUGCCACUUAUACUAAUAAAACUAAUUCAAAUUGACAAACGAAAAACACAAAUAUAGACUAAAUACACAUGUUGGUCACUUGUCGUCAUUCGUUCUUAGAUGGAUAUUGACUGUAGUAGUUGGGAGCAACGUGUCUUAGGCAAUAUCGAUGGUGCGUGCGCUGCCAUAAGCUUCCCUCUCGAUCAAAUGCAACUAGUAUAUCGGUGCCCCGAUCUAAAAUAACACAGAUAUCAGGUUGGGGGCACACAUGCCUCCUUAACCUAGAGAGAAAGAAAUCUCAAUCAUCAGAUGACUCCCCCGGUGUUAUUGCAAAUGCAAUUGGAAGAAUUCUCCCACCGCCAUCCUGUGCCACUGCAAGCAAUAGCCGAUGAGUAUACCUACCAAACAUAAAGGUACCGUCAAUUUGUACCAAUGGCUUACAGUAUGGAAAUGCGUCUCGGCAUUGCUUAAAGGUCCAAAACAGGUGUUUGAACACUCGGCAUCCACGUAGCAAUCGGCCGUUGUAGUACGCAUGUUCCGUUUGAAGGUCUAUGAUGGCACCUGGGACGUACCUCUCUAGCACUUGACACCACUGCCAUAUUUUAUUAUAUGAGGCAUCCCACCCACUAUGCAUCUUCUCCAAUUCCUUUUGCUUAGCUAUCCAAGCCUUGCGGUAAGACGGCGUGUACCCUAUUUGGCUACAGAUAUUGGCAAUUAACACCGGCACUGAAGUCUUGGGAUCUGCUUUUACCGUGGGCAGUAUCAAGCUAGCUAACAUAGCUAAAUCCAUCUUGGGAUGAUCUUGUAAAACACCUAUAAUUGGAGUACAUUAAAUAAUGCAACAUUACAUAAUAAAAGUAUUAUUCAGAAACCGUCAAUAUUGUACCUACAGCACAUGUAUGUGGACCUUUGUACUUUUUAAUCUCCCACAACCCUGUCCUUUUCCUUAACGAGGCGUAGGUUUUCCAUGAACAUGUGCCGUCUUGUACCGCAUACUUCACCUCAAACUUAUCAAAUUUCAAUUUAACGACGUGGUAGUUAACGUCGUUUUUGAUGCUAUGUUGUUUCAAAGCACCAAUAAAACUAUCCUUGUUGGUAAACUGAUUGCCAACUUUAAAUUCACCCGAAUCUAGCCCCGAACUUGUACGAUCACGCAACAGGUGUGGUAGAUCUGGAAACUCUAACGUAUCAUCUGCAGACAGAUCGACAUUAUGUAUGUGGGCUAGAGGUGAGUAUACUCUGAAUCAUGGAUUUUCUUCUUCAAUUGAACUCCUUUCAGCAUCUUCAUGUUCUGUUGGAAUAGGCUCCGGUUCAGAAAAUAAGCCAACUUCUGCACCAUCGGGCCCGAGCUCUCGAGGUGGAUCCACAUUACAGUCAUCUUCUAACCCACAAUCAUCUGCAGCGUACGAGGUCCCCUCACCGGUUGACGUCGUAGGGUGUACAUCAUCCCUUCUUCUGGGCAUUUCAUAACGUCCCCAAUUGGAUGUAGAUUGCCACCCACUAGAACUUGAUGUCGUUCCCUAAUACGUAUUUCUAGCAUCAAACGUCGAGCCACUGACGUACAUAUCCCAUCCACCAACAGAGUGUCUUGCAGGGGAUGUGCAUUCGACACCACUAUCAAAUAUGGGCUAUUCUGUGUUUUGUAACCUGCUAACCCAGUGUCAACUAGUGGUCAUGUAUACAUCUCGAACACCAGUCGCAAGUACAUCAUUUGGCGGUGUAAAUUGUACAUAUAACUCAAUAUAAGGUGCUCCACUAGCAAAAUGAGUCUGCACAAUUGCCUCCAAGUUACGAGCACCUUUUAUGUCGAACGAGUCAUAUGUCACCGGAUCAACAGAAGAACAAAAUCAACACGUGAUAGACAGAACUUUCAUUGGUGUCGUUCCAAAAAUUUUACGCCUAAUUCUUUUACGAAGUUUUGUCAAAUCUAUGUUCUGGUUAAAAACCAGUCGCACCGUAUUCUCCGAUAAAAAAACAACACCAUUCUCGGUAUGGCAAACCUCACCAUCGUAGUAAAUAACAGCACUAAUAUGUUCACUCAUAUUUGAAACUCUAACCUUCUUAGCCUCUCUAAAUUGUUUCUGCUGUGACUUAUGCAUUUUGAGAACAUUUUUUGCCUCAUUUAUAGCCUCAGCCCAAACAUGCUAUUGUAGCAAAAGCGCAUCCACGUGGGCACGAUUUCAUAAAUUCUUCUCAUAAAGCUUUUUUUUGGUAAAUUUAAAAAAAUAGGCUUUUUUUGGUAAAUUGCCCUCAAUUGGGUGCAAAAAGUUCGUAGGGGCUUAAUUGAUUUUUUUCGAAAAAGUUCGACGAUCAAAAAUACCUUUAAGCCCUACUUUAACUAUUGAUAUGUCUUUUUUAAUUAAUUUUACAUUCGUGCAUAGUAUAGGCACACAAUGUACGAGGUGUUUCCACGUAUACAUGUAAAGUGCAUUUUGAUGCCACGAAGGAAUUAGAUAAAAAUGUGAUUGUUAAGUUAGUAAUGUCACCUUCUAGUAAUUGAAAAGAAUUAGAUGCAUUUAGCUAGUAGAGUGUAAUUAUAUUGUAAUUCUUUGUGCCUUGUUUAGUAAUAUAAAUUGUAAUUACACAUUUACAAAUUUUAAAUUGUUUAAAAAGUAUUAAUUAAUAUAAAUAUUUAUCAAUAAUAUCUGAGAAAAAAUUUUAAACAAGUGACAUAAAUUAAAAUCAAAUCAUGUUAUGUUAGUCCAAGAAAAUAACCGACAACAUGAUUACCGAUAAAAAAAAAUAAAAAUAAACAUUAUAUGCAACUUUAUUAUUGCUUUAGCAUUCCAUGUUUGUUGGGUUAUUCCUUUUCUAACAUUUAACAUCUACUUCUUAUCAUCAUCUAUUAGUUCUUGACCAAUUUCUUCAUUGUUGAUACAAGGUACAACAAUGGAGGGGAGUAAGGAGGAGGUAAGGUGGAGUGAGUGGUGGUUUUGUGGAGGCCGGUUCACUUAAAGAGGUGGAGAGCCGAAAAGGAACAAGAGGAUAGGCUGAUUGCUGAAAGUGGAGAUGGCUGCUCAGAGUAACUUUAAGGAUUGGAAAAUCGAUCCAUUCUUCAUCGUUGGAAAGGUAUUUAUAAGAGAGGUCCACUUGUCCAUUAGCAUGACAUGGCAGGAUAAAUGUUCAGUCCCACCAAAUGUGUAAAGGAUAUUCAUGAACAUAAAGGAUAUUCAUGAUGGGCCCCAUUAUGUUAUUCAUUUGAUCAAUACAAGGUUGUUAUGCCCAUGCAAGUCCUAAUGGACUCAAGGAUGUGUUCACACCAAAAAAGGGGGUGCCAAGCCUUUCUAAAGGGUUGGUGCUCCUUUGAUCUUAGUGGAUGGUCCAGUGAGACAUCUUCUUAGGAAAACUCAAUGAGAGGGUUAAUGUUGUCUAUACUAUUGACACGUGUCCAUGUGGCGGGGAUAUAACAUUCAUCAUCUACAUCAAAAUCUGAAUAUGCAUCAUUAAGAUUAUUGAAAUCAUUUUUUUAUUUGUAUCAUUAAGAUUAUCAAGAUCUUUUUUUUUUCAUGUACUAUUUAAAAGUAUUGAUAAUUCCAAUUCCACCUAUAAAUGGAAUUGUGAAGUAUACAACAAGUUAGAACGAUUGAACAUUGUUUUUUGGACUAUAUUGAUGUGGUUUGUUAAUAUGAGAAAUAUUUUUUUAGAACAACAAAUAUCCUCUCAACCACAUUUCAAAGCUUUGAAUAAAGAGUUUGCGAGCUGUGUUUGGUACUUGUGUCUAGCUCUAUUCUUUCAAAUGAUAUCAUACCCCGUGAUAUACUGCAAAAAACCUUUUGCAUUUGCAUAAUCAAUAUCUAUCACAUAAUAUUUCCUAAAAAACAUGUAACAAUUUAAAUGAUUUGUGAGAAAAAUAAAAUAACAGCAAGGUGAUGAUAAUAUUAAUGUAUUUAUGAAGUACAAUUUUGAUCUAUUUUCUCUCUCAAACAUCAUUCUUAGCAUUCUAGUAUUUGAGGCACAAAUCAACUUUAUAAUCCUUCAAUUAUAAUAGUUUUUAUAAAUCUAAUUUGCAGUUUACUAUGUGUUCAAUAAUAAACCAACUUUAUAACCUUUUUAUAAUAUUUCGAUUGCUAUUAUUUCAUGCAAUUUAGAUAAAUAUAUAUAUAAAUUUUAUAAUAUAACAUUUAUAAACAAUGUUUUUAUAAAGUGCUGAAUAGCUUUUAUGGUGCUUAUGUUAAAGUGCUCAAAUAUGUGUCACACAAUAAUAGUAUAAAAAUUAUAACACACGAUUUAUAAGCAUAAUUUGCUAGGUUAAAAUUUGCUUUAAAAAAAUACAGGAGUUAGGUGACAUGGCAAGGGUUUCUCCUACCUUAAUCAAUAAUCGAGGGUUUGAUCCUUACUCUAGGUAUGGAGUAGUUUUAAAACUUGUGGCCAGUAUCUACCCCCUUAAUGGGCUUACAGAAUGUGAAAGAUUAGUUAUCGGGCUUGCUUAGGUAGAUAGAUUGAGAAAUCAAAAAAAAAUUACACAAAAUAUUUUGACUUAUGUGUCUAAUAGCAAAGCAAUUUUGACCCGAUAAGAUAUAUAUAAUUAUACUUAAAAAAAUAUAAAAUAUAUGUCCUAAAAUUAAAAUAUAUUAUUAUAUUAAAAUAUUUUUUGUAAAUUAAAAUAUAUUAUUAUUGCAUUAAAAUAAUUUUUGUAAACUUGUAUAAAAAAUAAUUUCUUAAAUCAUGUACAUGUGUUUAAAAAACUAUAAGGUAAUUAGUAAUUUAUUGUAAUUACUCGCGUAAUUACCCCAACUCUCAACCCCUAAAAAUUGAAUAGCAUAAUUGAGGUGCUAAAAUUACAUUCAAUUUAGUGAACCCACAAAUCACAAUGGUUUUCUAAACACGCCACACAUUUGCAAUAGCAAGUAAUUGCACUCAAAUCUAAUAUUUGCAUGAAAUAUUUGAAUUUAUAUGUCUAAUAGCAAAGCAAUUUUGACCCAAUAAGAAAUAUAUAAUUAUAUUUUAAAAAUAUAAAAUAUAUGUUCUAAAAUUAAAAUACUUUAUUAUUAUAUUAAAAUAACUUUUAUAAAUUUGUAUAAAAAAUAAUUUCUUAAAUCAUGUACGUAUGUUUGAAAAACUAUAAGGUAAUUAGUAAUUUAUUGUAAUUACUCGCAUAAUUACCCAACUCUCAACUCUCUAAAAAUUAAAUAGUAUAAUUGAGGUGCUAUAAUUACAUUUAAUUUAAUGGACCCAUCAAUAACAAUAGUUAGUCAAACAUACUAUACUUUUAUAAUAGCAAUUAAUCACACUCAAAUCUAAUAAUUAAUUUAUAUUGAAAUCUUCAAAAUCAUAUACUUUGUGGUCCAAGUUAAACUGAUUUUUUUUUUCAAAACAAUUGCAAAGAAAAUUCAUGAAAUUAAGUUGUUUUCAAAUAAUUAAUUCACAUUGGGAUUUUCAAAUAAAAUGUCACAUUAAUAAUAUUUCAAUCAUUAAAAUAUUAUGUAAGACAUUUUGCUUAUACAAGAAAUAUGAAAAAUUCUAAAAUUUAAUCCAGUUUAAUCUGCUGAAGGAAAUGACUCUAACACUGACCUAAUUCAAUUAAGCCUCUGAAAUUAGCUUAACUUCAUAAAACUUAAUCCAGUUUAGUCAUUCUAAAGUCUCUAAUUUUGUUUAAAAGAGUUUUUAAAUAUAUAAAUGAUUUUAAAUUUGUAUGUUUUAAUAUGAAAUUCAUUAUAUUGUAGUAAGAUUUAAUGUGGCAUGUUUAAAAUUUUAAUUUAACUCAAAUAAUUUCAUUUAAUUUGGCUCGACUCAAAUUUUAUUUCACUUGAUUCGAUUUGAAAAAAAAUUCAAAUUGAAUUAGAAUGAUAAAAUGAGACUCGUCAACUCGAAAUUAUUUUACUCGAUUCGAUCCAACACUCACCCUUAGUAAUUGCAUCAUUGAUACUAAUAACAACAUAAAAAAUGUAUACUUAUCUUUUCUAAUCAAUAUGCAGGCACGAAAUGGAAAUUUCCAUGAGAAAGAAGUAUAUCGCGUAUGAAAAAGUAAGUUCCAUGACAUCGGCUGAAGCAAUAACAACAAAUGCAAAAAGACAUUGACUCCUAUGGAAAUCCAUCAGUUUGGAAACUAUAACGUAUAUGCUACGACUCGGUGUUUUUUGGUGUGUCACCCGUUAGACUUUCAAUUAUGUUGGUAAUAAAUAUAAUCUAUUUCAAUUAAAAAAAUGAGUAGAAUUUAGUAAUUCAUUAUGACCCAAAUUAUUGGUGAAGUUAAAAUUAAAAUUUUUUCGACAAAAACUUUCAGUACUUAGUACUUAUGUGUAAUUCAAAUCUUUCCAUUAUAUAUCCCAAAUAAGUUAAAAGGCAUGGCGUGGUGUCUACCUUUGCUUAUCCAUGUCAGACUUGCAAUUCUUUAUAUUAACCUUAAUUAUCGGCCUUCAUAAAAAGAUGUGUAAUUAUACAAGUCAAGAGCAAAAAAGAUAUGUUCUCUCAUAUCACUUGGAGUGAUGAGUCCUUUCUGAACCACUCCAUCACCUUCGUAUGUCAUACCAUAUUUAAAACAUUACUUUAAGCACCUAUCAAUGUGAAUCCAUUUGGUGAUGAAUCAAAGUAUGACGGUUAACACAUAAGGAGAGUUUGUGUAAGUCUAAAGAUUGUUUACACUACCAAUACAUGAGACUAUUUCUAUAGGCAUUUGAGUGAAAUACCAAAUGGAACUAUCAUAGCAGGUCAAGUUAUAUUUUAUAAUUUUUUCGAAACUUUUUAAAAAUUAUUCACAUUUUAUUUUUUAUAUUUGUAAUAAAUUUUAUAAUUUUUAUAACUUUUACAUUUUUAAAAUAUUCUAAUAACUUGACAAGCAACAUCAACAUACUUCCACAUGGCAUGUCACAUGUCAACUUGUCAUAGCUUCCGCCAACCACAUCAACAACCAAUAUUGAUAAAAUCAGUCAACAACCGUUUUCGUUAGCGAAAGGAGCCAAUUGAUUUUUUUCUCAUUGAAUGCUCGAUUGGGUCAAUUUUUUUAUUAUGAACUUGAUUGAUUUUUAACUUUUUACUAAGGUGUUUUUUACACUUUAACCUUAUAUUAAUAUUCAUUAUUUUAUUAAAAAACUUAUUUCUAAGUAAUUUUUCCGACCGAAUUGAUAUCGGAUUAACUCCAAUAAAAUAUAUUAUAUAAACAUAUUAAAAUAUAUCAAUAAAGAAAACACCAUUAAUUUGUUUGAAGUCUCGACUUUUUGAGUCUUAAUGGGUGAGAAAUUUCUUAUAUAGAAACUGAAGACGAUAUAUAAAGUAAAUGCCACAUUAAAAGCCCAAUUCUUUGGAAAAUAAAUUCCAUCACGACUGAACCAAAAAUUAAAAUAAAAUCUAUCAUAUUUAAUAUAUUAGUCCAAGAAAAUAAUCGAUAAUAUGAUUACUAAUAAAAAUAACAAGAAAAAUGAUUUAUGUUAGGUUAUAACAAUAUUUUUUUUUUUUUGAACAAUGAGAUUUUGACCUAGACUAUUCCUUGAAAAGGUGAAUACUCGACUAAUAGGCCACAACUUAAAAUUUUUUAAAUUAUAACCAUUUUUAUAAUACAUGAAUUAGGUUUAAAAUAGUAUAAAAUUUAUAAUAUAUACCAACUAUAUAAAAAAUUAUUUAUAAGGUGUCCAAUAACUUCCAAAACACUUCUUAUAAAUAAUAAAUAUUUUUAUCUUAAAAAGUUUUUUUUUUUAAAUAAGUCAUGGAAAAAAAUUAUAAUUGUUUUAUAAAUAAGUAUAUUUUUUUGUAUAACAUAUAGUAUGGACACAUAAAUAAGUUAUAUUUAAAUUUUUUGACCAUAACUUUUUUUUUUAUAAAUAAGUAUUUGCAUAAUAUAGUAUUUGCAUAAUAUAAUGUUUGCAUUAUUGAUACUAACAACAUAGAAAUUUCCAUGAAAAAGGCCUUGAAUCCUUUGAUGAAUUAAGUUCCAUGACAAGGACUGAAGCAAUGACGACAGCUGGCCCCUGCAACUAUUGCAACAAGACCUUGAAUCCUUUGAUGAGUUCCUUUAAAUUCAUCAGUUUGGAAACCAUAACAUAUAUGCUACCACUAAAUCCUUACCAGAUUAAACAUGGCCCCAUCCUUAACCAUUUCUGUUAUUCUAGGGGUACUGUGGGCCACCAUCCUUCUUUCCUUUGCUACAACUGUGACAGCAGCAUAUCCAUCGCCAUUGGAGUCCGAAGCCAUAGCUCUGCUAGAAAGCAGGUGGUGGAGUAACCAUAGCAGCAAUACUUCACAACGUUGCCAGUGGCCUGGUAUAACCUGCAACACUGCUGAAAGCAUCACCCAAAUUAACUUAUCUGAUGCGCCCAACAUUGAGGUUGGAGAUAGAUUUGGGAAACUGAAUUUCUCUUCAUUUCCAAAUCUUGUCCUUCUUGAUCUUAGUGAUCAUCAACUUAGAGGAAAAAUCCCGCAUCAGAUAGGUGAUCUAUCAGCAUUGAAGUACCUUGACUUGUCCAAUUGUGGUUUAUCUGGUGAGUUACCUCCUUCUCUAGGGAAGCUGACCCAAUUAGAAUUCCUCGACAUGUCCUAUAAUGGUAAUAUUAAUGGUUCCAUCCCUCCACAAUUGGGGAACCUAAAGAACCUCGUGACUUUAAACUUAAGGCAAUGUGGAAUUGUUGGUCCAAUCCCUUCUGCUUUGGGUCAAUUAAUCAAUCUCCAAUCUCUGAUCCUUUCGGGGAACCAAAUCAAUGGAUCUAUCCCAUUAGAAAUUGGAUAUUUGAGAAAUUUGACUUAUUUGAGUCUCUCCAACAAUAGAAUUGUUGGUCCAAUCCCUUCUGCUUUAGGUCAAUUAACCAGUCUCCAAUCUCUGAUCCUUUGGGGGAACCAAAUCAAUGGAUCUAUCCCAUUAGAAAUUGGAUAUUUGAGAAAUUUGACUUGUUUGGAUCUCUACAACAGUAGACUUGUCGAUUCAAUACCAAUUACUCUGUACCAAUUAACCAAUUUGGAAAUUUUGUACCUUGAUAAUAACCAACUUCAAGGUUCAAUCCCUUCUUGUGUUGGUAGUUUAUCAAAGAUGCAGUACUUAAGCCUUGAUUCUAAUCUAUUAAAAGGUCCUAUUCCCCAAGAAAUUUGUAAUCUAGCAAAUUUAACUUCAUUGUACCUCUCCCAAAACAAAUUGACAGGUUCAAUCCCUUCUUGUAUUGGUAGCUUAUCAAAGAUGCAGUACUUAUGACUUGAUUCUAAUCUAUUAAAAGGUCCUAUUCCCCAAGAAAUUUGUAAUCUAGCAAAUUUAACUUCAUUGUACCUCUCCCAAAACAAAUUGACUGGUUCAAUCCCUUCUUGUAUUGGUAGUUUAUCAAAGAUGCAGUACUCAAGCCUUACUUCUAAUCUAUUAAAAGGUCCUAUUCCCCAAGAAAUUUGUGAUCUAGCAAAUUUAACUUCGUUGUACCUCUCCCAAAAUAAAUUGACUGGUUCAAUCCCUUCUUGUAUUGGUAGUUUAUCAAAGUUGCAGUACUUAAGCCUUGCUUCUAAUCUAUUAAAAGGUUCUAUCCCAAAAGAAAUUGGCAAGCUUUUUGAUCUAUCAAAUCUAAACCUUAGCUUCAACCAACUCUCAGGUCCUAUCCCUAUCUUGUCUGCUACUCAUCUCUACAUUGUCGACGCUGGAAAUGGUUGUCAAAAGAUUUUUCCCGAUCCAUUUGAAGGCAAUAGUGAUUUAUCACCCUAUAUGUGUCCUACUCCAGUUACCAAAAAAGCCAACAGCAGCAGAAUUCCUUACCAUUUCAAAAUAUUCCUCCCUAUUGCGAUCUUAUUCACAAUCUCCAUUUUAGGAUGUUUGCUAUUUUCACGGUUUAAGCUCAAGAAUAACCAUGUCAACGUACAACCAACCAAGAAUGGGGAUUUGUGUUCCAUAUGGAACUAUGAUGGAAAGAUAGCAUACGAGGAUAUCGUUGCAGCAACAGAGGAUUUCGACUUCCGAUACUGUAUUGGAGUUGGUGGUUAUGGUAGUGUUUACAAAGCAGAACUCCCUUGUGGUAAAGUAGUUGCUUUGAAGAAACUUCAUCAUUUAGAAGCCGAAAAUCCAACUUUUGACAGGAGUUUCAGGAACGAGAUCAAGUUUCUAUCAGAAAUACGACAUCGAAACAUUGUGAAGCUUCACGGGUUUUGUCUACACCGACGAUCCAUGUUUUUGAUCUAUGAAUACAUGGAAAAAGGGAGUUUGUUCUGCAACCUAAGGGAUGAAGUGAAUGCUGUGGAAAUGGAUUGGACGAAAAGAGUAGAGAUCAUCAAAGGCAUAGCACAUGCUUUGUCUUACUUGCACCAUGAUUGCUGCCCUCCGAUAGUUCAUCGAGACAUAUCAAGUAACAAUGUUCUUUUAA